GCCCUCGCCUACCUCACGCUCGCGCUCGCGGUCGUCAUCCACUGCAUGUACGCCGUCGCUGCCGCAGCCCGCCUCUUCCUCGUCGACGACCCAGGAGACCUCUUCAGCAUCUUCUGCACCGUGGCCGCCGUCUUCUUCAUGGCCAGCGACAUCAGAAGCUUCCUGGCCCUCCUGAGAGGUGAGGAGUAGGACUGAGAAGCAGGGCAAGCUCUACGUAACCGAUUAGUAUAUGAUCAGACAUAAUUCACAUGCUUAUGUAUGUAUAGUUGAUGUCGGUGAAAUUGGUACUGCAGUUUAUAAUUAUAUGCAUGAACUCAUGUUGUUACUCAUUCAUUCUCUAUGAACCGGUGGGUGGUGUAUCAAUGUGUAAGCUACGAAUCACUCCGAUCGAUCUAUCUUAGUUCAUAUGCUCAGAUCUCAAUUAUUACAGGGAGUUCGAAUUGAGGAGGAAGGAGGAUGGAACGAGCCAGCCAACACUCUCACUACUAUCCUAUCCAAACCUCGGCCGAGGCCGCCACCACCACAUGCUACAGAGCCACUAGGACAGCUAAAUAGUGUUUAGCUAGCGGGCCCAUUCUGGGCCGCGUAGACGAGCUGGGGCUGAAUGCUUCUGUUGGGCUUGGCCUGCUGCUCUCUUGCCAGAUUGCCCUGUAGCGCUUCAGGUGUUGCCGUUGGAACAUCCAUAGAGCUGCUGACAAUCCCCCUGGAGAAGAAACGGCUUGCCCCCAAGCCGGAGCGCGAGGGAAUUGUUGCUUGAGCAUCUCCUGGUCCUCCCAGGUCACCAUUGACACCGGGGAAUGGCUCCACUUGACGAGAACUUGAGCGAUCAAUUUGUCUCCCCGCGGUAUCAGGCGACGGUCGAGGAAACGAGCUGGAAUCUGCAGUUGAGCUGCUGAAGAAGGAAGUGACUGACAUACCUGCUGAUCAGCCUUGACAUGGCGCUUGAGUAGAGACACAUGGAAGACUGGGUGCACCCUACAAUUCUCCGGGAGUGCCAGCCUGUAUGCUACUGCCCCGAUCUUGGCCGUGAUCUUGAAGGGGCCGAAAUAUUUGAAGGCCAGCUUAUGGUUUGCUCGCGGUGCAAUAGACGACUAAAUAUAAGGUUGCAUCUUCAGAAAAACUGUCUCCCCCACUUCGAAGGAUCUCUCUGUCCUGUGCUUGUCGGCUUGAGCCUUCAUUUGUUGUGGUGCCCGUAGAGAAUGUUGCUUGACUGAUUCCAUGGCAACAUGUCGCUCAUUCAACCAUUGUUGGACAUCAGAAUUUCCAAUAGCAUCCACUGGAAAAAUACCAAAGUAACGAGGAGCAUGCCCGUAUACCAGCUCGAAAGGAGUACGACCCGUCGAUGAGUGCCAGUUUGUAUUAUACCAGAGUUCACAAAGAGGCGGCCAACUGGACCAACGAUUUGGGUGGGCACUGAUGAAACAGCAGAGAUACCCUUCCACCUGCUGGUUGACACGCUCGGUUUGCCCGUCAGUCUGCGGGUGUUGACCUGAGCUCAUGCGAAGUUUAAUACCAGUUCUGCUACACACUUCCUUCCAGAAAAUGCUGGUGAAAAUAGGGUCCUAAUCUGAAUCCAAUGAGUCAGGGAGGCCAUGGAGACGAUACACACGAUCGAGGAAGGAUUCAGCCACUGUGGCAGCCGUGUAGGGAUGUUUGAGUGCAAUGCAAUGACCAUAUUUGGUCAGUUUGUCAAUGACCACCAAUAUGCAAUUGUAGUGUCGUGAAACUGGUAAACCUUCAAUGAAGUCCAUUGUCGUCAUUUCCCAUGGCUGUGAAGGCACUGACAAUAGUUGCAGUAAACCAGGAUAAGGUACACGAUCAGGAUUCGCGAGCUGACAGACCUGACACUGCUGUAAGACCAUUUUGAUCAUUUUCUUCAUAUUUUCCCACUGAAACAGCUGUGAUACCCUGCGAAAAGUUACUGGAAAACCAGAGUGUCCACCGGCUGAACUGGCAUGCAGACUGUUGAUGAUCUUAAGUUGCAAUUUUUCAUCUGAACCAAUCUAGAUGCGUUUCUUGAAACCAAGCAGGCCCCCAUGUAAUGUGAACUUAGGAUCUGCCUCUGGGUCGACAGCUAGUUUCUGCAGAAUAGCAGUAGCACUAGGAUCAGAAUAGUAACUGUUCAUGAUUUCUUGCAGCCAUGCUGGUUGAACUUCAGAGAUUGUAUAACAGUCACCAGGCUCAUGUGGUCGUCUGGACAAGGCGUCUGCAACUCUGUUAUCUGCCCCCUUCCUGUAUACAAUCUUGUAAUCUAGGCCCAAGAGCUUGGUGAGGGCCUUUUGCUACCAGGCUGUGUGCAAACGUUGUUCUGUUAAACUGACCAUGGCUUUUUGAUCAGUGAUAAUGUUGAAUUCCUUGAGUUGCAGAUAAGAGCGCCAUUGUUUCACUGCCAGGAGAAUUGCCAAAAAUUCCUUUUCAUAUACUGAUAGAGCACUAGUAGAAAAAGGGUCAAAUGUGAGACACAUUAGUCCCGGUUUGUAACAGAACCGGCACUAAUGUGUCCAUUAGUGCCGGUUCCAACGGCUAGCCGUGAGGAGCUCUUUAGUACCGGUUCGUGGCAAACCUUUAGCACCGGUUCGUGCCACGAACCGGUACUAAUGAGAGUGGUGGCAGGAUGUUGUCAGAGUGGGGCCCUUCCAGCACCUUUAGUACCGGUUCGUGGCACGAACCGGUAAUAAUGUUGUCAGAGUGGGGCCCUUCCAGCACCUUUAGUACCGGUUCGUUGCACGAACCGGUACUAAAGGUCGUCCUAUAUAAAUCCUUUGUCCACCCGCACUCUGUUCUUCCCCCUUUCCCCUCUCCCUCUCCUCUGUUCUUCCCUUCUUCCUCUCGAGUUCAUCACAAAAUUUGCCCCAAAUUUGUCAAGAUUUGCAGACCCUCAUCCAUUCAAAUGAUCACCAAGGUUAGCAACUUUGUCCUUUCAUCUCUCAUUGCUAGAUUAGCUCUUGCAUUGGUUUAUAUAGUGAUUAAUUGUGGGUUUUAGUAAUUUGGGAGGAAUUAUAUGUGGUAGUAUUUGAUUUAUAUGCAAUUUGAGGUUAAAAUAACACUUAGCUUGCAUAUGUAGGUGUGGUUUACUUAGUGCCUUCUAAAUCUCCGUCGUAACCACUGUCGAUCGCCCGCACCGUCCCGUCGCCGGCACCACCUUGUGGUGAGCCUCUUGUUCAUGAAAUUUUAUAUAAAAAAUUGAUGUUUGUGUGAUUUGGAUAUAUAGUUACUCGUAUAAUAAUUAUCUUAUCCGUACGUUGUUUGUUAUACAUAGUGCCAUGGUUUUGAUAUCCGUCCCCGUCGGCCCUCGUCCUUGUUAUGACUCGGAUGUGGUAUAUUCUCUUUUAAAACUAUUUGUUGCAUUUCGUGUUUAUGACAAAUUAUGCCCAUCAAGUUGAUAUAGAUAUUUUUAUCUAGGAGGUAUGUGAACCGGAAAUUCCACCCGACCCUAUUGUCGAGAGGUUAAAUUUAGUUGAAAGAGAAAAUGAGUACUUGAAAGAAAAAUUGAAAAGAAUUGAGGGGGAGAAGAUGGAAUUGGAGUUGCAUGUUGCCGAUGUCGUCGAUGAUCACAAGAUCAAGAUGGAGAAAAUGCGCUUGAAGAUUAGAAAGAUUAGAAAAUAUGCCAUCGAUAGUGAGGCUUGGUAUCAUUAUGUUGUUGGAUCAAUUGUUACCUUAGUUGCGAUCUUGAUCGCAUUUGUUGUUGCAUUUAAAUGCUUUAGCUAGAGAGUUAUUUGUUUGUUGCAUUUAAGUGUUGUAUGAACUUUAUGUAUGAACUUGUAUUAAUUUGGUCUAUUCGGUGUUGUGUAAUGAAGAUGAGCCGGCAAUGGAUGUACGAUGACCGAUGCUCUCCCCAGUUUGUUGAGGGCGUGCAUACUUUUCUGCUUGCGGCUGAGGCAAACAAGCGGGCGGAUGGUUUUAUGCCUUGUCCAUGUGCUGGCUGUAAGAAUGGUCGCAAUUACUCGAGUCUGGUUUUUUGGUCCCAAAGCCUUGCUGACAAAGGCUAGGGGGUGCCCAUCCUGUGUUGGCACAACCCCAAUACCGCAGUCACUAGCAUUAGUUUCAAUAGUGAAAGCCUUCUGAAAAUUUGGAAGAGCCAAUACAGGACCAGUAACUUGAGCCUGUUUCAGAGUCUGGAAGGCUUUGUCCUCUAUGCUAGUCCAAACAAACACACUGCCCUUGCGUAGGAGAUUAGUCAUGGGUUUAGCAAUAACCCCAAAGUAACGAAUAAAUUUCCUGUAGUAGCCAGCCAGCCCAAGGAAACUUCUCACUUCUUUCACUGACACUAGUGUAGGCCAUUGUUCAAUGGUACUAAUCUUUUCAGGGUUGGUGGAAACACCAUCCUUGCUGAUAAUGUGGCCCAGAUACAAUAACUUUUGGGAGGCAAACUCACAUUUGGAAAAUUUCACAUACCACUUGUCCUUUCAAAGCACUUCCAAAACCCUCCCGACAUGUUCUAAGUGUUGUUUUAGUGUUUACUGAAAAUCAGAAUAUCAUCAAAGAAGGCUAGUACAAAGGUCCUCAGCAUUUCAGGCUCUUGUGACAAGGAAACAUUGGUGGCACCUUGGAAGGUGUUUGGUGCCCCUGUCAACCCAAAACCAACAACCAUGAAUUCAAAAUGCCCAUGAUGGGUUUGAAAUGCUGUCUUGUACUCUUCUCCAGGAGCUAAUCUAAUUUGAUGAUAUCCAGCUCUGAGAUCCAGUUUUGUAAACCAUUGAGCACCAUGUAAUUCAUCCAGGAGUUCAUCUAUCACAGGCAUAGGAUAGUUUCCUUUGACUGUAAGUGCAUUCAGGUGCCUAUAGUCCACCACUAGCCUCCAUGUAUGAUCCUUCUUUUUGACCAAGAGCAUAGGUGAAGAAAAGGGACUAUUACUCCUUCUAAUGACACAAGAAUCCAACAUCUCUUGGAUUUUCUUCUCUACCUCAUCCUUCAGCUCUGGGGCCAGCCUGUAGGGCCUGUGAGAAAAUGGUAUAGCACCAGGAAUAAGAGGAAUGGCAUGAUCACAAGCUCUUUUAGGAGGUAAACCAACUAGGGUAGCAAACACAUCUUUGUAUUCCUCAAUAAGUCCCUGAAUUUCUGGUAUGAGAGUGGGAGCAUUUUAAUCAGUCACUACAGACAGUUCUAUGAUGGUAUAAGCAAAGUCAACAGGUGUUGCCCCUUGAAUUGUUACAGACUGACCCUGCAAGGGGAAGGACAUCCAUUGUUGUUCCCAGUCUACUAUCAUUGGACUAUGUUUAGCUAACCAGUCCAUACCCAGAAUUCCAUCAUAACAGCUGAGAGGCAAGAUUCUAAGGUCAUGUUCAAACUGAACUCCUUGCACUGACCACUGGCACUUUGGUACAUAGUUGUCACAACUCAUAAUUCCUCCAUUUGCAACCUUCACCUUCAUUGUUGUACAUUUCUGCACUCCUGCCAAUGUGCUAGCUGAAUUGGUAUCCACAAAGGAAUGGGUACUGCCUGAAUCUACCAAGAAUGUUCUAUGUUGUCCCUGAAUAACAACACUUAAUUGGAAGGCCUUGUUGUGGGCUGAUUUUCCUUCGACUGCUUCUGAAAUAACCAUAAGAUUCACUUCUUCAUCCUCAUCAGUAAGCAGAUCUUCUGUUGAUGUGCACUGAAAAAAUUCAACCAUUUCUUGUACCACAUGGAGUGAUACUAUCUGUUUGCAUUGGUGGUCUCUGCUCCAUUUCUCUCCACACAUGAAACACAGGCCCUUGGCCGUGCGGUAAGAUCUUAGUGCUUCCCAUUUGUCCUCACCCAGCUUCUUUCUUUGAACAUCUGAAUUAGUUCGUCUAUCUUCAGCAGUUUUGGUCGUAGCUGGUUUGGCCGAAGUGACUGCCUGUGUAUACUGUUGUCGCUUGACAGAAUGGCCUUGUUGAAGAGCAUAACUGGUCAGAGACUCAUGCAAUAACGCCAGUUCAUAAGCUGCAUCCAGAUCUGACGGUUGCUAUAAUGCCACCAGCACUCUAACAGUCGGGUUCAGUCCAUCGAUGAAUUUAGUAACAUAAUGCACAGACUCUGGAACGGCCUCAUACGCAGAUAGCUGAUCAUAUAGUUCAGCAAACUGCUCGACAUAAUCUUCCACUGAGCCUGUCUGAACUAUGUUGUGGAAUUUUCGAACUAGCGCCUGAUACUGAUUUCGACCAAAUCGGCACUGUAGCAGUCUGCAGAAUUCUUCCCAGGAUGCAUUUGGUGCUCUUCUCUAAACCGAUUCCAACCAACGCGUUGCUGCACGUUCGAACAGAGUAGAGCCGAAUUGGACCCAGAGAUGCUUCGGCAUGCCACACAUGCCGAAAUAAUCUUCACAUCUCGACUGCCAGAGCCUCGGAUUGGUGCUGUCAAAAUGGGACAGUCGAUGCGCGGUGCAAAUCCAUAGGUGUCAGUAUUCUCUCGGUGUAAUUCACCCAACUACGAACUGAACACUGGAUUGUGGUCGGAUCUCGUACCUCUGGCCGGUGGUGGUAUGUACGGAGCGUGAUCCUUUCCCUUGGCCGUUGGAGCAGACCGGCUGCCCUCAGGGGCGGUGUCUCUGCUGGCGGUCACGAAUUGGCUUGCCGGCGGUCGACCUCGUGCGGGUGAAGUGGAGGCGGAAGGCGCCCGUUCCAGCCCGGUGCGAAGCUCGUCCAUGUCAACGCCGAUCGACAGCUUGAGAUCAUCGAUGCGCGUCAUCAGAUCGCCUAUGAUGGACCGCAUCGACUUAGCCGCUUCCUCCUCUUGGCGCUUGAAACGUACGUCGAGGGACUCCGCUAGGUUGGCCUUGAGGAACUCGUACACCGCCUUCGUCGCCGGCGACAUGCUCUCCAUAGCUUCAUGGCGGCGGCGCGCGGCGAACCUCGUCGCGUGGGGAUGAUGGAGCGGAACUUGUUGCGCCAGGAUCGAAGCUCUGAUGCCAAUUGUAAGCUAUGAAUCAUUCCGAUCGAUCUAUCUUAGUUCAUAUGCUCAGAUCUCAAUUAUUAUAGGGAGUUUGAAUUGAGGAGGAAGGAGGACGCAACGAGCCAACCAACACUCCCACCACUAUCCUAUCCAAACCUCGGCUGAGGCCGUCACCACCACACGCUACAGAGCCACUUGGACAGCUAAAUAGUGUUUAGCUAGCGGGCCCAUUCUGGGCCGCGUAGACGAGCUGGGGCUUGAAUGCUUCUCUUGGGCCUGGCCUGCUGCUCUCUUGCCGGAUUCCCCUGUAGCACUUCAGGUGUUGCCGUUGGAUCAUCCGUAGAGCUGCUGACACAAUGUAGUCCAUGGGGGGUCCAAAUGUCGGUUUGGUCCGGACUUUUCCACUCGGGUGAGAUUGUUUAGUACUGUACACGUUCGUGCAGUCUUACAUUUGAGCGUGCGCACGUGAUGUGCUUCGAUUCUGCUACAUCAUGCACAUCGUUAACCAUCCAUGUUACAAACGCAGGAUCGAGCCUCGGUUAGAAGAAUCGCACCACUCGGCCUGGUGAACUGAUUCCACCGAAUAAUGCUAACUGACCUAACACAUGUCUAGUUUCGCUUUCCUAGCACAUCGCGAUACAUGUUCUAUGGCGCAUUGCUCUACAGCGAGGCGACCCGAUGAGGAAAGGACAUGAAAAACAUGACUGCACGGUGACAAUGUGCUCCGAAAUUCGUAAAUCUAAUGUUUACGGGCAGUCAAAUUGCCUAGACAUAAAUUGUCCUAAUGUGAUUGUGCCUCUGCUAGUCCGACUGCAAUCAAAACCAUUUUGGGUGGUUGCUUAUCUCCGAACACAAUUGUAGCGGUGGUCGGUAAAUGGAUGAAUUUGUCGGUCAUGCAUUCAUUAGUGUCACUCUUUCCCCGAUGUAUAAAGACCCCAUUCCGCCUCUAAUCUGCUCUUCAGUUUUUCUUUCAAGAAACGCUACUAAGAAAAAGAUUAUAAGUGCAUGCACAUUAGUGACCGGCACUGCAUGAGCCGGUCACUGGUAUUUCUGCCUAAUAGUUGUGGCGGGUAGAAAAGCGGGCCUGGCACUGAAAUUUACAGACCAGUGGCGGGCGUGAGACUAGGCUCGCUAUUGGUUCUCUAGACCGAUGUUAUGUCACGCCCAAUAUGCGACCCUAUCCAAAAGGAACUCGAAGGUCCCACCAAGGAUAGACCCGCAUAUUGAAACGCUUUUGCAAGGUGGAUAUCAUUACAUCAACAUUACAUAAUAGAUGGGGAUACAUACAUAAGGCAUACAAUGCCACUCGAAUACAACAUCACAAUACAUAAGAUCAACAUCCGACUACGGAUGAAACACAAACAGAAGCUCAAACGACAUCCACCCUACUAGCCCAGGCUGCCGACCUGGAACCUAUCCCCUGAUCGAAGAAGAAGCAGAAGAAGAACUCCAAGACAAGCAAACAUCGCUCUCGCGUCAUGAUCAUCGCAUAACCUGUACCUGCAACUGUUGUUGUAGUAAUCUGUGAGCCACGAGGACUCAGUAAUCCCAUUACCAUGGGUAUCAAGACUAGCAAAGCUAAAGGGAAAGGAAGGGGUAAAGUGGUGAGGUUGCAGCAGCGACUAAGCAUAUAUGGUGGCUAACAUACGCAAAUAAGAGCGAGAAGAGAGCAAGCGGAACGGUCGUCAACUAGCAAUGAUCAAGAAGUGAUCCUGAACUCCUACUUACGUCAAACAUAACCCAAAGACCGUGUUUGCUUCCCGGACUCCGCCGAGAAGAGACCAUCACGGCUACACACGCGGUUGAUGCGUUUUAAUUCGGAUCUGGUGUCAAGUUAUCUACAACCGGACAUUAACAAAUUCCCAUCUGCCUAUAACCGCAGGCACGGCUUUCGAAAGAUUAUACCCUGCAGGGGUGUCCCAACUUAGCCCAUGACAAGCUCUCGCGAUCAACGAAGGAAUAGACCUUCUCCCAGGAAGACCCGAUCAGACUCGGAAUCCCGGUUUACAAGACAUUUCCACAAUGGUAAAACAAGACCAGCAAGACCGCCCGAUGCGCCGACAAUCCCGAUAGGAGCUGCACAUAUCUCGUUUUCGGGGCAACACCGAAUGAGCAAUCCGUACAACUAAAACCAGACCUCAAGUUUCCCUGAGGGGGCGCUGCAAAGGGCUCUAGUUCGGACCAACACUUAGACAAGCACUGGCCCGGGGGGGCUGUAAUAAAGAUGACCCUUGGGUUAAUUACUCCCAAGGGAAAAGUAGGUGGUGGAGAGGCAAAUGGUAAAACCAAGGUUGGGCCUUGCUGGAGGAGUUUUAUUCAAAACAAACUGUCACGGGGUCCCAUAAAUCACCCGACCGCGUAAGGAACGCAAAAUCCGGGAACAUAACACCGGUAUGACGGAAACUAGGGCGGCAAGAGUGGAACAAAACACCAGGCAUAAGGCCAAGCCUUCCACCCUUUACCAAAUAUAUAUAGAUGCAUUAAUAAUAUAAGAGAUAUUGUGAUGUCCCAACCAAAAUCCUGUCCACCAUGGAGCAAUCUUCAAACUUCACCUGCAACUAGCAACGCUAUAAGAGGGGCUGAGCAAAGCGGUAACAUAGCCAAGCAACGGUUUUCUAGAAAGGGUGUCAAAGGUUAGAGGUUCAUGGCAAUUUGGGAGGCUUGAAGAGCAACAGAUAGGUAACGCAGCAUAGUGAUAGAACGAAGCAACUAGCAUAGCAAUGAUAGUAUUGAGAUCCUGGGUAGCGGUCAUCUUGCCUGAAAUCCCGCAAGGAAGAAGAACGAGUCCAUGAAGAAGACGAACGGGAGAAGUCGAACAAAUCCUCACAAUCGCAACAUUACCGGAACUAAGAAGCAACAAUGGAAAGAAACAAAGAACAUGGUAAAUGCACAAGCAUGAACAUGGCAUGAUGCACAAACAAGUAUGAUGCAUGUCUGGUUUAAUAAGGCAUGGCAUGGCAAAGGCAACCAAACAAUACUACAAGUUAAGUGGAGCUCAAUAUGCAACGAGUUGCAUAUUGACGAAACACCACAUCAAUUAUUUAGUUCUCUCUCGGUUAGGUACACAACAAUAUUAAAUGUUGUUAAACAUGGCAAGAGGUGAAACAUAACGAAACUACCUAUCUAGGCAAGUUUAAAUGAGGCCGGAACAACAAACAACAAGUCCGGAAAAUCCCCAUAUGCAUAUUUUAGAUUCGGUACUGUUCUGCCCUAAACACAAUUUUAAUGUUGUUAAACAGCAACAUAAAGUGGACCAUGUUAAACUAGGCAUUUUUCCACCCCAUUUACAUAUAAAGUUUAUUUAAAAUGGAGCUACGGUUAUUUAGUUAUGAAAUAAAUCAUUUUAACAUGGCAUAUUAGCAAAUUUAAAUAAACGGCAAGUUAAACAUUUUUAACAUAGAUGAAAGUGGCAUAUUAUUAAUCUACACAAUUUUCUGAGCAUUUUACAUAUAUGAAGUUUUUACAUAUGAUGCAUGGUUUGUGAGUAAUUAUAUGCGUGAGUCUAGGGGGUUUUCUGUAAAACAGCUAAACACUAAAUAAUGGACAAAUUCGCAGUCAGGGAAAAAACAUUCAUUUGGCUGAAUCUGGUGGGCACUGGGGCGCUCACCAUCGGCCUUGGCCCGGUCGGUGGAGGCAGCAGGCCGGCGGGCUGGGUGAGGAGGCGCGCUGGGCCGGGGGAUCUGGAGGCAGAGGCGCGGUCAACGGAGCGGCUGAAUCGAGCGGGACUUGGCGCUGCGGUCGUCCUUGAAGCAGAGGAAGCAGGGGCGACGGCCACGUGAGGCGAAGGAACUCCGGCGAGGCAGAGUCGGCAUGGAGGCGAACGGGGGGGCCGGGCACGACGGUUGCUGGGGCGAGCGAGGCAGAGAAGGGAACAAACUGCUCGUCUCCUGGCUCCUGGCUCGAGCGCCUGAAGAAGACGAACGCGCGGCAGGAACUCCAACAAGCGGCGACUUGGCGUCCAUGGCGGCUCUGCUUCGGCAGCGCGGGCACAGUUUGCAGAAGAACGGGGCGGCAGCGGGUUAGGAGCGACGACGACGAAGCAGGCGACGGCUGGGGAACGAGGCAAAACUCGGGCGCGGUCAUGGCCUUCCUGUGCACGGGAGAGAGAUCAGAGGAGGAAGGAAUGGAAAAAAGGAAGAGAAAAAGAGGAGACGGGCGGCGACUCAUCUGCUCGUUGGCAGCAGCUGAACGGAGGCGGCCGGACUUGGAGGUCGAGGUCACCGGCGGGCUGGGUCACCGGAGCGCGCGGUGAUGAGGCCAUACAUGGCCUCUGGUACGGCGGGGCGAAGGAGUUGGAUCGAGGAGCUGCUCUGGUUGGUCGGGCGAGCGAAUCGGGGAGGAGCAGUGGGGAGCUCUGGUUGGUGGCUGGAGGAAAAUGAGGAGAAGGGAUCCCGAGGGGAUUUUGUGGAGUGGCGGCGGCGAUGAGAUGGAUAGGACAUUGAUCCAAAAUUUCAGGGUUAGGCUAUAGUUAGUCCGGUGUAUAUAUAGCAGGUGGACUAGGCUUAGGGGCUACCUCGUCCCUCCGAUCGUAAUCGGAUGGUCGCGAAUAAAAUAGUUAGGGAGCCCAAUUAACAAAACGGAGAUGUUUUGCGGAUGUUUGGGGAUGAUCCGGAUCCAACGGUCACGACAGCUCGGGUCGGGUUCGGGGGAGUUUCGGACGCGCGCGCGAGGGGUCUGAGAGCUGGCAAGAGGGGUUAGGUGGUCACGUAACGGUCAACGAAGCCAAGGGGUUUGAUGCACUAUGCAAAGAGGGAUUAGAUGGGCUGUGCGAAGGGGGGUUGGGCUGAGAAGAGAGAAGAGAAGGCAGCCCGGCAACAGUUUCGGAGACCGAAACGUCCGACGAUUAAACCGGCAACGGUGCCGCUACGGAUGACGGUUGGGCUAACAAACGGACUCCUAAUGCGAUGAAAUUUGGCAGGCGGUCUGUCUACACUAUAAUAAGACCACAUGACAAGUUGCAACCCAUUCCGAGAACAUUUUUAUGCCACUUAUAAAAUAAUAUUUCGGAGGUGCCGCGGGCGCGUGCGAGUGUGGUCGGGGCUCAGAACGGACAACGGAGAGAACCGGGGAAACCCGGACGGAUGCAAGUUUUAAUGAAAAUGAUGCCGAUGCAAUGCGAAUGAUGACAUGAGACGAGAUGCAUAACAAGAACAAAAGCAAAACAACAGACAAAACCCAACCACGGAGGAAAUAACAUAUAGCAUCUCCGGAAAAGGCAAGAGUUGGAGUUACGAAUAUGGAAAGUUGCAUCCGGGGCGUUACAUGUUAGUUGUGGGACAACAACGCCAAUGACGGGCUGAAAGAUGGUGCCAGCCACUGGUAGCACCCGCCAACGGUGUCAAGCUUGUUUUAUCUGCCACGGUUGAAACACUUAGGAGUAGGUAAUUUGUGAGAAUUCCCUAUGUUUGGUUUAUAGAUUAUAGUGUGGUAUUUUUUUGUAUGACCUUGUUAUUGUAUGAAAGAAAAGUUUGAAGUUUGUAGGUUUCAUUAUUUGCUAUAUUUCAGACAUUUUAUUAAUAAUUUUGUAUUCAAUUGGAUAUAAUUCAAAUUAAUGAACGCGUACUUCUUAUUUGUUGACAUGGCCUAAAUACAUAGUCAGUAACUUAAAUGGUAUGUUUUCACCAAUUUUUGGGCAUUUUUAAUGUACAUGUAGUUCAAAAGCAGCAUGGAUAGCCAGCCGGAUGGCAGCCUGGAUCGCCUCCUUGGCCACGGUCACAAGCAGGGGAUCACGCAUCUUCUUGCCAUCCAUGGUUCCAACAGUCGACCCCACUAGGGGCCGGCAGGGUCGGGAACUCGGUCACUGGUCGGAUGGGAGCCUACGAGCUUGGUUUGCUUCUUCUUUCUUCCGAAGGGCUGUGGCGGAUUCUUUUUAAGUAGCCGAGCAACGCAAUGCAAGAGAGAAAAGUAAAGCGACCAAAGACGAGUCUGAGUCACACAGGUGCAGCGCGUGACCGAGCCGAACCUUAAUUUCUUUGCAUGCAAUUGGAUAUAUAUACAUAAAGAAAUGUGAUGGGGGUGAAGCCUCAGCAAACGCACAUAAAAAUGUGACAUCGACACACAGGCACACACAUGCAUUGGCAGUAAAAAGCUAGCUAGCUAACUCAUUUUAGGUGCACAUUAUUUUUUCAGUUUAGCUAUAUGUAAGUUGCCUGAUUUUUAAAUUUGGGUCAGUUCGAAUUUUUCGUCCGUUGGAUGCUGCUACAAGAUGUAUGCUGGUUUUUUUAUCCUUUGUGUGUGCUGUUCUGUAUUGGGCUGGAUUUUUUGACUGACCAUAUUUUGGGUUAGUCGAUUUUUUGUUGGGCUGAAGCAUGUUACGUGUUUUUCUUAUUGGCUGUCUGUAUGCAUUUUUUCUUCUGUUUUUAAAAUUUUCUAUCGGUUUCGAUGGGUAUAUUUCCUUUUUCUUUUUCAUUAUUACUUGUUGGUUUCUAUUUUUUCUGUUAUAGGUAUUUUUGCGAUGUUGGGUGUGUGUAAAUGUAUAUAAAAGUACACUGUAGUAUGUGCAAAAAUUACACUAUUAUAUAAUUCUUGUUUGCAUACAACAAAAAGUGUAAUUUUAGUGCAAAGUUGUGUACAAUUUUUUUUCAUAUUUUUCUUCUUAAAAAGUAUAUCCAAUGCAACUAAUUCAUUGUUCCUUAUAAAAAUUUCUUAUUUUGUUAUUGAUUUAGUUAUUAUUUCAUUACAUACAUAAUCUUGCAAAGUAUAAAAAAGUGCAAUUUCUAUGUAAAUUGUGUGCCAUAUUUUAUCGUUGUUUGUUUCUAUUUUUUAUUUUCUUUCUUCUUAAAUGGUAAUACCAAUGUCACUAACUCAUUGUUUCUUUAAAAACUUCAUUAUUUUAAUUUUGUUUCUGUGUUGUUUCAUUUUCUUUGUUCUUAAACGGUAAUACCAAGCCACUACUUCAUUCUUUCUUAGAAACUUCAUUAUUUUAAAUUUCAUAGUUUUUACUUCAUUUUCUUUCUUAUUAAACGGUAAUACAUAUGCGGCUAAUUCAUUCAUUCUUAUGAAACUUUUAUUGUGUGAAAAUACCACUAUAAUAUGCUCAUUUUUGCAUAUUUUAAAAAAGAUCAAUUUUUGUGUAAAUUGUGUGCAAAUUUCAUCAUUGUCUUUUAUUUCAUUUUCUUUCUUCUUAAAGGGUAAUACCUAAGCCACUAAUUCAUUAAUUCUCGGAAAACCUUAUUAUUUUGAUUUUGUUUAAUUUUUUAUUUAUUUUUCAUUUUGAUAAUGUUUUAGUUAUUACUUCAUUUUCUUUCUUUGUUUAUGAUCAUACCAAUGCCACUGAUUCAUUCUUCCGUAGAAACUUUCAUUUUUGCGAAUAUUCCAUUAGUUGCAUGUUGUAAAAGAGCGCAAAUUUUGUGUAAAUUAUGUGCAUAUUUUGCAAAUAUACAUGGUUCCAUGCGCACCCACAUGAAUAGUAAAAUCAGAAAAAAAAAUACUGGAUUUUAAAAAAAAUCUCAAAUUUUGGGAUAUGAAACUUAGUCCACCAUUCUACUCACAUAUGAAGUUUCUUGAUGUAUUGACAUCCAUGGUAUUCUUAGUGAAGAAAAUACAAUUGGGACCAUACUAUUCAUCAAACAUGUUGUUCAAUAUAGCUUUGAUUUUGUCAUUUUUGCCCAGGGUACCAUGGAUGUGAGUUCUUCGUGAAACUUCACGUGAGUAUACCGGUUGACUAUGUAUAUUACAAAAAAGUUUCAGAUUUCUGACAUUUACUCUAGUUUUUUUAAUUUACUAUUCAUAAAGGGUGCGCGUGGAACCAUAUUCACCAAAUCCGCGUCCCAAAUUUUGUCAUUUUUUUAUUUCAUUAUUCUUCUGAAAGGGUAAAACCAAUGCCACCAAGAAAACUUCAUUAUUUUGAUUCCUUUUUAGUUUGUAUGUUAUUUUCUUUCUUCUUUAAAGGUACUCCCUCCGUUCCUAAAUAUAAGUCUUUCUAGAGAUUCCACCAAGUGACUACAUACGGAGCAAAAUGAGUGAAUCUACACUCUAAAAUAUGUCUACAUACAUCCGUAUGUUGCAUUCCAUUUGAAAUGUCUAAAAAGACUUAUAUUUAGGAACGGAGGGAGUAAUAUCGAUCCCGCUAAUACAAUUUUUAUUAGUAUUUUUUUUGUAAUUUCACUAUUAUAUGCUUAUUCUGUAUAUUAUAAAGAAUGUAAUUUCUCCGUAAAUAGCGAGCAUUUUUUGUCAUUUUUUCAAUUUUUUUCUUAAAGGGCAAUACUAAUGCCUCUAAUUCAUUUUUCCUUAGAAAACUUUGUCAUUUUGAUUUUGUUAUAGUUUUUAGUUCAUUUUUUCUUAUUUAAUGGUACUAUCAAUAGUAACUCCACUAUUAUACAAUUUAUUAUUGCAUACUAUAACAAAGCGCAAUUUCUGCAUGUUAUAACAUAUCGCAAUUCCAUAAAUUCCACUAUUAUGUGCUUAUCUUGCGUAAUAUAAAUUCCACUAUUUUGAUUCCAUACAAUUCUAUUUCUACUUAAAGGGUAGUACCAAUGUCAGUAAUCCAUUAGUUGUUAGAAAACUCGAGUGUUCGAUUAUGUUUGUUUUUGUUUUCUUGAACGUAUGGGCUACAAGUGCAUCCAUGCAUGCAUAACCGUCGCUGGUCUAGGCCAACUGGUGUGGUGAGGUCCGUCUCCGUCACAAUUAAUUGUUCAAUUCACUACUUGUACUCAGUUAUCCAGUUGUUAAAAAAAGUGACUUACCCAAAUUUCUGUGUAAAUUUUGCGCAUUUUUUUAUUGUUUGUUUAGAUUUUUUUUCUUUUAUUUCUUCUUCAAGGGUAAUAUUACUCCCAAUUAUUCAUUUUAGCUUAGAUGACUUCGCUAUUAUGAUUUUUUUAGUUUAUAUUUUAUUUUAUUUCUUCCUUAAGGGCUUUAUUAUAUUUUUUUAGUUUUCCCUUUUUUAAUUUUAUUGUGAUCAAGGCGUCUCCUGAUUUGGGGUGCAUUGAGUACUCACUGCCUUGAAAUACCCCCAUAAAAGUUGUCCCAUAUUCUAAAUAAAAUCAUCAUAUCAGCACAACAUAUGUUUACUAUACUACAAAAUAUCGAAAUCAAAUUAAAUAUAGUAAUAAAGUAAAUAAUUAAAUAAGACAAAUUGAAUAUUUACAAUGAUGCUUGGCCAUAUUCAUAACACUAUUAAAUUAGCUACUAUUCACCCACAUAUAGUUCUCAUUGAACCAUGUCUCAAAUUAGAAUUAGAAUUAGAAUUGCCCCUAUAUUCCUAUAUGUAAUUGUGAUUGUACUAAAAGAACUGAGAACUUUAUUCUCUCAACUAUUUGGGGAGUAUAGGCUCCACCACGAGCUACUUAAAUCGGAUACAUUUGUCCCCCAACUCCUGACAUUUUCUAGCUUUUUUGCUGAAAGUGGCUUUAAUCAUCACAACGGUAGAUUUAUCUCAUGUGGUGCCUAGAUAAAAGUUACCUUCAAAGAUUAUUUCAUUGGAUAUUUUUAUCUUAUUUAAAAAAAUCCUAAAAUAUAAAAAAGUAAAUAUAAUGAUAAGAAAUUUAAAUAACUAAAAAAUUGGAGAUUUAGUGAAAAUCACAUUUUAGAUUUUUCUUAAAAUUGUAUGUUCUUUCGUAUUUUUGAUGAUUUUAAGAACAUAUGGUUGUUUUUUUAAUAUGGAAAAAUAGUUUCCAUACUUAAAGUUGUGUGAUGUGUCUUACACAAAGGUGUCACAUGAUCAAAAUGUUUAAACGGUGAAACCCACAAGAGGGAACAAAUGUACAUAGUAUUAAGAGUUCAUCAAUAAAAUUAUCCAUUGGAAUAACUGGAGGACGAAAUCGAGAAAAAAAAUAUUAUAGAGACCAAACAAAUAUUUGUCCUAAGAAAUAACUUUCUUUAACGUUUAUUUCCUAAAAUUAUUUGGAAUUUCGAAAGAUUUUUUGGAGGGUUUGAUGUAGUAGCUAGGUGCCCUCGCAUUUUGCAAGGGCCACUGUUUUAGUUAGUAAAAUAAUACAAACCCAGGCUGUUCUAGUUAGCUAUGCAGACCUACACCNNNNNNNNNNNNNNNNNNNNNNNNNNNNNNNNNNNNNNNNNNNNNNNNNNNNNNNNNNNNNNNNNNNNNNNNNNNNNNNNNNNNNNNNNNNNNNNNNNNNNNNNNNNNNNNNNNNNNNNNNNNNNNNNNNNNNNNNNNNNNNNNNNNNNNNNNNNNNNNNNNNNNNNNNNNNNNNNNNNNNNNNNNNNNNNNNNNNNNNNNNNNNNNNNNNNNNNNNNNNNNNNNNNNNNNNNNNNNNNNNNNNNNNNNNNNNNNNNNNNNNNNNNNNNNNNUUUCGUGUUUUGACCCUUUUUACGAAGUUUAGCUGGAUCUGACCCUGGUUCGUAAAAAAUUUGGGAUCUGACCCUUUUUCCUACCGCCAUAACCCUUGGCGGUAGGGUAACACUGCCUACCGCCAAGGACUAUGGCGGUAGGACUUGACUGCUCCGUCACGGUCAUCCAACGUUGAAAAUACCCUUUGGCGGUAGGGUCUGGAAGGUUUAAAUUACAUGUGGCGUCUACAAGAACAGAAUCAGUCUAGUGGAAAAUUUGCUAGCUCAUGCGAGUUUGGUUCAGCAAGACUUGAGUUCGAGCCUCGACAAGGCCAAUUUACUGUUUAUUUUUAUUUUGCCCAAUAAAAAUUAAAUAAUGUGUCCAACUAAUAUUAGGACAUGAAUUACUUAUAAAAAUAUAUUUUUAUUUAUUUGUAACUGUUUUAUAAAAUUCCCGCAAAGAUAUAAACGAAUAUGAUGGGAUAAGCAAUUUGUCCAAUUAUAUUGUUAAGCUAUGGAUUACUUAUAAAAAUAAUUUUUUUACUUAUAUGUAACUGUUUCAUAAAAUUUCCGCAAAGAUUUGUUUUUCUGCAGUCCUUUUGCGGCUUAGAUCUGUAACAUACAUGGGAGAGAGCAGUUUUAUUCUUUGCUCAUCACGAAGAUUAGGCGCUCUCCAAUUAAAUUCUCAUCAUAUGUUACUUUGUAUUUCAUCCUUUCUUGGGUUCCAGUGUUAGAACACAAGUUUCAAAAAAAACAUAUACAAACUGUAACCUAGAAGUCGGACUGAUUCCAAAAGCGUUGAGCAAUUUAAGAUGAAGAUGGAGCACUCACCUUGACAAAGUGCAAGCUAGCUGCCACUGCUGCUCCUGCUCCGCCAAGGGAGUUCCCCAGUCUAGCAGUGCUUCUGAGGGAAAACGAAGGUCCAAGGACAGGGGUUAAUUGAGGGCAAAAGGAGAUGAUGAAGCAAAGAACUGAAGGUGAAUGCAACGACCUAACUAUCAGGGAGGCUUCAUAUACGAACGAUGAAGAGAUAUGUGGGGCCAAUAAUGUGUGAGACCAAUUGAUCUCGGUGAAUAGCCUUCCAAAUCUUUUUUAUGCAGGUAAUAUGUGAGACCAAUUGAUCAUAUUNNNNNNNNNNNNNNNNNNNNNNNNNNNNNNNNNNNNNNNNNNNNNNNNNNNNNNNNNNNNNNNNNNNNNNNNNNNNNNNNNNNNNNNNNNNNNNNNNNNNNNNNNNNNNNNNNNNNNNNNNNNNNNNNNNNNNNNNNNNNNNNNNNNNNNNNNNNNNNNNNNNNNNNNNNNNNNNNNNNNNNNNNNNNNNNNNNNNNNNNNNNNNNNNNNNNNNNNNNNNNNNNNNNNNNNNNNNNNNNNNNNNNNNNNNNNNNNNNNNNNNNNNNNNNNNNNNNNNNNNNNNNNNNNNNNNNNNNNNNNNNNNNNNNNNNNNNNNNNNNNNNNNNNNNNNNNNNNNNNNNNNNNNNNNNNNNNNNNNNNNNNNNNNNNNNNNNNNNNNNNNNNNNNNNNNNNNNNNNNNNNNNNNNNNNNNNNNNNNNNNNNNNNNNNNNNNNNNNNNNNNNNNNNNNNNNNNNNNNNNNNNNNNNNNNNNNNNNNNNNNNNNNNNNNNNNNNNNNNNNNNNNNNNNNNNNNNNNNNNNNNNNNNNNNNNNNNNNNNNNNNNNNNNNNNNNNNNNNNNNNNNNNNNNNNNNNNNNNNNNNNNNNNNNNNNNNNNNNNNNNNNNNNNNNNNNNNNNNNNNNNNNNNNNNNNNNNNNNNNNNNNNNNNNNNNNNNNNNNNNNNNNNNNNNNNNNNNNNNNNNNNNNNNNNNNNNNNNNNNNNNNNNNNNNNNNNNNNNNNNNNNNNNNNNNNNNNNNNNNNNNNNNNNNNNNNNNNNNNNNNNNNNNNNNNNNGAUCAACAGUGUGGUCGGGUGAGGUCACUCUGCAUCAAAAAAUCUGGCCGGACCAAAAUCACAGCUGGUCACACCUCACCUGAACCCCGGCGGAAUACAUUCAUAUACGUCAGCGGUUGCCGGAAUGAAUGAAAAACCAUGGCUCACUCCACAACCAUAAACAGCAUGAGCGAGGGAUGAAAAUAGAUAUAAUUAAACUUUAGUAACAAUUUCACCAACAUCAACUAUACCGAAGCUGGAUCAUAUAUAACUCCGUCAUCUGUGAUAAUCAUAAUGCAGGGAAAUGAAAAGGUCUAAUAUAUACAUCAAAGCCGGCCACAAUCCAGGCUAUUUAUAUAGCUCACAUUACACAAACAGUACUAAGUAGUACUAUAUAGUCAGACCCAUCCAAUUAACACUAGGUAAAUUCAGACAUAGCGCACUCCAUCAAUGGUCGUAGCAUAAUGCAUACUCUACUUUCUUAUUCCAUCACUUCAUCAGUACCUCAUGAACGAACAUCAGUUGAUCCAUGGACAUAUCUGCAGCUUGCUGAACUAAUCGAUCGGCUGCCUACGCACUGCUGCUUUGCCCUGCUCAUCAGUUGUCACCUCCCAGGAGGAGGCCAAGGAAGUAGAGCAGGUCGCCCCAUAGGAAGAAGGCAAUGUACGCGGUGCACAAGAUCCUGAGCAAGACGUAUCCAGGGCAGUCAGCGGCGAGGAGGAGGCGGACGGCGGCGACGUACAUGCAGUGGCCGACGAAGGCGACCACGAGCGCGAGGUAGGCCAGGGCGUGGCGGACCCAGCGGCGGCGGCACGACAGGUGCAGCGCCAGCGCCGCCGCGGCCGCCUGGAGUACGGCGCAGCGCAGCAUCCAGAGACAGAGGGCGCUCUCCUGGGCGGCCUUGGCGUCCGUCCACUGGACGCACCGCAGGGCGAAGGAGGACUGCACCCACGCAGACCAACACCACACCACGGUCCACACCCAAGCAUCAACAUGAUGAAUCCAUCGGAAAUUCGGAAUGUCCAUCAUCCAGCGAAGCUGCUCUAGUUGCGUAGAGUACCUGGAGGAGUGCGUAGGUGACCGCGUGGCCCACGGUGAAGCAGGCGUUGUAGAGCGCCCAUCUGCUGGCCCGCUGGACGGUAGCUGGAAUGGUCUUCUCGGCCGCGGUCACAAGCUUCUUGUUGCCGUCCAUGGUGACGGUGGAUCCAAGCUUCUAGUUUUCUGUCUGCAAAUGAAACAAGAAGAAAUAUUUCAGGGAGAAGAUUGAGAGGAGAACACGGUUAGUUGGUUGGCUUAAUUUUUCAACUGCUGAGAAGAUUUCAGUGAGAAGAUCUAGAGGGAGUAGAUCCGACGAGCUAGGCUAGCUAGGGGUGGAAGGGGGGACUCACCGUGAGUGGUCGGAUGGCUUGGUGUGCUUGCUUCUGGAGGAGUCUUGCUGUACUGUUAAAUUUUCCUUCCUGCGAAAGAAACAAGAAGAAAAGACUUCUAAAGAUGGAACACGCAUUCGUGGAGAGGGAGGGUGAGUAGAUCCAAAGAGGAGGGGAGACGGAAGGGGAGGGGACUCACCCUCACUGCUCGGAUGGCUAUGACUUGGUGGUGCCGGCUGGAGCGCUAGCUAGCUAUUUGGGAGCUGUUUAUGUAGCCUCUUGACGCAGCGGCUAUACUCCGGUCUGAUGAAAGCCAGGGAGGGAGAAGGGAGUCUCGCCCUCGAGUGGAGUGCGGUCUGGGCAGUGAGGAAACAACCGGGAAGCUGCCUGCGUUGUAGCUUUUUCAACUAGCAUAGGCCUAUGCAUCUUUCAUCUUGCCCAUUUGGCAGUCCCAGAAAUAAUGUGCCGGUUUGCUGCCCAUGCUCUAUGACUAGAGCUACAUGCAUGUCACUGCAAUGUUCUAUCUUUACCAAGAACGUACGAGAGGUGGGGCUCCAAUGCUCAACAAUGUUUUCUACUCCAACCACCGUCAAUAACAACCAAAAAAGGGUGAUAAUGACUACUGGCCAUGACCUACACGUCUCCAUCACAUAUCUUUUUUUUUUUGGAUCUUUUGGCCCGCUCAACAAACCAAACCAAGUCUAUGCAAAACAACAAUCACACCAUACCUGCUUAAGCUUGACAGCGAGCAACCGAGCCAGCUAGUUUGCUUUGUCCAAGUGACCUGGUCACUAUUUAUCCGUUUUAAACACAUGGAAGAUCAAUCCAUCAAAAAUCCAACUUCAGAGGUUUCAACGCUUGAAACAUCCUGGCUAAUUAAUCCCUCACAUGCAAGCUCAAGAAGAAACAUAUCCCAAGCAUGCUCACAACUCAUUGAACGACUAUUACUAUGGUCGAUAAAAUUGAUGCAGCAUCAAAUAAGAUUCUAAGGGCAUCUGCAAUGCUGGCCCUCAAACUGCCCGCAUCCGUUCAGACAUAUUUUGUCGUUCAACACCGUACUUUAUCAUUCUGCAGUAGUGUGAACCACCGCCAAGUAGGACUCUGACACCCCCGGCCCACUCAAAUUCCCCUUCUGGCCCACUUCUCAUCCUUUCCUGCUCGGUCUCGCUUGCUUUGCAUCCACACUCUCCUCGCCUACCGCCGCCGUUGUGCCUCUCCGGCGGCCACCGAGACAUCGUAGGGCGUCGUAGCCCCUACCAACGCCUCCAUCAUCCACCCAGGAUCUCUCUGUUGCCCUCAUCCAACAAUUAUUUUACGUUUGUGCGAAUGCCAAGAGGUUCAACUCUCGCCGGGCACUAGUGAUGGCAUCUGGUGGAAUGUCACCGCCGAUGGAUACUACUCCGCCGCAACCGCUUAUCUGAUGCAGUUUGCUGGAUUGAUCAACUUGGACAUGUCACGGUUAGUUUGGAAGAUCUGGGCCCCUCAGAAGAUUGUAUUCUUUUCUUGGCUUAAUAUUCAAGAUAGGAUUUCGACAGCAGACAUAUUGCUUCGCAGAGGUUGGCCCAACUGUACUAUUUGUCAACUAUGCAAAAGAAAAACGAAAAGCACCGCCCACCUCAUGCUCAAGUGUCGUUACACUAUCCGAGUUUAGAACAUGGUCUGUGAUGGGCUAGGAAUUCAAUCGGUGACGCCGACAUGGAGCAAUCUCCAAUCAAUCAAGCAAUGGAGGUGCUCAAACGAUCGAAUGCUAAGAGCAUUUACAGUCGGGCGCCUCAAACCAACCUCAUACACCAGGGUGGGUCACCCGGUCACGGACCGGUCACGAAAUUUUGACCUAGACGGGCUCCUUAAAUGGGCCUCAAAUGCCCGGGCUGACCGACACCCCACAUAUCUCAAAUAUGGGUCACCCAGGCACGCCCGGUACGACCGCCAGGUCGGACCCGACAGCCCGACCCCACCGUAACUGCACCAAAUCCACCAAUCCCUUCCUCCUCCCGUCGCCCUCCAACCUUUCCCCGCGUCCGAGCCCUCACCGUCCUCCGCCCUUGCUCCCUAUCCUCACCACCGGUCCCGAUCCACCGCCAGAGAUGUCGUCUAGCCCGUCCUCGGUUGCCGCGAUGGAGACGCGGUCCGCCUCGUCCGUCGGGGUCACUUCGUCGGCUCCGUCUUACAAGGAGGAGAACGUCGCCCAAAAAUUAUAGCAACACCGGCAGCGAGAGAGAGAGAUAGAGAGAGAGGCGGUGGCAGCGUCGCAGGAAGAUUCAAACAUGGUCGAGCAGUUGUCUCCCCCGCUGCACCCGGAACCCACCCCUUCCAUCCGAGCAUCGACUCGGAUUACGCCGUUCGACCACGUUAGGACAUAUGAGGAUUCGACGGCCGACUGGGUCAUUCCUGAGAGCUUAAUGGAUCCAUCGUCAUGGCCAACCAAGCUUUCACUAACAAGAUGUCCUCAAAUCUUGAGAAUGCCAGACCUCUUGCCUUCGGCGUCUUCGUCUUCGUCUUCUUCUUGCUCGGAUAGGCCACCAAUUCAUACUCCAUUUCGAUCGGAUCUUCAUUGUCAUUGAUCAUGUUGGACAAGAACGCCCCUACAUGAUUGUUGUUUGCAAGCAUUCAUUAUGUGCGAAAUAAAAUAGUUCUCUAUGCUAAAAUCUGAUCGGACAGGCGCAAGGAAAACACACCGAGUCUUAUUCGGUCAUUCCGUCGAACAUGUCGAGGCCAGCCUGAGCACUGCUGGUGCCCGUGCCACUAGUAGAAAAGGGGGCAAUGGUCCAGGCCGGGUCAGCCCAUUAGUCCCGGUUCAAUCCAGAACCGGGACCAAUGGGGGCAUUGGACCCGGUUCGUGAGCCCCGGGGGGCCGGCCGGGCCACGUGGGCCAUUGGUCCCGGUUCGUCUGGACCUUUUGGUCCCGGUUGGUGGGACGAACCGGGACCAAUGUGCCUUGCUCCUGGCCCACCACUAUUGGACCCGGUUGGUCGCCUGAACCGGGACCAAAGGCUUCCCUUUAGUCCCGGUUCAAGGCACGAACCGGGACCAAUUAGUUGCCUAUAUAUACCCCGCGAACAGAGCACUUUCACUUCUCUGUUUUUCGUGGCAUGCGAGGAGGGAGCUUUGUGGUGCUCUAGCUCACCUCCUAUGCACACGAGGUGUUCGAUGGAAUGCCCGAGCCACACUACUUAAGCUUUCUCCUCUCCAAGCUCCACCUCCAAGCUCCAUUUUCCUCAAUAUUUGUCUAGGUUUAGCGGUCCGUCACGUCCCGUCCCCGUCUUCACCGCCGUCGAUCGCCCGCGCCGAUCUCGUCGCCGACACCACCGUGGUGAGCCUCUUACUUGUAUGUUUAUAUAGAUACUUGUAUAAUUUUCUUACUUUUAUUAUUGCAUCUUAUAUAGUGCGAUGGUUUUGGUAUCCGCCCCCGUCGGCCCUCGUCCUGUCUAUGAUUCGGAUGUGGUAUAUAUUAUCUUUUCAUAACUAUUGGUUCAUUUAUUGUUUAUGACAAUUAUGCCGACCAACGUGACAUAUAUUUUAUUUAUCUAGGAGGUUGUUGAACCAGAAAUUCCAACCAACUCUAUUGUCGAGAGGUUAAAUUUAGUUGAAGAAGAAAACAAUUUGUUGAAGGAAAAAAUUAGAAAAAUUGAGGAGGAGAAGAUGAUAUUGGAGUUGCAUCUUGCGGAUGUCGUCGAUGAUCACAAGAUCAAGAUGGAUGCAAUGAGCUUGAAGAUUAGAAAGAUUAGAAAAUAUGCCAUUCAUACCGAGGCUUGGUAUCAUUAUGCCGUUGGAUCAGUUGUUACAUUGGUUGCGAUUAUGAUCGCAUUUGUUUUCGCAUUGAAAUGUUUUACAUAGUUUCAGUGUAUGGUUUAAUUAAUUUAGAUGCUCUGCGGAGCUUUAUGUUGUUAGAUGAGAAAUAUGUAUGUACUUUGGUUUUAGUGUGAUGAUGAACUUCUAUUAAUUUGGUUUUAGUGUUCUGUAAUGAUUUUUGACACACUUAAUUAUAUAUAAUGCACGCAGAUGAACCAGCAAUGGAUGUACGAUUCAAGACACACCUCCGAGUACAUUAAGGGCGUGCAUGAUUUUCUCGAAGUGGCUGAGGCAAACAAGCAGAAUGGUUUUAUGUGUUGUCCAUGCACUAUAUGUGGGAAUACGAAGUCUUACUCUGACCGGAAAAUCCUCCACACCCACCUGCUUUACAAGGGUUUCAUGCCACACUAUAAUGUUUGGACGAGGCACGGAGAAAUAAGGGUUAUGAUGGAAGACGGCGAAGACGAAGAGUACGAUGACAACUAUGUGCCCCCUGAAUACGGUGAUGCUACUGAACAUCAAGAGGAACCAGACGAUGUGCACGAUGAUGCUGCAACGGUGAAGCUGCUGAAGAUCAAGAGGAACCAGAUGAUGUGCCCGAUGAUGAUGAUCUUUGUCGGGUCAUUGUCGAUGCAAGGACGCAAUGCGAAAGUCAAAAGGAGAAGCUGAAGUUCGAUCGCAUGUUAGAGGACCUCAAAAAAGGGUUGUACCCCAAUUGCGAAGAUGGCAACACAAAGCUCGGUACCGUACUGGAAUUGCUGCAGUGGAAGGCAGAGAAUACUGUGCCUGACAAAGGAUUUGAGAAGCUACUGAAAAUAUUGAAGAAGAAGCUUCCAAAGGAUAACGAAUUGCCCGACAGUACAUACGCAGCAAAGAAGGUCGUAUGCCCUCUAGGCUUGGAGGUGCAGAAGAUACAUGCAUGCCCUAAUGACUGCAUCCUCUACCGCGGUGCGUACAAGGAUCUAAACACAUGCCCGAUAUGUGGUGCAUUACGGUAUAAGAUCAGACGAGAUGACCCUGGUGAUGUUGACGGUGAGCCCCCCAGGAAGAGGGUUCCUGCGAAGGUGAUGUGGUAUGCUACUAUAAUACCACGGUUGAAACGUCUGUUCAGAAACGGAGAAAAUGCCAAGUUGAUGCGAUGGCACAGUGAGGACCGUAAGAAAGACGGGAAGUUGAGAGCACCCGCUGACGGGUCGCAGUGGAGAAAAAUCGAGAGAAAGUACUGGGAUGAGUUUGCAAGUGAGCCAAGGAACGUAUGGUUUGCUUUAAGCAUGGAUGGCAUUAAUCCUUUCGGGGAGCAGAGCAGCAAUCACAGCACCUGGCCCGUGACUCUAUGUAUGUAUAACCUUCCUCCUUGGAUGUGCAUGAAGCGGAAGUUCAUUAUGAUGCCAGUUCUCAUCCAAAGCCCUAAGCAACCCGGCAACGACAUUGAUGUGUACCUAAGGCCAUUAGUUGAAGAACUUUUACAGCUGUAGAAUGGAAACGGUGUACGUACGUGGGAUGAGCACAAACAGGAGGAAUUUUACCUAAAGGCGUUGCUGUUCGUGACCAUCAACAAUUGGCCCGCUCUCAGUAACCUUUCAGGAUAGACAAACAAGGGAUACCACGCAUGCAUGCACUGUUUACUUGACACCGAUAGUAUAUAUCUGGCAAGCUGCAGGAAGAAUGUGUACCUGGUCCAUCGUCGAUUUCUUCCGACCAACCAUCAAUGUCGAAAGAAAGGCAAUCAUUUCAAAGGCGAGGCAGAUCACCGGAAGAAGCCCGCCAUGCGUACCAGUGAUCAUGUACUUGCUAUGGUCAAUGAUUUACACGUAAUCUUUGGAAAGGGUCCCGGUGGACUAGCUGUUCCGAGUGACGCUGGGGGACACACACCCAUGUGGAAGAAGAAAUCUAUAUUUUGGGACCUACCCUACUGGAAAGACCUAGAGGUCCACUCUUCGAUCGACGUGAUGCACAUGACGAAGAACCUUUGCGUGAACCUGCUAGGCUUCUUGGGCAUGUAUGGGAAGACAAAAGAUACAGCUGAGGCACGGGAGGACCUGCAACGUUUGCACGAAAAACACGGCAUGCCUCCAAAGUAGUAUGAAGGUCCUGCCAGCUAUGCUCUUACCAAAGAAGAGAAGAAAAUCUUCUUUGAAUGCCUGCUUAGUAUGAAGGCCCCGACUGGCUUCUCGUCGAAUAUAAAAGGAAUAAUAAAUAUGGCAGAGAAAAAGUUUUAGAACCUAAAGUCUCAUGACUGCCACGUGAUUAUGACGCAACUGCUUCCGGUUGCAUUGAGGGGGCUUCUACCGGAAAACGUCCGAUUAGCCAUUGUGAAGCUAUGUGCAUUCCUUAAUGCAAUCUCUCAGAAGGUGAUCGAUCCAGAAAUCAUACCAAGGCUAAGGAGUGAUGUGGUGCAAUGCCUUGUCAGUUUCGAGCUAGUGUUCCCACCAUCCUUCUUCAAUAUCAUGACACACGUCCUAGUUCAUCUAGUUGACGAGAUUGUCAUUCUGGGCCCCGUAUUUCUACACAAUAUGUACCCCUUUGAGAGGUUCAUGGGAGUCCUAAAGAAAUAUGUCCGUAACCGCGCUAGGACAGAAGGAAGCAUCUCCAUGGGCCAUCAAACAAAGGAUGUCAUCGGGUUUUGUGUUGACUUCAUUCCUGGCCUUAAGAAGAUAGGUCUCCCUCAAUCGCGGUAUGAGGGGAGACUGACUGGAAAAGGCACGCUUGGAAGGGACUCAAUAAUAUGCAGGGAUGGAUAUUCUUGGUCUCAAGCACGCUACACAGUUCUACAGAACUCUACCUUGGUGACCCCGUAUGUCGAUGAACACAAGAACAUUCUGCGCUCCAAACACCCGGAGCAGUGCGACGACUGGAUUACAUGUGAACACAUCAGGACUUUCAGCAGUUGGUUGGAAGCACGUCUCAGAGGUGACAACACUGUUUGUGAUGAGCUGUACUUGUUGUCCAGGGGACCAUCUUCGACUGUUACGAUUUGGAAAGGAUACGAGAUAAAUGGUAUACAUUUUACACGAUUAACCAAGAUCAAAAGAGCACCAACCAAAACAGCGGUGUCCGCUUUGAUGUAACAACCGAGAGGGGAAAGGACACAUAUUAUGAUUACAUAAUGGACAUAUGGGAACUUGACUACGGACAUGAUUUUAAGGUCCCUUUGUUUAAGUGCAAAUGUGUCAAUCUGUCAGGAGGAGGGGUACAGGUAGACCCACAGUACGAAAUGACAACAGUGGAUCUGAAAAAUCUUGGAUACACUGACGAAUCAUUCGUCCUAGCCAAUGAUGUGGCACAGGUUAUCUAUGUGAAGGACAUGUCUACCAGACCGAGAAAGAGAAAAGAUAAGGAAGCGAAUACAUCAUACGAUGAGCCAAAGCGCCACAUAGUUCUUUCAGGAAAAAGGGACAUCGUGGGAGUGGAGGACAAGACAGACACGUCUGAAAAUUAUGAAAAGUUUCAUGAAAUUCCUCCCUUCAAAGUCAAGGCUGACCCCAGCAUCCUGAUAAACGAUGAAGAUUAUCCAUGGUUACGGCGCAAUAAGCAAAUGACACAAGUGAAUAAAAAGUGAAGACUUUCUCCCGCAACUAUUAUGAUUAUACCAUGCCAACUUUGUAACUGACGAGUAUGAUACCAUUGUCCAUUUUGUAUAUGCACAUGCUAUGUGUGGGUCAAUUUAUGAUACCAUGCCAACUUUCAACUUUUUCAGAGUUCAUUUGAAAUGCUUUAAUGUCUUAUGGUUCGGCCCUCGUAAUAACUUAAAAUAGCAACAAUAAGUAUUUUGUUGUAAGUAGAAACAAAAUAAAAUAAAUAAAGCAAGAAAGAAAACAAAAAAACAAAAAAAGUGUUUUCAAAUUUGAAAAGUAAUGGCAGUAACAAAGAGUUUAUAAUUUUCCUAAAACUAAAAGCAAAAAGAAUUAAAAAAUAAAGCAAANNNNNNNNNNUGUGAAGGACAUGUCUACCAGACCGAGAAAGAGAAAAGAUAAGGAAGCGAAUACAUCAUACGAUGAGCCAAAGCGCCACAUAGUUCUUUCAGGAAAAAGGGACAUCGUGGGAGUGGAGGACAAGACAGACAUGUCUGAAGAUUAUGAAAAGUUUCAUGAAAUUCCUCCCUUUAAAGUCAAGGCUGACCCCAGCAUCCUGAUAAACGAUGAAGAUUAUCCAUGGUUACGGCGCAAUAAGCAAAUGACACAAGCGAAGAAAAAGUGAAGACUUUCUCCCGCAACUAUUAUGAUGAUACCAUGCCAACUUUGUAACUGACGAGUAUGAUACCAUUGUCCGUUUUGUACAUGCACAUGCUAUGUGUGGGUCAAUUUAUGAUACCAUGCCAACUUUCAACUUUUUCAGAGUUCAUUUGAAAUGCUUUAAUGUCUUAUGGUUUGGCCCUCGUCAUAAUUAAAAAUAGCAACAAUAAGUAUUUUGUUGUAAGUAGAAACAAAAUAAAAUAAAUAAAGCAAGAAAGAAAAUAAAAAAACAAAAAAAGUGGAAAGUUUAUAAUUUUCGUAAAAUUAAACGAAAAAAGAAUUAAAAAAUAAAGCAAAAAACAAAAGAAAAUAAAUAAUGCAGAAAACAAAACAAAAAAACAACAAUAAGUAUUUUGUUGUAAGUAGAAAGAAAAUAAAAUAAAUAAAGCAAGAAAGAAAACAAAAAAAAGUGUUUUCAAAUUUGAAAAGNNNNNNNNNNNNNNNNNNNNNNNNNNNNNNNNNNNNNNNNNNNNNNNNNNNNNNNNNNNNNNNNNNNNNNNNNNNNNNNNNNNNNNNNNNNNNNNNNNNNNNNNNNNNNNNNNNNNNNNNNNNNNNNNNNNNNNNNNNNNNNNNNNNNNNNNNNNNNNNNNNNNNNNNNNNNNNNNNNNNNNNNNNNNNNNNNNNNNNNNNNNNNNNNNNNNNNNNNNNNNNNNNNNNNNNNNNNNNNNNNNNNNNNNNNNNNNNNNNNNNNNNNNNNNNNNNNNNNNNNNNNAGAAUUAAAAAAUAGAGCAAAAAACAAAAGAAAAUAAAUAAUGCAGAAAACAAAACAAAAAAAAUAAAAAUAGCAACAAUAAGUAAGGAAAACAAAAAAAACAAAAAAAUGCCUCCUACUGGGCCCCCACGGCCUGAAUACGACUUGAAACCCUACUAUAGUCCAGGAUUCAGGCCCGCAGUAGGCCCAGAAGGCCCAUCAAGCAAUGCAGUAGCAAGUAGGCCUGUAAGCCUGCAGUGGAGAGGAGCUCGAGAAGGGUGCGGCAGUGGGGCUUAUAAACCACUGCGCGCCCCUCUCAACUAGCGAGGUGGGACUAAACUUUGGCCGCGACGCGGGCAGCACAGGGGCCUUUGGUCCCGGUUGGUGGCUCCAACCGGGACUAAAGGGGAUGCAUUGGUACUGGUUCGUGGCACCAACCGGUACCAAUGCCCACCCUUUAGUCUCGGUUGGUGCCUCCAACCGGGACCAAAGGCCGCCGCUUCCCGCCCUUUGGGCUGCUGAAAAGAGGCCUUUGGUACCGGUUGGUGGCACCAACCGGGACUAAAGGGGGCAUUAGUCCCGGUUGGAGCACCAACCGGGACCAAUGCUCUUGCUAUAUAUACAGGACUUAGCAGUUUUCGCCAAAACCCAUUUCUUUCUUCUCGCCCCGAUGUCUCUGCUCCUCGUCGCCGUCGCCGCCGAGCCCUGCCCCGACGCCGUCAGGCUGGUCCAGCUUGCCGUCGCCGCCGCCGCGCCACUGCCCCGACAUCGUCGCCGCGCCCGCCGCCCCUGCCGGCCCAGACACCAUCGUNNNNNNNNNNNNNNNNNNNNNNNNNNNNNNNNNNNNNNNNNNNNNNNNNNNNNNNNNNNNNNNNNNNNNNNNNNNNNNNNNNNNNNNNNNNNNNNNNNNNNNNNNNNNNNNNNNNNNNNNNNNNNNNNNNNNNNNNNNNNNNNNNNNNNNNNNNNNNNNNNNNNNNNNNNNNNNNNNNNNNNNNNNNNNNNNNNNNNNNNNNNNNNNNNNNNNNNNNNNNNNNNNNNNNNNNNNNNNNNNNNNNNNNNNNNNNNNNNNNNNNNNNNNNNNNNNNNNNNNNNNNNNNNNNNNNNNNNNNNNNNNNNNNNNNNNNNNNNNNNNNNNNNNNNNNNNNNNNNNNNNNNNNNNNNNNNNNNNNNNNNNNNNNNNNNNNNNNNNNNNNNNNNNNNNNNNNNNNNNNNNNNNNNNNNNNNNNNNNNNNNNNNNNNNNNNNNNNNNNNNNNNNNNNNNNNNNNNNNNNNNNNNNNNNNNNNNNNNNNNNNNNNNNNNNNNNNNNNNNNNNNNNNNNNNNNNNNNNNNNNNNNNNNNNNNNNNNNNNNNNNNNNNNNNNNNNNNNNNNNNNNNNNNNNNNNNNNNNNNNNNNNNNNNNNNNNNNNNNNNNNNNNNNNNNNNNNNNNNNNNNNNNNNNNNNNNNNNNNNNNNNNNNNNNNNNNNNNNNNNNNNNNNNNNNNNNNNNNNNNNNNNNNNNNCCCUUUCCUCUUUUUUUUAUAUAUGCAGAAGUUUAUAUAUGCAAAAAUUUAUACAUAUAUGCAAGUAUAUAUGUAUUUUUUUUGCAUUUUUUGUGUAUAUGUGUUUUUAUGUGUAUAUAUGUAUACAUGUUCAUAGUAUUUUUUUUCAUAAGUGUAUUUUUUUGUUCAUUGCAUUUUUUUCAUAUAUAUAAUGUAUAUAUAUAUAUGUGGUAGCUAUAUAUAUGAUGAAUGGAUGUGGCUAUAUAUGUAUGUAUGAAUAUAAUGUUCAUAGCAUUUUUUUGUUUAUAUAUGUUUUUUCAUAUAUGUAUUAAUUUUAUAUUUAGGUUGUUAGUAGAUAUCGAUUUUAGGUUAGUGCAUUUUAGGUUAGUGUAGAGGAGAAAGUAAAAUAAGGAAAAGGAAGAAAAGAGGAAGAAGGAAGGAAGAAGGAAGAAGGAAGAAGGAAGAAGAAGAAGAAAAAGAAUGAGAGGAAAAAGGAAAAUAAGAAGAGGAAGAAAGGAGAAAAAGAAGAGAGGAAGAAGAGGAGAAAUAAAUAAGAAGAGGAAAAAAGAAGAAAAAGAAGAGGUUCUAUUUUUUCUUCUUCUCCUCUAUUCCUUUAUUCUUCUCCUCUUUUUUUUCUUCUUUUUUCUUCUUCUUCUUCCUUCUUCCUUCUUCCUCUUUUCUUCCUUUUCCUUAAUUAUUUUCCUUUCUCGAGGGAGAAGAAGAAAAAGAAGAGUAGAAAAAGAAAGAAAGGAAUAGAGGAGACAGAAGAAACUUCAACACGAGGGGGUGGUACCGAUACCCCCUCCCCGAUAACAUUAUUUUCCCAUGUAUAUGUAUGUCGCGUCGUUGUCGAUAUAACCCCCUCUAGAUAACUUCGACAUGAGGGGCGGUCGAUAUAUAUACUCCCUCUCGACCGUGAUAACUUAUACAACGGCAGCACCCCCCGGCCCUCGGCCCUCUCGCUCGACCAAAACUCUCGAGGACAUCCAAACCCUAGAGAGAAAACGAUGUUGGCCACCCAAAUUUACCAAGUUAAAAAAGCGUUGUCGUCGAGGCCACCCCAAACCCUUGAAGCGUUGUGUCGAGGCGACCCCAAACCCUAGAGAAGCAGCGUCGAGGCCACUAACAUGAUUCCUUAUUGUGAUUAGCUAGCUAGUUCUACGUUUGCCACUAAUAUAUAUAUAUAUAUAUAUCCAUCUGUACCAUGUUUGAAUAAUAAUUGACAUGUUGUAAAUAUUUGCAGAAACUAUGGAGCACUCCCGAGACGAAGAAACAGAAGCGAUGUUGGGGGAGAUAAUCGCAAAUGGAAGUGAUGACGUUGCGUCAUUUCUCCUCGACAUCGAUGGUCAGCUGGAUGAAGAAGAGGGCUAUGUUCAUGAUGGCUUCGGCCCAUUAAUGCCGGUACAAGAAGAGGACUAUGUUCAUGAUGGCCCCGGUGACACAAUGGAGGUACAAGAAGGAGACCGUGCUGACUGCUCCGGUGACCGAACCGAGUCCGGCCAGGUAUAUAUAUAUUAGUUAAGCACGUGCUGACUAGUUAAUUGAUGCUUCCAUUGUUUUGGUAUAUGUACACAUAUUAAUUACUCUCGUCUUUCUUCCUUAUAAUUUCUAGCCUCCAGAUCGAGCACAACUUCGGUAAGGAGACGAGGCCCGAAGAAAAAGUUGAGCUCGGAUGAAAAGUUUGAGAUCAUAAAAAUCACACCCGACGGCGAACCGAUUGAACCCAUCCGGACAAGGAAGGCAUUUUCUGCUCAGUGCGGGGUUCUUGUUAGGGACAAGAUCCCGAUCAGCAUCCAGCAAUGGUAUAAGCCUAAGGAGGAAGACCCUGAGGUGUCUUAUGUCAAUGCUAUGCAGAAAGAAGAUCUUUGGACUGAGCUGAAGGCAAAUUUCACCCUACUGCCAGAGGAGGAUCCGGAGAAUCCAGUUAAAGAGCAAUUAAUCAAGUCUUGUGCUCUUAAGAAGAUGGCAACCCUAAUGAGGAGGUGGAGGAAAGAGCUGAACCAGUUUGUCGAAAAAAAAGACACCAGAAUUCAUCGGCAAAUAUGAGAAGAUCAAAGAUCACUGGCCCGCAUUUGUGGCCCACAAGACAUCGGAAAAGAGUAAGAAGAUGUCGGCGACAAACAAGCAAAAUGCUGCGAAGAAGAAGCUUCACCAUCGCACGGGGCCAGGUGGCUACCUCAAAGCCCGACCUAAGUGGACCAAGGCUGAGCAUGAUCUGCUUGAAAAAGGGAUCGAACCAGAGACAAUGUACUGGCCAGAUCAUUGCCGGACUUGGUUCUUCGGAGCUGGCGGAACCUUGGACCCUGUAACAGGGAAGUGCUAGUGGACGGACGAGCAACUGGAUAUACCAGUCAAGAACCUUCGACACUAUAUCGCUGCAGCGCAGCGAGGGGCGUUCCUUCCAAACAGGGAGAAGGACGAGCUCACAAUGGCCCUUGGGAAUCCUGAGCACCCUGGACGGACACGAGGCACGCCAGGCUCCAUUCCGUGGAAGGUUGGUUUUCCGGACGCAGGGGGUUACAACACCCACGAGAGGAGGAAGAAACUGGAGCAGGACCAACUGCAGGCGCUGCUUGGAAGGGUAAUGGGGCUAGAGGAUCGAGAAGAGGAACGAGAAGGAGCAGAUUGCAACAAACGACCCGCCGAAGCUUCCCCCGAAGCUACCCCGCCAUCUCAGCGGAGAAGCAACGUGGCUUCCACCGAGCUGCUUCAGCCGGAGCAUGUCUUGACGGCUCCUGCCAGCUAUCCCGUGGAUGGUAUCACGGAGUCUCAAAGUUGCCACAUUAUGGCGCGAUGGAUGACUUUGAAGGUCAAGGCGGCUGUUGGCCAAGUUUAUCCUAGUGGACCCGGCACAACUUAUCGCUGCCAGCCGAUUCCAGAAGGAUAUGCUAAGGUGAUGGUGGAUGAAAUAACGGAGGGAUUUGAGGACCUCCUGCUUGACCACCCUACCGGUGAAGGGGAGACUAUGCUGGGUUCUACUCUGAAGACUCCAUGCCUAUGGCGGAAGGAGCUCAGCAACCUUCCGAACUGGACGCCUCCGCCUCCUCCUCCUCCUCCGGCAAGUCAGGGCACUCCGCCUCCUCCACCGCCUCCUCCUCCGGCGAGUGACGAUCAGGGCACGCGUGGCGGCACUCCGCCUCCUUCUCCGGCGCGUGGCGGCACUCCGCCUCCUUCUCCGCCUGCGCCGGUGCUCCCGAGCAGCCAGCAGCCUCCUCCUUCUUCGCCUCGCCAGCAAGGGCGGAAGAGACCCGCCGCCGCCCCGGCUGCUCCAGCGCGUCGUACUCCUUCUCCUCCGCCUCGUAAGCAAGCACGAAAGAAGACAGACGCCGCCGCCGCUCCGUCUGCUCCGGCAUCUAGCAGCACAACCAGAGGCGGGAGGCAAUACAAAUACGGUCCAUCAUCUCUCAAGCCUCUAGAGAAGUUACUGUACGAGAGGUCCAAGGAGGAAAACAAUACGAUUGUGCGGACCCACGUGAAGGACUUCUUUAAAGGGGUGAAAGCAAAGAGACAUCCACCUCCGGAGGAGAAGGUAGAUCCGGUGAAAGCAAAGCGCACUAUCGAUGCCCUGAGGAAACCACCAAAGUCUCCACCGAGAACCAACUAUGAGCGCAUUACUGAACAGACAUAUCUCCAAGCCAAGCGGUCGGGAACUGCUGUCAGUGAUAAAAGGUUAAAAGAACGAGCAAAGGGGAAAAAAUUGCCCAGCUCGGCGAACAAGCACAGCAAUCGUGCCNNNNNNNNNNNNNNNNNNNNNNNNNNNNNNNNNNNNNNNNNNNNNNNNNNNNNNNNNNNNNNNNNNNNNNNNNNNNNNNNNNNNNNNNNNNNNNNNNNNNNNNNNNNNNNNNNNNNNNNNNNNNNNNNNNNNNNNNNNNNNNNNNNNNNNNNNNNNNNNNNNNNNNNNNNNNNNNNNNNNNNNNNNNNNNNNNNNNNNNNNNNNNNNNNNNNNNNNNNNNNGCCCGGUUAUGGCAAUCUUGAAGAUUACCUGCCUGACGAUGCACUUCCUGAUUUCAUGGCGGUGGACGAACACAGAUACGAGUACGGGAAGCCUCUCGUCAAAGAUGAAAAAUCUCUGAGAACAAUGAUGCGAAGAUUCCAUAGUUGGUACAUGAAAACCUGCAGAGAGUCUGAGGGGAUGAACAGUUUGUAUCUGAACAUUAAAGAGGAGCACGACCUCGUUUCAAAUGAUCUGUUGUGUUUUCCAUUUGAGGAGUUCUUCGAGUUCUUCAAUCAAAAGGCCCUCGAUAAAUUAAUGGUCUUUUGCUACUGCCUGUAAGUACUAUUUUUGUCAUUAAGUCUCUAUAUAUAGCUCGGCUCUUUCAUUGCAUGUAUUUAUAAUUAAUUAUCCUCAAUAUAUUAUGCAGAUUGAAGAUCGUUGAGUGCAAAAAACAAGAAAUUUAUGAUAUUGGGUUCAUCAACACAAAUAUCAUAGAUGUAUUUCUGGUUGAAAAGAACGUCAAAGAGGCCGAGCACAACUUGCUACAAUCGUUGAUCAAAAAUCAAAACAAAGAUACCAUACUCUUUCCUUACAACGGCCCGUGAGUGUUACUGUCGUGUGCAUAUUCGGUUUUCCUUAUUACUCAAGCGAGGUUAUAGUAAUGUAAUUGAUGAGUUAUGCAUGCGUGCGUAGGUACCACUAUAUUCUUCUGGAGAUUAAGCUUGAGCAUGGACUAGUAACCGUCUUAGACUCGAGACGGAAAGAUCCCAAAACCUAUGCGGACAUCACUGAAAUGCUCAGCAAGUAAGUUCAAUCGAUCAUUAUCGCACCAUAUCGGCAACUUUUUGUUCAUUUCCUGAUAUCUCAAGUAAUAAUAAUUAUUUUCUUUGUCUUGCAGGGUUUGGAAACAGUUCACCGCAGAAGCUCCGGGACUGCCGAAGGAGCUGCGAUAUAAAUACCCGAAAGUAAGUACUACUGGCUAGCUAGUUGCGCGCAUCUCCUGUUGAUUCUAUAGCUAUACUUUCAUCAAUGCCAUUUAUAAUGCUUCAUUAUCAGUUUGAUUGACCUCUAUUUCUCGUAAAGUGCUUGUGGCAGGUGGAAGGGAAUGGUUUCUGUGGAUACUAUGUGUGCGAGUUCAUCCACACCGCGACUUUGAAAAACAAGCGGGGCUACUCUAGAAGACAAUAUGAAGUGCGUAAGCAAUAAUAUUCACAAUUUCAUUUUAUUGCACCAUCAUUUCUGUUGAGUUUCAUUCAUAUAUAUGUAUUAAUUAACCCCCUUCUUUAAAUUAGACGUGGCAGAUGCGGGAUGAACUCCUAGAACCAGAUCGCAUGAAAGCAAUUCAAGAGGAAUUGGCGGGAUUCUUUCUUAAACACGUCAUCAGUAAAGCCGGAGAAUACCAUGUGGAAAUUGAUUUCAAAUGCUAGGGGUUUGUGUAAUUAAGAGAUCUUAUACAUAUUGUACAUGUAUGUAGCCAGUAGCGUCGGAUACAUGAUACGAAAACUUGUUGUUCGACCAAUCUCUCGGAGAAGGAGAGGUCGAUCGAUCACUUCUCUCGGUAUGCAUGACGAACUUCUGUACUGAAUGGUUCUCUCGAUCACUUAUGUAUAUAUAGUACGUAGCGUCGACCAAGCACAGACAUAAGAGAGGACACUUCUCUCUAUUAAUUAGCUAGCUAACACAAUAUAUGAAACACCUAAAUUAACCCCCCAAAACCCCCAACCCCCCUCCUUUAAAAAAAACAAAAACCCCAGCCACUGGAAUGCAGACGCGUGGAUGCCUUUUGGUCCCGGUUGGAGCCACCAACCGGGACCAAAGGCCCCCUGACUGGGCUCGGCGCACAGGGCCACGUGGAGGCACAUUGGUCCCGGUUCGUGUUUGAACCGGGGCUAAUGGGUGGAGGUAUUAGUAAUGACCCAUUAGUCCCGGUUCAUGAACUGGGACUAAAGGCCCUUACGAACCGGGACUAAUAGGUGUUUUUCUACUAGUGUGCUCAUCCGCGCCCGAACGAGCUGUGGCGAGUCACACACGUCGACCGCCGGCAUCUGCGUGGGCGGAAAGCUCACCAGAAUGACCCAGCCGGCGGGUCACAUCAUCCUGUGUCCCAAUGGAGUCGGAAAGUGUAAUCCGUGUCAGUGCUCGGAGGGAAGGGGUGCGGGGAUCCGGGCGCGGCGGAAGAGACAACUGCUCCACCACGUCUGAACUUCGCUGCGCCACCGCCGCCUCCCUCUCGCGUUGCCGGCGUCGCUGCAACUUCCGGACGACGUUCUCCGCCUUGCAAGUCGCAGCCGACGAGCUGAGCUCGCCGAAGGACGAGGCCGACAACGUCUCCGUCGCGGCAGUGUGGGUCGGGCUGGACGACAUCUCCGGUGGUGGAUUGAGACAGGUGGUGAAGAUUGGGAGCAAGGGUGGACGAUGGCAACGGUCCGGGCGCGGGAAAGGUUUAGUGCGACGGAAGGAGGAAGGGUUUGGUGUACUUGGUGCAAUUUGGGGUGUGGUCGGGCUAUUGGGUCCCACGUGGCGGGCGUGCCCGGUCGCCCUAUAUCCACCCCAUAUUUGGGCUGGAUAUGGAGGGUGCCGGUCAGCCCAGGCAUUUGAGGCCCGUUUAAGGAGACAACCUAGGUAAAAAAAACAUGACUGAACAGUGAUCGGGCGGCCCGCCCGGGCAUCUGAGGCGGAUUUAAGGCGUUCGAUUGUAGAUGCUCUAACGGCUAAAGGAAACGUGGACACCUUUUCUCUUUUUUUGGGAAGACGAAACUUGGACACCUGGACGUAGACCUAGUGAUGGGCAUGCAGAUGCAGUUUUUUUUGUUGAAAAACAAAAUGGAGUGGAGGUGCAGAUGCAGGUGGAGACGUGGAUGCACGGCAGUCCCUCAACAUGGGCUUGGGCUUUGCCUGGCUAUUCAUGCAUGGAGUGGAGGGAGGGUGUCUACUUGUUGCGGUUUAUUCCCCUCAAAAAAAGAAAACUUGUUGCGGUUUAGGUACGAACGUCACGUGCGCGUGCACCUGAGCUACCCCGGACCGAUCAUCACUCUUCACUGCACGUAGUACUAAAACUAGGCAGCUGCCUGCUGCCAGGCAUGGCCAACCACCAAGAUAGGACCCAACCUAUAUGAAAACCCGAAACUGUCAGAACGUCAAAACGAUCAAAAUGGAUUAACACAUGUCACUCUGCAUCCAAAAUUCCAAGGAAUGAAACAUGUGCCUGAACCCCGAUGGACUAGCCAUUUCCAAGUCACAUUGAUACGUACGCCAGCGGUUGGUUGCCACAAGGAAUGAAACACAAUGAAUGGCAAACAGUGGCACCAACAUUAAUUAAUACAGUAAGUACAGUAGUAAUACCCAAGAAGCUAGCUGGAUAUAAUUAAGCAUACUGGUAACUCACUGAUCAUAAUAACAACAAUUCACAAGAUAUAAUUAGAAUGACACAUACGGCACUCAAUAAGUCGUCACGCCACACUACCAGAUUAGAAUCACUGGAACAAGCAUGUGAUGUGAACAGGCAGUGACAGGACGGUGGGUGAAACGACUCAACACAGGCACAUGCAUACGAUGCUCUACAUGGCAGUCAAAAGCUAGCUAACUACAUGGCAGUCAAAAGCUAGUGUUAAACUACUUGCCUGAUAGUUAGAGUGGUAUAAUUACUUGGUUACUGAUGUAUAUGACGCUAGCUGGUACAGUUACUAGCUCGUGACAAGGAUUGCUCUGCCUUUACCAAAAAGAGUCGAGACUCCAAUGCUCAUUAUGGAUUCUUGUUUCAAAAAAAAAAAAGGAAAGCUCUGCAAGCUUGACCUUUAUCAUCUUCUCCAUAGACCCAUCAAAUAUAGAAAAGGGGCGAUAAUAACUGCUGACAAUGACCCAUCACCUAUCUUUUCUUUUUGCCGGCUCAACAAACCAAACCUAUGCAAAACAAUCACACCAUACCUGCUCAAGCUUGGCAGCGAGCAACCGAUCUAGCUAGUUUGCUUUAUCCGUUUCGAACACACUGAAGGUCUUUUGUUUUUUGAAGUAAAACACAUGGAAGAACAAUCGAUCAAAAAUCUAUGUUCAGAGGUCUCAACACUUGAAACAUCGUGGAAUACAAAAUAAUAAUAAUAAUAAUAAUAGUAAUAAUAAUAAUAAUAAUAAUAAUAAUAAUAAUAAUAAUAAUCAAGAUCCUUGUUAAUUAAUCCCUCACAUGCAAGCUCAAGAAAAAAUAAAAUACCUAACAUGCUCACAGCUCACUAAAUGGCUAUUAUUAUGGCCAAUAAAAUUUGUGUAGCAUCAUGUAUGGUUCUAAAAUAUUCGGCAUAACUAGGUUAUCAACAAGUUUAAUCGCUAUAGUAAAGUAGCUUGGGCAACAAUUCAUAUCGGAAUCCAUAUGCACAUCAAAGUUCUAGGGAUAUGGUUUAGAAUUGAUCAAGAGGGAUUUUGGCACAUGAAAUAAAUUCAAGAUUGGCAUUAAAGCGGCAUACGGCCUAACCUGCUAAAGAAAAUUUAAUGGUUGACAUCUUAGAGCAUCUACAGCUGGAUAUGUCAAGUAUGGCUCAUCAAAACGCCCAUGGACACGCCCAGGCGCGUGCGCGUCCGCGGGCAGUGACCGAGCACCCCUUAAAUUUCACUUCUUGCAUCUGGACAUCUCAUACUAGAUUCUCAAAUUCAUACAAAAGGCAUGCAAACUAUAAAAAUCUACGUACUACAUCGAUCACCUAGUUACUCCUUGUCGGAGAUGUCGACGAUCUCCGUGCUCGGCUCCGGCAGCCUGGGCGUGGCAGGCGUGCCCGGGCGCCCCCAUAUCCGCCCCUUAUGUGGGCUGGAUACGAGGGGUGUCGGUCAGCCUGGGCGUUCGAGGACCAUUUCAGGGGCCUGUCUGGGUCGAAAAUCAUGACCGGUCAGUGACCGGGCGGGCCGCCGAGGUGUUUGAGGCCGGUUUGGGGCGUCUGGCUGUAAAUGCUUCUAGGAGCUAAUCUUCACUUUAUUUCCUAUGCAAGAAUUCCACUUGAUAUAUUAUAAACAACUUGGCGUGCAUAUGUAUCCUAUCUGCAUACAUGCAGAUCUGAAGGGUGGCCAUUGGCAGUGCUACUUCACAGAUCAGACACCGACGUUGACGUGGAAGAACGAAGACUUCAUGGAAGGAAACGAUUGCCGAACAAAUGGAUUACAACUACAUACGGCAGCGAUGAAUGGCAAGCUUCAUCCUACAUAGGCAAUGCAGGUGGAAGAAGAUGCGAUAUGGCCGGACCAGGGGUUUUGAGGGGAAAAUAUAACUGCUUCAGGGAAGGGUAUUAAACGGGCAGGUUUGUGAUUCAACACUUAUUGCAAUGGGAUAGACGGUUCAAAUUACCAGAUCCAUUGAUAAAUGAGAGACGCCUGUCAAUUUUACUACUUAUGAUUGAAACAUUUAUCCCCUUUAGUGAAAUGAUAUGUUCGAGGCCCUGAGAACUUUGGUGCGAAACGCCAAACAACUAGACUAGUUGAGAAAAUUAGAACAGAGACUCUGACAAGCAUGGUGAAGAGCUCGGGCAAACAUAAUAAGUAAGAGGUUCUGAUAAGCCAGACGUGACAAAGCACUUUCUUGAAUGCAUAUCACUACAGACGCAACCACAAAUUCAUAAGAGGCUCCAAUAAAUGUGCAGGUACAACACCUAAUACUAUUGAGUGAUAAGUUGCAUAACACGCCUACCUUUUUGUCGCUUGCAUGAAUCCAUAUGCCGUGCCUGGCCCUUAGGCGGGACAAGGACAUGCCGCGUUGACGGCGUGACCAACGGCCAUGGACAACCCGAGGUCAAACAUGCAUAUGGGUAAGGCGCCUUCACUUGUACCUUACUUGUUUUCUGAUUAGACACGAAUGAUUNNNNNNNNNNNNNNNNNNNNNNNNNNNNNNNNNNNNNNNNNNNNNNNNNNNNNNNNNNNNNNNNNNNNNNNNNNNNNNNNNNNNNNNNNNNNNNNNNNNNNNNNNNNNNNNNNNNNNNNNNNNNNNNNNNNNNNNNNNNNNNNNNNNNNNNNNNNNNNNNNNNNNNNNNNNNNNNNNNNNNNNNNNNNNNNNNNNNNNNNNNNNNNNNNNNNNNNNNNNNNNNNNNNNNNNNNNNNNNNNNNNNNNNNNNNNNNNNNNNNNNNNNNNNNNNNNNNNNNNNNNNNNNNNNNNNNNNNNNNNNNNNNNNNNNNNNNNNNNNNNNNNNNNNNNNNNNNNNNNNNNNNNNNNNNNNNNNNNNNNNNNNNNNNNNNNNNNNNNNNNNNNNNNNNNNNNNNNNNNNNNNNNNNNNNNNNNNNNNNNNNNNNNNNUAAGUUUUUCAAGGGUCAUUAACUUCUUAAAAUGAAGUUAGCUUGAUAUGCUAUAUGAUAUUUUAAUCUAUCAAUCUAUCUAUUAUAUAAUAAAAGCAAAAUACUGGGUUCUAAGAGAGACACCACGUUAAGCCACAUCAUGAAACGUAUUUUAAGUUAGAUCUAGAAUUGUCCGUCUAGAAUUUAACUAGAGAUUGUAGGAAAAAUCCGGUAGUGAAAAAAUACAGGGUUCUAAUAGGGACACAGCGUUAAGCCACAACAUCAAAAUUAUUUUGAUAGUUAGAUCUAAAACUAUGUGUCUAGGAUUUAACUAGAGAUUAUAGAGGGAAACUACUCGACAGGUUAAACAAAAAAAAGAUUACUCUAAAAGAUCCCACAAAAAUUAGAAACAUCCAACCAUUAAUUUAGUGGACCAAUCAAAUAUAGCCAUUAGAUUUACGAAACUGAAGAUGGAAUUAGGUUCUUCCCGCGUAGCCCUGGUUGUGUGUCUAGCAUUGUCUCACUUUCUUUACCAUUUAUUUUCUAAAAAUAUUUGGGAUUUGAAAAGAUUUUCGAUAGGGUUUGAUGUACUAGAUAGGUGCACAUAACAGCACUAUGUGAGAGCAACCAAAUUAAUAUCCAUUUUUCUUUAUCCAUUAGUUCAGCCAUAUUUAUUUUGAAAUAUAAUGCAAAAUAAGAAUCAUAUUAAGUUCUUUAGUGGCAUAAGAAAAUGAGUAAAAUGCAUCAUAAGUCUUAAAACUAUUAGAGGUAUGUUAGUUUAGUCCUAUAACUUUGUAACUGCAGUUUUAGGUUCUAAAAUUACAAGAGGCGUGUCAAUUUACUCCUCUAACUCCCAAGCUACAGUUUUAGGUCCUAAAACUAUUGGAGGUGCAUCAGUUUAGUCGUAUAACUUUGAAACUGUAGGCCAUCAGUGACAUGAUGGCUUGAGCUCCAUGAAGGAGACUAGGCCGGCCAUCUUAGCCUCACCCCAUAGUAACAGAACAACACGUUGCGUCAAAUUGAUAGACACAUGUGGCUACUCUCUCGCCGACCGUUUCCAGCUUGACGGUUUCCGCGUACUCCUCAGCGUCGUCCGGCAGCAGCAAAAAUUCCCCACCUUUCGCCAUGCUCAUACCCAAUCAACUCUGCAUGACUAGCUCCACGGCAAUGGUGUCGGGGCAACGACAAUGUCAUGAGGGAGAGAGAGGUGGGAUGGCGUCCUCCACAUCCCGAUUGUCUUGGUGUCUCCCUGGAGGCCACAACAAUCCUCUCAGCGAGGCUGCACUGUCACUCAUGAACACACAGGUGGCAGGUGUGCAGGUUGCAAUACACACUAUGAUGUGAAAGCGUAUGGACCACUUUUGGGGAAGUAAACACAUAUAAAUGGCUCAUUUGAAAAAAAAUGCACCAUAGAUACAGGCCAUGCAAGCUUCGGACCUGAGAUGAACAAACUUACAUAGUUUUGGGACCCAAAACUGCAGUUUCGAAGUUAUAGGACUGAACUGACACACCUCCAAUAGUUUUAGGACUUAUGAUGCAAUUUUCAAAAUUAUAAUUGCACUUACUCAGUUCCUUAAUAUAGUGUCAAUUGGUUUUCUCGAAAGUCAUGUUUCAUAAAGUUUAACCAAUAUAUACAACAUGGAAUGCAUACCAUAUGGAAAUAUAUUUCUUGAACUAAUGGUAAUGAAUUGAUAUUGUAGAUGUUGACAAUUCUUUUCUAUAAACUUGUUCAAAGUGUACAAAGUUUGAAUUUGCAAAAAUCUAAUAACCAAUAUAUUUUGGAACGGAUGGAGUACUUAUUAUUGUGCUUUGACAUUUGUUGAACCAAUUUUUUUAAGCAUUAUUGUACUUUUGAAUCCACUGUUUUGAACUUGCACCAAAAUGGCCGUUAACAUUUUUUUCUUUCUUAUGAUAUUCAAUUUAGCAAUGGCAAUAGGAUAUCCAAAACUUUAUUCUUUUGUCCAAGAUUUUCAUCAGAACAAUAAAGGUGGUGCGCUCACAUUUGUGAGGGCCACUGUUCUAGUUAGUACGAAUAAUGCAAACCCCAAACGCAUCAUGACAAAAGUCUAGGAGUCCACCCAAGAUAGCUAGCUACUACAGUCGAGUCUAUGUCACAAAUUGUGUCACUCAUUUUUAAAUCUAUAAAGUGUGAAGUAUUCUAAAUAAAAUCAUCAUACCUGUACCACCUAUGUUUAUGAUACCACAAAAUAUCGAAUUCAAAUUCAAUGUCGUAAUAAAAAAAAGACAAAUUGAAUAUUUAUAGUGAUGCUUGGCCAUAUUCAGAACACAAUUAAAUUAGCUAGUAAUCACCCACAUAUAUAUCGCUCAUUGAACCAUGUAUCAAGUUAGAAUUUGAAUUGCCCUAACAUUCCUAUAUAAAGUGUGAUUGUAGUAAAAGAACCGAGAACUUUGUACUUUCAACUAUUCAGGUAGUAUAGGCUCCAUCACGAGCAACUUAAUCCAGAUACAUUUGAGGCCCCAACUCCUGACAUUUUCUAAAUUUUUUUCCUGAAAGUGGCUUUAACUAUCACAAUGGUAGGGUUAUCUCAUGUAGUGUCCAAAUAAAAGUUACCUUCAAAGAUUAUUUCACUGGAUAUUUUUAUCUUAUUUGCCAAAAUCCUAAAUUGUUAAAAGGGAAAUAUAAUGAUAAGACAUAUAAAUAAAUAAAUAAUUGGAGAUUAAGUGAAAACCACAUUUCAGAUUUUUCUUACAAUUGUAUGUUCUUUUAUACUUUUGACGAUUUUAAGAACACAUGGUUGUUUCUUAAUAUGGAAAAUAGUUUUAAAACUUAAAGUUGUGUUAUGUAUAUAUCUUACACAAAGGUGUCACAUCGAUCAAAAUGUUUAAAUGGUGAAACCCACAAGAGGGAGCAAAUAGACAGAGUAUUAAGAGUUCAUCGAUAAAAUUAAUAUUAUCCAUUGUAAUAACUGGAAGACCAAAUCGAAAAGAAAAAAAAUAGUAUAGUGACCCAAAACAGUAUUUGUCUUAAGUAACAAGUCUAAAAUGAUUUGGAAUUUCAAAAGAUUUUCUAGAGGGUUUGAUGUACUAGCUAGGUGCCCUGGCAUUUGCAAGGGCCACUGUUUUAGUUAGUACAACAGUACAAAUCCCGGCGGUUCAGACCUACACCUGAAUCUAUGUCACCAACCGUGUCGCUCUCAAUUGCAUGAGUCCACCCCCAGCCCAGCCGAUCAAGAGUGUGGUCAGGUCAGGUCAGGUCACUCUUGCAUCCAAAAAUCCGGCCUGACCAAACUCACAGGUCACAGCUGAACCCCGGCGAAAUACAUUCAUACAUGCUGGAAUUCAAUGAAAAACAAUGGCUCACUCCACACCACAAACAACAUGAGCGAGGGAUGCAUAGAUAUACUAUAUAAUUAAACAACAGUAACAAUUGUACCGAAGCUGGAACAUAUAACUUAUGUCUGAAGUCUGAUGAUCAUACUCCAGGGAAAUGAAAAGGUCCAAUAUAUACAUCAAAGACGGCCACAAUCCAGGCGAAGUAUAUAGCCCACAUUACACAAAUACUACUAACUAGUAUAGUCAAUCCAUCCAACUAACACUAGUAAAUUCAGACAUACCGCACUCCAUCAAUGGUCAUAGCAUAAUGCAUACUCUACUUUCUUAUUCCUUAGAACAAGCUAGGUACUCAUCAGUCAUCACUUCAUCCGUACCUCAUGAACGCGCGAACUGAUCGAUCGGCUGCCUACGCCCUGCUCAUCAGUUGUCACCUCCCAGGAGGAAGCCCAGGAAGCAGAUGAGGUCGCCCCCCGCGAAGAUGACGAUGUUUGCCGUGCAGAAGAUCCUGGCGAUGAUGUAUGCUGGGUCGACGGCGAGGAGGAGGUGGACCGCGGCGGCGUACAUGCAGUGGCCGACGAAGGUGACGACGAGCGCGAGGAAGGCCAGGGCGCGGCGGGCCCAGCGGCGGCGGCACGGGAGGUGCAGCGCCAGCGCCGCCGCAGCCGCCUGGAGUAGGGCGCAGCACAGCAUCCCGAACCAGAGGGCGCUGUCGUCGGUGGCCUGCGCGUCGGUCCACUCGACGCACCGCAGGACGAACGGCGUGUGCAUCCAGACGAACACCACACCCAACCAGCUUGAAUAUGAUGGAAGGAUCCAUCGAUCGAAAGUUUGGAUUGUCCAGAAACCAGCCAAGCGGGUGUAGUUACGUAGUCCGACCUGGGUGGAGCAGUCUUGGUACUGGCCGACUGCGUAGGCGGCCGCGUGGCCCGCGGCGAACGAGAGGAUGGUGCCGCACGCGGUGAAGAGCGCCCAUCCAGUGGCCCGCCGGACGGCAGCCGGGAUGGCCUCCUCCUUGGGCACGGUCGCAAGCAGCGGAUCACGGAUCUUGUUGCUCUCCAUGGUGAUCGAUGGUGGAAGGAUCGAUUAGUUGCCUUGUUCAGUUUUCUGUCUGCAAAAGAAACAAGAAAAAAGAUUUGGGUGAGAAGAUCGAGAGAAGAAGACGGUUAGUUGGUUGGCUUAAUUUCAACUGCUGAGAAGAUUUUAGUGAGGAGAUCCGACGAGCUAGUGCCUCUGCCUAGUGGGGGAACGGGGACUCACCGCACUGCUCGGAUGCCUUGCCUUGCCUUGCCUUGCUGUGCUUCUUUCUGAAGUAUAGUCUUGGUUGCAGACGGGGCUUUAAUUUAUCCUUGGAUCCAANNNNNNNNNNNNNNNNNNNNNNNNNNNNNNNNNNNNNNNNNNNNNNNNNNNNNNNNNNNNNNNNNNNNNNNNNNNNNNNNNNNNNNNNNNNNNNNNNNNNNNNNNNNNNNNNNNNNNNNNNNNNNNNNNNNNNNNNNNNNNNNNNNNNNNNNNNNNNNNNNNNNNNNNNNNNNNNNNNNNNNNNNNNNNNNNNNNNNNNNNNNNNNNNNNNNNNNNGAGAGAGAGAGAGAGAGAGAGAGAGAGAGAGAGAGAGUGGCAGUGACGAUAUGACGGGCACAGGAAGCUGCCUAUCUGCAUUGCACCCAGCCAAGCCCGUAUGCCAUCUUUGGCAAAGCAUCAUUUCUUUGCUACUAGCUCAUUUUAUCCUUCAUAAAAAAAAUUAGAACGAUGUGGGUGAAAUUGUAUACACAUGGCAGUGAAAACCCAUCUAGCUCAUUUUAGCCGCGCACUAGUUUUUGAACUAGGUAGUGUGGCUUUGUCCAAGUAAGAUGCACACUACAUAUAUUUAUCCGUUUUGAACACAUGGAAGAUCGAUCCAUCAAUAAUCCAACUUGGGAGGUCUCAACACUUGAAACAUCUUGGAAUAAAACCAAUUCUUUUUAUCAAGAUGAUCCUAUCUAAUUAAUCCCGCACAUGCAAGCUCGAGAUAAAAAUAUUCCUAACAUGCUCACAACUCACUGAACGGCCAUUGCCAUGGCUGAUAAAAUUUGUGUAGCAACAACUAAGAGGUUUGUAAGAAUGUACGACAUAACUAGGUCAUGAACACAAGUUUAAUCGGUAUAUUAAAGCAGCUUGCCCCAGAAUUUAUAUGGGAAUCCAUAUGCACGUCAAGUUCUAGAAAUAUGGUUUAGAAUUGGGGUGAUCACCAAAGAUUUUGGCAUAGGAAAUAAAUUGAAGAUUGGCAUUAAAGGGAAAUAGGGCCUUAGAGCAUCUGUAGGAGAUCCCCCAAAAGUCAUAUUUGAGGAGGAUUUUUUUGUUCUAGGGAAUUUAGCAUCAGCUAGCAGAUCCCACGGAAAGUUAACUCUCUUAGAUAUGAUUCUUUUCCCCACAAAACAUCACUCCAUCUCCUCAAAUUUAGUCCAAUCGCAACUGUUCUCAGUAAAAAUAGCAAAAUUCUUGCCUCCCAUCUGCCGUCUGCCGCCUUAGUGACAGUCAAAACNNNNNNNNNNNNNNNNNNNNNNNNNNNNNNNNNNNNNNNNNNNNNNNNNNNNNNNNNNNNNNNNNNNNNNNNNNNNNNNNNNNNNNNNNNNNNNNNNNNNNNNNNNNNNNNNNNNNNNNNNNNNNNNNNNNNNNNNNNNNNNNNNNNNNNNNNNNNNNNNNNNNNNNNNNNNNNNNNNNNNNNNNNNNNNNNNNNNNNNNNNNNNNNNNNNNNNNNNNNNNNNNNNNNNNNNNNNNNNNNNNNNNNNNNNNNNNNNNNNNNNNNNNNNNNNNNNNNNNNNNNNNNNNNNNNNNNAACCCCCACCCCCUCCCCCCAUCGCCCAGCACUCCGGCAAGCCUAAUUGGCGAUGUGGAAUUUUAUGAAAAAAGGCAGUAGCCGCUUCAUCUAGUUCCAUGAUCAGCGACACCGCGCUCUUCUCGGUGAUCUUCCCCAUUUGUUGCCCGCCGCCACAUAGCUCAACCUGAUCGCUACCUGGGACGACGAUGGUGGGCCGACCGCACCAAUAGAGGAGGUGUCUGGGUAGUCGCCAUCGCACGGUGCGACCGUCAUCAUCAUGGUGUGUGCCAUGUUGCCCGACCAAUACGUUCGCAUAGUGGCAGCCUCCUCAUUCGCCUUGUCUAGCACGGGAACGACUGCACUGACAAUCUGCUCUCGGUACCUAGUGAUGCCCACGAAACUGACUCUUGGACAAUACAGGAAGACUAGUCAAUGACGAGUAGGCAGCUCCUGCGCCAGCGAUGCCCUCGGCUACGUUGCCCUCAGCGGGAUGCUUCGAGGAUGUAGUGAAGUGCUAGUAUCCCUUCCGUAACAGCAUGCUGCAUCAGAUGCCUUUGCUAAGGAUGGUUCGUUGAGAUCGACUACCAAAGCUUGAAUUGUGUAGUUGUGUGCCUUUGAUUGUGCAUUGGGAUCGUUGAGGUAAUUUUUUUAUAGCCGUAUCUACUAGGAGUGUUUAAUAUGCCUCCUAAUUCUAGCAUAAAUUUUUUACAGACUAGGUAAAAAGAUCAACAUGUGAAAAUUUUGUCAGCGAUUAAGUUUAUCAGCUGAUUGAGAUGUCGGACUGUGUGAGUGUGUAUUGAAGGUGUUUGAUGAAAUGUUUUGUAGCGCCCGGGACUGACACUAUGCAAAUCUAGCAGUCUUCGCUAGCCUCCGCAAAAUAUCGAUCCUAAGGCGUCACCUUCACAAAAUGUACACGUGAAAAGGAAGUACAUCAUUCAGACGUGGGGAUUGCGAGCUUCGGUGAUGACGAGUUUAUCUUGUAUUUCCGCCAACGGGGUGGCACAUGCAUCUAGGGAACACAUGCACAUCCAAUGCAUCAUGGUAGUUAAGCGUUGUCAUUCCAUUUUAGGAGCCAAUUUCACUUGAUUUCCUAUGCCAGAAUUCCAAUUAAUCAAUUAUAAACACCUUGAUGUGCAUAUGUAUCUUGAUCUGAAUUUUGGCACAAACUACAUCAAUUUAAUGGUUAAACUUAAGUUGAUGAUCUCGUUAUUUCAUACAUUCUUCUAGGUUCAGUUGGCCCUAAAAUAUUUAGUUGUCAUAGCAAAAAUAGUUUACAGGCAUGGUAAUUUGAUAUGUGAGCAUGUGACAAAUUAGUAUGCUAGGAUCUUGAUAUUUUUUGUUGCGAGAUGCUGGAUUCCCCAUGUGUUUAGAAGAGAUUAAGCAAUGACCAUCUCACUUUGCAAAAGCAAGGCUUUAGGAAGCAUGUGAAAAUAUAAUACCUUGAAAACACGCGUUGUUGGGAAGCAUGUGAGGCCUCACUACUUUAUGCCUUGGUGGAGGCAUGCCACCAAUCGCCAUCACCUUCUUUAUUCUUUUGACAUGCUUUUCGAGUAGAUGACAAGGAUCAAGAGGACCAUACAUACCUUUGGAGCCCCACCACCCAUUCUCAACAAAGAGCAAUAAGCAAGAAUAGUCAUGUGGUAAUACACAAUGUAACUCAAAGUUGAGGUUCCAUCCGCUAAUGACAUCCAAUCAUGCUUAAAGAAGGAUAUUAAAAAGAACUAGACGACUCUGCCAAAAUGUUGUAGAAAGUAGCUUAUCAAAAUGAUUGAUUUGGCACCCAACGCUAAUAUCCCACGGUAUUACCAUAAAUGCUAUACGCACUCCCUGGCUGGACGAAGCUUCCGCGUGCAUGGUUUCUUCUCUCCAUCGAUGAGACGAACAGAGACCAUCACAUGCUUGCACCGCAGCCUGUGUGUGUGUUGGGUGGGCUUCACUCACCACAUCGCACGCCUGUGUGUGUUCAGAGAGAGACCAUCAUGAUAUCAUUAGCAUGCAAAGAAAUUAGGCAGCAUUGCCAAAGAUGAUCUACGCGCUCCACAUGCAACUGCCCCGUAGUUUCGUUGUCACUGCCAUAAGAUGCUCUCUCUCUCUCUCUCUCACACACACACACACGCGCGCACACACACACACACACUCCGCUACUUAAACAGCUAGCUAGCUCCACACUUGCAUGGUCCACGUUCAGUCCAGUCUAGGCUCCAGCACGCACGAGAAACCGUCCCCUCCAGUCCAGGCUCCAGCACGCACGUCGCUCGCGUAGGGAUCGGAAGCACCUCCCACAUCCAACCUGCGACGGCCGGUGAAGGCCGGUGAAGGACCUUAUAAAGUAUUACAACAAUGUGUCUGAAUCCACCAUCUUGGCAACAUAUGCCGCUACUCCUAUCCAAAAUGAUGAAGGGUGCUAGCUGGGCCACUACCCAGACCACUCACCUAAGCCUAACAUCAAAAGCCGGAAGCCGAAACACAUUCGGAAGCCCCAGCCGAGCCACAUACCGGGUCUGGGGCACAAUCCGGUCAGACGCACUCGUGUGUCGUCGCCGCCAUCUUCCACAGGUCCGCCUUCAGAUCAAAUUGAGGCUUCUACUUUGUCUGGCCACUCAGCCAUCGACGUCACCACGACACCAGACAGCUUCGUCCUCCUGCGCGAGUCCAUCGCCACACAUCGGAUGUCGAAUCUCCACUGCGCCACGCCGCCGAGAUACGCCGCCAUCAAUGAGUAGGAUGAAGCACCGCUCCGCCGAGACCGGCAGGGCUGCUGAAGACCAAUCCGCCGCCAAGCAACCAAAGCAUCACAUCCACCCCAAGAUCACCACGAACGACACCCCCAAGAAGGUGACGACGCCCGGAGCGCCGCUGUCGCUCGAUCCGGCAAGGAUUCGGGCUUUCGCCCGGCAUACGAGCUGGGUGGAAGGAAGAGGGGAAGGAGGCAACCUGGACGGCGCCUACAAGAAAGGUACGACGCCCUCGGGCGUCGCUGCCGUCGUGACCAGCACUUCUGGCCUCGGAUUUCUCCGGAGCCACCUCCCACCUCCAGCCGCCAAACAGGUACAACUCCGGUGACAAAGGCCGUCCAAAGCAGGGCCAUCGGAGGCAGCCCUGGUUGAAGUAGACGGAGGCCUUCAGAUCUGUAUCGGGCGCCGCCGAGACGCCUGCACCACAGCUUCGGUAUAAUUGAUGUUGGUCAGAAUGUCACUGCAGUUUAUAUAUAUUCAUGAAGUAUAUUUAUGAUAAACAUUGUUUUUCAUGCAACCGCUGGCGUAAUCAAUUGGGGGUAUAGCUGUUGGUUCCCCUGAACCUCUAGAAGAUUGUUGGGGUACAGCUAGCUUAUAGGUUUAUUUCAGCAUACAGAAUAAUUGCAGUUAUGCUUGUAUGAUAUAUACUCAGUGACUCGCAUGCAUAAUUAGCUUAUCUUGGGUCAAGUUGAUGUUGAUUAAAUUGGAACUGCAGUUAGUAUUCAUACACACAUUUAUGUUGUUUCAAUUUUGGUUCCUAGUUUCAACUUACUUUGCUGAUCAAGAACUUUUCUAGAGUUGUGCAAAUGCAACUUAAAGUUCCUGUAAAAUUCUCCACCGAUAAACGCCUCAUAAUGAUUUUUAGCCUGUACUUCACUCGCUUACAUGCAUUUGUUUUUUGAGACAAGGAAAUAAAGUGCAGAGGAAAAUGUUCAGAUUACAUGCAUGCACUUUACAGAUGUCUUCUUACACUGACUGUUUGUUUUGCUUGUGCUAAUCUCAUUCCUGCAUAUCAUUAUUCAGCUAGUGUUUGGGGCGGCUUCCGUUUAUUUCCAACUUUUACACUGAAUCUUGCCGUGCAUGCAGUGGCGGAGCUUGAGCAUAAUCUUUUGCCUUUCUUUGCCAAAGAAAAUGACCUUUGCCAUAUUCACAGCCCAUGUAUUUGUUUCCAUAGAAUCCAUCAACGAGAGCUGAGAAGAGUAACAUAUUUUGCUUCGGUCCACAACACGGAAAACCAUAGAUGGACUCCAAGAAACAACUACUCCAUCUAUGGCCGAGCGGGACUUGACUAGUAGUUUCGGGUGAUGAUGAGUCGACACAAUGGGAAGAGCGUUGCGUACGACCCAUGCUUCAACACGCGUUGGGAAGUGAGGUUCUUCCCAGAUCUCCGGGUGGUUGGCGUGCUCGUGUACCAGCAUGGCUUCUCCGGCGGGCGGCAAUGCGUCAGUUGAAGCUCCUCGAUGACCGAGGAGGUGUGGUAGAUUCGCGAUCGUGUCAGUGAGAGGAUCAAAUUUCAGUGGAUGAUGAGGUACGUUUCCCGUGUGAUUUGGCACGGUACUCGGUGCAUGGUGUGGACCUUAGAAAUAGCGAGUGGGAGAUGUGGAGGCACCGAGGUGAUUGGAUUUGAUCGGUUGGUCGCCUCUGCUGCUCCACAUUCAUCCUCCCCUGCUCCCUGUUCCUCCACUUUGCUAGAUCUGCCUCACUUCAAGGGGGAGCUCUGGUUGACUUCGAUUGGAUGCGGAUCCCCUUUCCACCCUGACCUCGAUGGCGAGAAUAGAAGUGAAGAUGGCGGAGAUCACUGGCGGGAAUCAACUUGUGGUUCCUAACGGGGAGCUCCCUCAACGCGAAAGCCAUGGCGGUGGGCGAGGUGUUGGAUGACGAGGUGAUGGCGAGGUCCUUUAGGCCAUGGAGGAAGCGGGAUCGGUGGAUCCAGCCAAGCAGCCCAAGUGGGCGGUGUUCUGGUUCCUUACCACUGGUCUCCUUGCGGCGGUGGAAGAGGAGGUAAAGGCGGUGAUGGCGCGGCGGGUGACGAAGAAGAAGGCUAUGGUGGUGUGACAUAGCUUGACAUGACGCAGGGUGACCGCUUGAGAAACAACCACCAUGAGAGUGCCAUGAAGGCGCAUCGUGCAUGGGACACCACGACAUGCAUCAUUGAGAUGUGGGAAUUGCGACCGUCGGUGAUGACGAGUUUAUCUUGUGUGUCCGCCAUGAGGGAAGCACAUGCGUCGAGGGGGCACAUGCACAUUUGGUGCAUCAUCGUGGUUGCGCGUUGUUACCCCAUUUAAGGAGCCAAUCUCCACUUGAUUUCAUAUGCCAUAAUUCCACUAGGUCAAUUAUAAAAACAUAUUUAAAAAUUGAUGUGAAUAUGUAUCCUGAUCUGAAUCCCUGCGCAAGCUACAUUAACUUGAUGGUUAAACUUAUGUUGACAAUCCGUUAUGCCGUACAUUCUGUGAGGCUCAGUUGGUGGCUUGGUGCUAAACAAAGUUUAGUGGUCCUAGCAAAAAUAGUUUAGAGGCAUGGUCAUUUGAUAUGUGAGGAUGUGAGGGACUAAUAUGCUAGGAUUUUUCAUGUGUUCAAAGAGAUUAAGGAAUCACCAUGUCACUUUGUUAAACGAACUAGCUUGGGGUCGUGCAACAUCAUCAGAAUUGUUAAUUUUAAAAAAAGCAAAGCUAAUUAAUUCUUGCAAAUGAGUCGGUCUCUUCCCAGACAAAAUAUAGAGAAAGAAGGAAAAAACAAUAGAGAAUGACUUAGGUUUAUUGUCCUCACCUAGAAAUUAUAAAAAAAUGUGAAAAGAUAGAAAACAAUUAAGCUAACUCAAGAGAAUGACUUGAAAGCAUGAGUUGCCUCGAAGCACAUGAUGACUCCUCACUUUAUGCCUUGGUGGAGACAUAUGCUAUCAAUUGCCAUCAUAUUCAUUCUUCUUUUGACAUGCUUUUCGAUUAGAUAACAAUGGCAAAAUGACCAUCUAGACCUUUCGAGCACCACCACCCAUUUUCUCAACAAAGAUAAAUAUAAGUAAGCUAAUUAACUCAAAGUUAAGGUUGCAUAAUUUGACGUCAUCAAAUCAUGCACAAAAAGGAUAUUAGAAAGAGUGGUGCAUGCAUUGGUAUGGUACUGGAAAUCACAUGCGCUAGUUGAAAAUCGACCAGCUAGGGAAGGGAAGGUGGUGUGGUAACAUACAAACAUAUAGUGCAUCCGUAGACCUUGAUCAUAAUGUUGAAUUGAACCACACUAGUCGUCAGAGUGGAUAUGGGUGAUGGGGGAAGCUACUUGCCGCAAAUGGAACGGCGUUGGGUGGACAGCUAGCUAGCACUGCUAGUGCAGAAAGCAGGAGGGCUACAUUACAUGUGUGCGCUACUAUUCAGAUGGAACGGCCGGUGCAGUAUUUGAAUAGCUGGAGUAGAAAUUGCCAUAGUUGUAAAUUACACUGUGCAGCAGCUAUGGCCUUUUACUGCCAUGCAUGUACGCAUGUGUGAGCUUCAGUGCUUCACACCACUCGCAUUGCUGUUCGAGUAUACGCGCUCCCCACUGGCAUAACUUACCCGUAGUUUCCAUUGACCAAUCAUCGCAACUGCCAGUGAGAUCAUCGUAUGGUUGCUUACAUAUGAUGAGCCACCAGUUUAGAGCGGCAUGAGUGAGUGUUAAUUAAUAUCACACGAAGCAUUACGUUACUUACAUGCGUAUGCUAUACUAGAAAUUACUCUAGUUGAAAGGGACCGUGCAGAGCUAAGAUGAGCUUUACUCCAAUGCAAGAAAAUCGGGCAUUGCCAAAGAGGCAAAGAUGGUAUCUGCGCUCCCCAGAUGCAACUCUCUCUCUCUCUCUCUCUCUCUCUCUCUCUCUCACACACACACACACACACACACACACAGAGCUAGUCCAUAGGGGAUCAGCUGUCGGGUUGGUGCAGAUAUUUUUUGGUUGAAUUUUAGGUUCCAAAUGACCCUCUCGAUGGGCUGCACCACAUGUUGGUGCGGUUCGACACGAUAUAUAGAUGGGCUGACUGCAUGUUGAUGCAGUACUAUUUGACCUUUCCUCUAUAUGACCAGAUCGACAUCAUUUAUAUGCUUAUUUAUCCAGCUUCGGUAUAAUUCACCGAGUGCUGUAUGUGUGAAUCUACUAGUGUACAACUGUUAAUUUGAUAGAUCAACGACACUAGUUAGUACUCCCUCCGUAACUUAAUAUAAGACAUUUUUUACACAAUUAUAGUGUGAACGGCUUAUAAGUUACGGAGGAAGUAUUUGUGUAAUGUGUUAACCUGAAAUUUGGCAAUCUUUCAUGUAGUAUUCGACCUUUUCUCCAUAUGACCAGAUAUCAUUUAUGUGAUCCUUUUUGGACGUGUGUACCAGGAGUGGUUAAUAUGCCUCCUAAUUCUAGAAUAAUUUUUUACACACAUUUCGAUAAAAAGAUCAACCCAUGAAAAAUUUGUUGCCGAUUAAGUUUAUCAGCAGAUAGAAAAGUCGGACUGUGUGAGUAUGUAUUGUAGGUGUUCGAUGAAAUGUUUUGUAGCGCUCCGGGACUGACACUAUGCACAUCUAGCAACCUCCAAUAGCCUCUGCAUAAUAUCGAUCUUAACGUGUCACCUUCACACAACACACACAUGGAAACAACUUAUAUCAUUGAGACGUUGGCAUUGCAAGCUUCGGUGAUGAUGAGUUUAUCUUGUUGUCCGCCAUCACAGUGGCACAUGAGUCAAGGGGGCACAUGCACAUCCAAUGCAUCAUGCUAUUUAAGCAUUGUUAUCCCAUUUUAGUGUUGGAAUAAGCCACGGCGCCUGGUGCGGUCGGGCUCAUCGGGCGCGUCGUGUGCGCGCGGCACGUGCGGGAUGCACUGGUGUGGCCGGGCUCGUCGGGCGCGUCUGAUGCACGCGGGGAGUGCGGGACGCUCCACCAUGGCGAGUGUGCGUGCUGCGUGAAGCUGCGCAUGUGCUGGAGAAUUAGUUGGCGCAUGAAGUAGUAGGCCACGUUGAGACGUGGAGUUAGUUUUUAGAUAUGGCUGAGUCGUGCUGGUUGUUGGAGUGAUUCCAGGAGUAGGAUAAGGCCUGAUAGUGCAUGCAUAUGUUAGUGGAAUUAGUUGCCCGAGAGAGGUGGUUGGCCGGUGCGUGUAUGGUCUUGUACAUAUAUGCGUCAAUGAGCAAUGAGAGAAGUGGCCGUGAGGGCUGGAGAAAAAUGUAGCAUUGUGUACACAAAGGGAAUGGCCUCACGGCAAAGCUCUUGUGGUCUCCCUUGGUACAUGUAUGUGUGUGUUUCUUCUUGUCUUGUGUGUUCUUAUGAGACACCAUGAAAGAGAAGAGAGAGUUGUGCGAAAGGAGGAAGAAGGACAGCGGCGCUGUGAGGAGGCGGCGCCAACAAUUGGCAUCAGAGCGACCAGGUUCGAGGAGCGGCCGUGGCGUGCGGCGGCGUCCGUGGCACACGGGGUGAGCGCGGCGGACAUGGAGGCAUCGGCUGCGGUGCAUGGCAAGUCCGCGGCGAUGCAGUGUGAUGCCGUGCGUGUGACGAACAGCGGCGGUCGCGGAGGACCUGCGUGGUGGCGCAAAGGCCGCGGCGGCUCAGCGCGACGACCGUGGAGGCGCAGUGGCGCGUGGCAUGGAUAUGUGGCACGUCGGCGGAGGCCGCUGCGGCGCGGUGCUACGUCAUGAAGCGGCGUCCGAGAAGACUUGUGUUUGAGCUCAUUGGCAUCGACGGCGUUUGUCGCCGAGGGACGCCAGGCGUGUGUCGCCGGCGGAGAAGGAACUCGGCGUAUGUCGCUGGAGACGUGACAGAGCACGGUGCGACCGGCGUCGGUGCGCCAGGUCGGGUCCGUGGACUGGGUCACCGUCGUGGCGACGACAUCGACAUGAGUUACUCCGGCGACGACGAGGCCGUGGCUUAGGGGGGGUGUUGGAAUAGGCCACGGCGUCUGAUACGGUCGGGCUCGUCGAGCGCGUCGGGUGCGCGCGGGGCGUGCGGGAUGCUCCACCAUGGCGACUGUGCAUGCUGCGUGAAGGUGCGCAUGUGCUGGAUAAUUAGUUGGUGCAAGAAGUAGUAGGCCACGUUGAGACGUGGAGUUAGUUUCAAAAUAUGGCUGAGUCGUGCUGGUUGUUGGAGUGAUUUCAGGAGUAGGAUAAGGCCUGAUAGUGAUUUCAGGAGUAGGAUAAGGCCUGAUAGUGCAUGAAUAGGUUAGUGGGAUUAGUUGCCCGAGAGAGGUGGCUGGCCGGUGCGUGUAUGGUCUUGUAUAUAUAUAUGCGUCAAUGAGCAAUGAGAAAAGUGGCCGUGAGGGCCGGAGAAAGAUCUAGCAUUGUGUACACCAAGGGAAUGGCCUCACGGCAAAGCUCUUGUGGUCUCCCUUGGUACAUGUGUGUGUGUUUCUUCUUGUCUUGUGUGUUCUUAUGAGACACCAUGAAAGAGAAGAGAGAGUUGUGCGAGAGGAGGAAGAAGAACAGCGGCGAUGUGAGGUGGCGGCGCCAACAAUUGGCAUCAGAGCGACCAGGUUCGAGGGGCGGCCGUGGCGUGCGGCGGUGUCCAUGGCGCGCGGGGUGAGCGCGGCGGACAUGGAGGCAUCGGCUGCGGUGCACGGCAAGUCUGCGGCGAUGCAGUGUGAUGUCGUGUGUGCGACGAGCAGCGGCGGUCGCGGAGGCGAGCAGGUCGCGGAGGACCUGCGUGGUGGCGCCGAGGCCGUGGCGGCUCAGCACGACGACCGUGAAGGCGCAGUGGCACGUGGCAUGGAGAUGCGGCGCGUUGGCGGAGGCCGCUGCGGCGCGGUGCUAUGCCAUGAAGCAGCGUCCGGGAAGACUUGCGUUUGAGCUCGUUGGCAUCGACAGCGUUUGUCGCCGAGGGACGCCAGGCGUGUGUCGUCGGCGGAGAAGGAACUCGGCGUAUGUCGCCGGAGACGUGACGAAGCACGGUGCAACCGGUGUCGGUGCGCCAGCUCAGGUCCGCGAGCUGGGUCACUGUCGUGGCGACAACAUCGACAUGAGUUACUCUGGCGACGACGUGGCCGUGGCUUUGGGGGGUGUUGGAAUAAGCCACGGCGUCUGGUGCGGUCGGACUCGUCGGACGCGUCAGGUGCGCGCGGGGCGUGUGGGACGCUCCACCGCGCCGAGUGUGCGUGUUUAAUGAAGCUGCGGAUGUGCUGGAGAAUUAGUUGGUGCACGAAGUAGUAGGCCACGUUGAGACGUGGAGUUAGUUUUUAGAUAUGGCUGAGUCGUGCUGGUUGUUGGAGUGAUUCCAAUUGUAGGAUAAGGCCUGAUAGUGCAUGCAUAGGUUAGUGGGAUUAGUUGCCCGGGAGGGGUGGCUGGCCGGUGCGUGUAUUGUCUUGUAUAUAUAUGCGUCAAUGAGCAAUGAGAAAAGUGGCCGUGAGGGCUGGAGAAAAAUGUAGCAUUGUGUACACCAAGGAAAUGGCCUAACGGCAUAGCUCUUGUGGUCUCUCUUGGUACAUGUGUGUGUGUGUUUCUUCUUGUCUUGUGUGUUCUUAUGAGACACCAUGAAAGAGAAGAGAGAGUUGUGCGAAAGGAGGAAGAAGAACAGCGGCGCUGUGAGGAGGCGGCGCCAACAUUUAGGAGCCAAUCUUCUUGAUUUCCUAUGCCAAAAUUCCACUUGAUCAAUUAUAAACAACUUGAUGUGCAUAUUUAACGUAAUUUGAAUUCUGGCGCAAGCUACAUUAAUUUCAUGGUUAAACUUAACUUGUCAAUCUAGUAAUGUCAUAUGGUGGAUUAGGUCUCACAACUAGGGAUCGCCGUACAGGACGGCCGGCUUCAUCCUAGUCUGUAACAACCCAUACAUAAUGCCUACCUUAAUUGUGUCAUCCAUGUUGGAUGUUGUAUAAUUUGGUGCUGCCUCUUGUCAUUGUUUUGCAUCAUGCAUCAUAUAAUCAUCAUUGCUUUGUUUGUGGCAUAUUUAUGUUUGUUGUGAUCUUGUGUUGAACUCCUUCCCUUCAUCUUCAUCUUGCUCGUUCCAACCAAACCAUCAUCAAGUUUCAAAAAUCCCAUCUCAAGCCUUUGCUUUUCUUUCUUAUGUCCAAUAAAUUCAAGUGGCAUUAUUUCCUGGUUCAAAUUGAUGUUCACUAUAUUUCUCUAGUCCCGACACCAUGGCAAGACCUACCCGUCCAAAUUUUAGCUCAUUUGGUAAUGAUCUGGUUAGAUUCAAAAUUCAAUUCAAACUUGUUUAAAUUUUUAGUCUUUAAAAAUUGCAAGAGCAUAUUUAUUUAAAUUGGGCAUAAUUCCAGGACUCUGGGAAUAUUUUCAUUUAUACAAAAUUCCCUCUCUACCCCUACUUCUCUUUUUCCAUUUUUUCUACAACCAGAUCUUGAAGAGGCAUGUGCAACCACCACUUUGCCCCUCGAAGACAUGGGAAUGACAACUAUAGAUGCACAACCACCACUUUCCCCUAGAAGACAUGCCUGGCCAGAGCAGCCUGCAGCCAUGGCAGAGAGGUGAGCUAGAGGACAUAAAUAACCAUGGGGAAAUGGGGAGGGGGGUAGCGGCUCACCUCGUGGCUAGUGGCUCACAUAGAGGACUAGGGAGGAGGGAUGUCACAUAAUUGAUCAUCUCCAAGCGGCGGCCACGAGAGGAAGGACGGGCUCCACUCGUCUUCUUCGGUAAAGAGGAGGUGCGAGAUGAGAUUGGGGUGGGGUGGAGGGGAGCGAAGCAGCAGAUGUUGUGACGCAGAUGUGCGACUCCAUCCUCCCAACAAGGGAUGAGACCCCAACGCCAGCGAGAGGUCAAAUCCUAGCACCGCUGCGGUGUAGGGGGAACUAAAAGUGAUGGGAGUGACGAGAAUGAAAUUGAUAAAAUGCCUACUGAAAAUAGCCCUCAAAUUCCAUUCGAAAAUUCCCAUCGAAUAGUUUGAGAGGGAAUACCUCAUUCGUUUGAUUUUUUUAUACCAAAAAUGCCCCUCGGGCCUCCAUAUAAUUCACGUGACGUUAGAGUAUUCCAUCGCAUCUGGACCGUCCAAUCCAGUCCGAUGGACGACCAAUAUUAGCCGGAGGCACCGUUAAAAGACUCAUCCAUAUGCAUGUCAAGUUCUGGGGAUAUGGUUUAGAAUUGAUCAAGAGGGAUUUUGGCAUAGGGAUUAAAUUGAAGAUUGGCAUUAAAGGGGAAUAGGGCCUUAGAGCAUCUAUAGGACAUCCCCCAAAGUCAUAUUUGACGGGAAUUUUUUGUUUUGGAGAAUUAAGUAUCAGCUAGCAUAUCCCACAAAAGGUUUAAUCCCUCAAAUAUGACUCCCCCUGCCCCUCAUCUCCUCAAGUUUAGUCCAAUCGCAACCGUUCUCAGUAAAAGUAGGGGAAAUGCCUGGCUCCCAUCUGCCUGUUAUAACGCACGUUGCAGGCCGUCCGCCGCCCCAGUGGCAGUCAAAAUGGAAACCUCAGCCCCUCCCCCCCUCUGCCUCGCGCUGGCGCUCUAGCGAGCCUCCUAUGCGACGAGAAAUUUCACGAAAACAGGCAAUAGCUGCUUCAUCCAGUUCCAUGGUCAGUGGCACCCUGCCAAUCCCGACAAUCUUCCCCACACUAGUAGAAAAAGGACCUAAUGUAAGACACAUUAGUGCCGGUUCGAUUUUGGCCCGGUACAAAUGGUACCAUUAGUGCCAGUUCGAACGGCUAUGCAUUAAUGCCGGUUCGUUUUGAACCUUUAGUACCGGUUCGUGCCACGAACUGGUACUAAAGGGGUGGUGGCAGGCUGGCGUCAGGCCGGGGCCCCGCGAUCACCUUUAGUACCAGUUCGUGGCACAAACCGGUACUAAAGGGCUAACCUUUAGUACCGGUUCGUGCCACGAACCGGUACUAAAGAGGUUUGACCUAUAGUACCGGUUCGUGGCACAAACCGGUACCAAAGGGCAAUUUUCAAUCUCUACCCCGCCCCCCCUUUAUAUCGCCAUUUCAGUUUUGAAAAAUACAAAAGAAAAUGAUAAAAAAUACAAAAAAUAAAAUUCUUCGAGAUGUAGUUAUAUUACUACAUCUACUAGUUAGGAAAAUUUAAAAACUUAAAUUUGGACAUGUUUUGCAAAAAGUGUAGGGAAAAUGUAAAACGGCUAUAACUUUUGCAUACGAUGUCGGAAAAAACAUAUAAUAUUUCAAAAAAUUCUGCACGAAAAUCGGCGUCCAAUUUUGACAGCCCAUGGCCUGUUUGCAAUUUUUUAGAAUCCUCAAAUUCCAAAAGGAGAAAAAGAUAUGCUCAAAUUUAAGUUAUUUUUAAUUUUGGUUAAAUCUGGUCAAACUAUGGUCAAACUACUUAUUCAAGAAGUAUUAAUGUUACUACAUACUUAUUCAAGAAUAUUAGUGUUACUAAAUAAUUAUUUCACUUUUUUGAAUUUUGGUCAAAUCUGGUCAAACUAUGGUCAAACUGUGGUCAAACUAUGGUCAAACUUAUUUCAGAAAUAUUAGUGUUACUAAAUAAUUACUGUUUUUUAGAAUAAUAGUUUCAAACUCAAACGGUGAAAUGUGUGACCUAAUGCUCAAGCUAAACCGCCGAGGGUUAAUAGGAUUUACAGCUUACAUUUGUCAGGAAAACAACAAGUGCAGACUUGGAAAAGUAGGGAGAAUAAAACUCCAAAGUUAAGCGUGCUCAGGCUGGGGGAGUGAGAGGAUGGGUGACCGGUCGGGAAGUUAGAUGAUUUGGAAUGAAUGAUCCACACUUGAGUAGUUAAGAGGGGCGAUUAGAGACUAAAUCAUCAAAUAAUUCAAAAAAUUGAAAAUCGAAAAAAAAUCAAUUUUAAAAAAAAUCAAAAUUUUCAAAAAAAAUAAAAAAAUACCUUUGAUAACACCAACCGGUAUUAAAGGUCCCGCAUACCACGGCGCUACCUCGCGCCACGUGGUGGGCCUUUAGUGGCGGUUCGUGCCGAACCGGUAUUAAAGGAAAAGGGGGCUUUAGUCUCCACUCUUUAAUGCCGGUUGCAGAACCUGUAUUAAAGGCCCUUAUGAACCGGUAUUAAAACUCCGUUUUCUACUAGUGCCAUGAGUAGUUCCCACAUGUGAAAGCCGAAGGAGCGCAAAUAUGGCCUAACCUUUUGUGGCCCAUGUCGCCACAUCAGUCACCCGGAUUGCUACGAGAGACGACGAUGGUGGGCUUGCCAUGCCGGCAUAGAGGAGAUGUCCGGGUAGUCACCAAAGUGUGGUGCGGCCGUCAUCAACAAGGUGUGUGUCAUGCAACCCGACUACUACAUCUGCAUGGUGGCUGCCUCCUCAUGCGCCUUGUCGAGCGCGAGAACAACUGCGCUGACGAUCAGGCAGCUGCAGGGCCAGCGAUGCCCACAAAGCUGACUAUUGGACAAUAUAGGAAGACUAGUGGAUGACGAGAAGGCAGUUGCAAGGCCAGCAAUACCCUAAUUGGAUGCUUCAAGGCCGUGGUGAAGUACCAGUACACCAUCGGCAGCAGCCCGUUGCAUCAGAUACCUUUUUAAGGAUGGUUCAUUGAGAACAGCUGCCAAGGUGGAAUUUAUAGCUAUGUACCUUUGAUGGUGCAUUGGGAUCGUCGAGGUGAAAAUUUUGUAGGCGUGCGUACUAGGAGUGGUCAAUAUGCCUCCUAAUUCUAGCAUAGUUUUUUGCACGCUUUUUGGUAAAAAAGAUCAACCCAUGAAAAUUUUCUUAGUGAUUAAGUUUAUCAGCAGAUCGAAAAGUCGGACGGUGUGUGUGUGUAUUGAAGGUGUUUUAUGAAAUGUUUUGUAACACUUCAGGACUGACACUAUGCAGAUCAAGCGACCUCCACUAGCCCCUUCAUAAUAUCGAUCCUAAGGUGUUACCUUCAAAAAACGUACAAGCGGGCAAUGUGAGCUUCGAUGAUGAUGAGUUUAUUUUGUUUGUCCGCCAUCAGGGUGGCAAAUGAGUCCAGGGGACACAUGCACACCGGAUGCAUCAUCGUAAUUAAGGGUUGUUAUCCCACUUUAGGAGCCAAACUUCAGUUGAUUUCUUACACCAGACUACCCCUUGAUCAAUUAUAAACAACUUGAUGUGCAUAUGUAACCUGAUAUGAAUUCUGACGCAAGCUACAUUAAUUUAAUGGUCAAACUUAAGUUGUGAUCUCGUUGUCACAGAUUCUUCGAAGCUCAGUUGAUGCUAAUGAAAAGUUAGUUGUCCUAGCAAAAAUAGUUUAGAGGCAUGGUCAUUUGAUAUGUGAGCAUGUGACGGAUUAGCAUGCAAGGAUAUCUUGAGUCCCAUGUGUUCAGAACAGAUUAAGAAAUAACCAUCUCGCUUUAUUAAAGGAAGGGUCUAUAGAUUUUAAGGUUUAUAGUUUAGUGUUAGGCUUUGGACUUUACAACAAUAUCUGAAUUGUUACAAUUAGAGCCAAGCUAAUUCCUUCAUGGGAGCCAGUCUCUUCUCGAUUAAGUAAUGAGAAAGAAGGAGAACUAAUAGGGAAUUACUUAUAUUUAUUGACAUCGCCUGGAAAUUAAGAAAAAUAUGAGAAGAGAGAAAAAUUAAGCUCUCUCAAGAUAAUGCCUUGAAAGCAGGCGUUGUUGGGAAGCACGUGAUGGCCCAUGAUUUUAUGCCUUGGUGGAGACGUGUCAUCAAUGGCCAUCACUUUCUUCCUUCUUUUGACACGCUUUUCAAGACCAUGCAGACCUUUGGAGGCCCAUCAUCCAUUCUCAACAAAAAUAAAUAAGCUCGGAAAUGAUCUUAUGAAAAACCCAACGUCACGUGGUAAUACACAAUGUAACUCAAAGUUAAGGUUGUAUCAGCUAACAACAUCCAAUCGUGAAUAAAAAGAUACUAAAAACAAUGAAAUGAUUCGGUCAAAAUGUCGUACAAGCUAGCUUACUAAAAUGAUUGCUUUGGCACCCGUCGUUAAGAGUGAUGUUACUAGAAAUCAUACCAGUUGAAAAUGACCGCGCAAUGAGCUAGCUAUCUUUUUACGGCAUGUCAUGUGUGUGCUGAGGUUCACUCAAACUUUUGUGCAUCUGCCAGCAAUUAAGCCGGGGGCCGGUCGCGCGCAGGCUGCGCCGCCGCUGGCCGCCGUUGCUGGCCGUGGCGCUGUGCCUGGUGCUGCUUCAGGUGGUGGAGCUGCGCCGCUGCUGCCUGCGGGUAGCGGCCGAGGGGUGGCGCUGCCGGUCGCCCAGGUGUCGAGACGUGGGACGCUGCCACCGCAGUUGGUGCCUGCUGGCCGUGGCUCGGCGGGAGUGGCUUCAGGACAGGGUGUUGUCUCGGGUCCGAGACCGCCGGUCAUUGGCGCUGCAGGGCCAAGGCCUCCGGCGCCGGUAGCGUCCGGAAUGAUCCCGGCGGGCCGUGGUGGCGCGAUGCCACGGCCGACUGCGCCUGGGUCGUUGAACAUGCAACACCCGAAGCCGGCCCCUCCGCCUUACGUCGUCGCGAAGCCACAACAGAACAGAGUCGGGCCGGUGCAGAAGCAACCGCCGCCGCCUCCGGCUUCUGCUGUGCCCAAGGGGCAGUGGGGUGAUGAUGGGUUCGAUGCGUACAGGGCUGGUAAGCACCGUGGAUCCUCGUCGGCGGGCGGUGGACGGGGCUACGCUUGGCAGAGCGAUGGCACGACGGAGCGUCCCUUCAUGGGGCCACCAAGAGGUUUUGUUGAGGGGGCGUCUGUCCCAGGCUUCAAGCAGUGGGGUAGUUUCCGCGGUCAUCGUGGUGGCCGUGGGGGGCGAGGUGGCCGGUAUCGUCCUCGACUGCCACCACCGCCUGUGGUUGACCAGAUGGUGGUCGACGAGUCUGUUGAGGAGCAGGUUCUGUCAGGACAAGCUAUUGAUGUGGUCUCCGCGCUUGCCUCGCACUACUAGGAAAAGGGCUAUAGAUAAGACUGAUUCUAAUGGCGCACCAGGCAAGUAGUGCGCCACUACUAUAUACUAAUGGCGCAUCGGUUGCUCGUGCGCCAUUAAUGUGGAAGACACUAAUGGCGCAUCGUGCUCACAGUGCGCUACUACUAUUGAUUUUUUUUCCAUUUUUCCAUACAAACUAAUGGCGCAUGGACGGCAAAGUGCGUCAUUACUAGUUGGAACUAGUAAUGCGCACGACCAAUACAGUGCGCCAUUAGUAUAUUUUUUUUUUACUUUUUUGCAAACCUACUAAUGGCGCACUAUGCCAAAGUGCGCCAUUACUAGUUUAAACUAGUAAUGGCGCACUUUUCCACAGUGCGUCAUUAGUAUACAUAUGUUUUUUUUACUUUUCUGCAAAAAGUACUAAUGGCGCACCACCUGCCGAUGCGCCAUUAGUAACCAGGGUUACUAAUGGCGCAUUUUGUGGUGGUGCGCCAUUAGUAACCUGGGACGAACAAGAUAUUUUGGACAGCCCACCUACCCACUCACUUUCCCCACUUCAUUCUCUCCACCUCCUCCUCCAAGCUUGUCUCGGCUGCCUCCUCCUCACCUCAUUUCCACCAUAGAUUCAUCAAAAUUAAGUGGUGAAAUCACCUUUUUUUUGAUAGGUAAGUAAGGGGAAAGCUAUCUUCAUGAUGUAGAUCUACUUUUUUUCUCACUAGCUCGCUCCAACAACGUGCACAUGCACUUUUUGUGUCCUAGCUAGAUCUAUGUAUGUUUGUGGUGUUGCUUGUGUUUGUGGUGUUGCAUAUAUGUUUGUGUUUGCCAAUAUUUUGCCGGAAUGUUGAUUCAUUUUCGUUUCGGCGAGAAUUUUGGCACUAUGCAUUCUUUUUGGUCCUAUUUUUAGGGAAGGUCAUGCCAAAUUUUUUCUUGGUUCCAAAAUAUAGUUUUGCUCUACCCCGCAGGCGACCAUGGUCCGCACGAUGACCGAAGGCAUCGUGAAUAGGUUUUUGAGCUCCGCGAAGGCCGAGAUGCUUCAAAAGAACGAGAUGGAGAUAAGAUGUCCGUGUCGAAGAAGCAAGCUGAAGAGCCUUAUUGCGGACCCGGAUUCCGGGCAGGUGCGGGACCACCUGCUCUUGCGUGGUUUCAUGGAUGGCUAUCGGUGGCAAGGUGAUGAAGAUGACUAUGAAGUCGCCCAUGGGGGCCGGGCAAGAAAUGAGGAAGGGCAACAAGACAACCACCGCGGCGAGGGCGGGCAAGAAGACGAAGAAUCUUCAGGACAUGAUCACGAUGGUGAUGAUGUACACAAUCAUCAUGUAGAAGAUGUCGUACAUGAUGAUGAGGAAGAUCAAGACGAAGGGCAUGAUCAUGAAGAUGAAGAUGCCGGAGCAGAUGACGAUGGAGGCUGGGUGCAGGACCCUCAUAUUCAAGAGCUGCUUCGCAAGCAGACAGAUAAUGCAAGAGCUACCGCCCGAGAGAAAGCCAAGCUGGAUCAACUGGAGAUAGACGCGGUUACUCCAUUGUAUGAAGGAUGCAGGCCCGAGGAUACCCGCCUGAAAGUAAUGCUCAUCGCUCUGGAGAUGAAGGUAAAACACAAAAUGACCAACGCAUGCUUCGACGAGAACAUGUCAUUCUGGCACGAACGUCUUCCCAAGGGGAACAAGUGCCCGACCAGUUUCGAGGAGGCGAAGAAAAUCGUGUGUCCUUUGGAUUUACCGCACGUGAAAUACCAUGUGUGCAUGAACAAUUGCAUCCUUUAUCGGGACGAGCACGCGGAGUCUACCAUAUGUCCGGUGUGCGGCGUCACUCGAUACAAGAAGAGGAAGAAAGCUCCUCGAAAAUCGGUGUGGUACUUUCCGAUCACUCCUCGUCUGCAGCGGUAUUUCGCGGACCCUAAGGUAGCAAAGCUCCUGCGUUGGCACGCGGAUAGGGAGGAGAAGAAGCGGGAAGAUGACGGAAAUGAUCCGGAGAUAAGUAAAAAAGACAAGAUGCUGAGUCACCCUAAGGAUGCGAGCCAGUGGCAAGCGUUGAACUUCGAAUACCCAGAAUUUGGGAAGGAUCCAAGGAACAUCGUGCUGGGCGCGAGCACUGAUGGAGUCAAUCCAUUUGGCAGCCAGAGAAGCACACAUAGCACCUGGCCUGUGUUUGUGUGGAUGUACAACCUUCCCCCCUGGUUGUGCAUGAAGAGGAAGUACAUUCACAUGAGUAUGCUAAUUGCAGGGCCGAAACAACCAGGGAACGACAUCAAUCUGUAUCUGGGGCUGCUGAAGGAGGAGCUAUACACGCUGUGGAAAACGCCAGCCAAUACGUGGGACGCCGCAGAGAAAGAAUAUUUCCCUAUGAGAGCCGCACUGCUCACGACGGUGCACGACUAUCUUGGUUACGGAUAUCUCGCGGGGCAGGUAGUCCACGAAUUUUCUGGAUGCGUAAGGUGCAUGGAUGACACAACGCAUCGCCAGCUAGAUAGAGAUCCCGGGUCUUCGAAAACCGUGUUCAUGGGACAUCGAAGGUGGCUUCGCGACGAUGACCCGUGGAGGAAACGCAAGGAUCUGUUCGAUGGUGAAGCCGAACCCCGAAAACGCCCGUGUACGAGGAGCGGCGAGGAAAUAGACGAGCUGUUGAAAAAUUGGAAAGACUGCCCACUGCCGGGAAAGAAGCAAAAGGCGCCAGAGCCGGGAAAGAAGCGAAAGGUGCCAGAGCCGCUGCUGAAGGUAUGAAAAACGAGGUCUGUUUUCUGGGACUUGCCGUACUGGAAGAUCCACCGUGUGCCUCACAGCCUUGAUGUCAUGCAUAUCACCAAGAACGUGUGCGAGAGUCUGCUUGGUACCCUGCUCAACAUGUCAGAGAGGACCAAAGAUGGGCCGAAAGCAAGGGCAGACUUGAAAUCAAUGGGCAUCAGGCAGGAGCUUCACGCUAAUGAUGAUGAUGAUGAUGAUGAUGAGGCGAAGUAGGACACAGAAAGUCGUCGCAAAGGCAAAAAGGCCAAGAAGACCGGAAAUGACUACCCUCCCGCGUGCUUCACUCUAAGUCAGGAGGAGAUCGAGCAGUUUUUCACCUGCCUCCUAGGAGUAAAACUUCCUUACGGUUACGCGGGGAAGAUAAGCAGAUACCUAGACCCAGCGAAGCAGAAGUUCAGCGGGAUGAAGUCUCACGACUGUCACGUGCUGAUGACGCAGAUACUUCCAGUUGCAACCCGUGGGAUCAUGGACGCGCACGUCCGUGAAACGCUAUUUGUCCUAUGCAACUUUUUCGACGUCAUCUCUCGGAAGUCGGUUGGCGUGAGGCAACUCAGAAGGCUACAGGAAGAGAUCAUGGUGAUACUAUGCGAGCUUGAGAUGUAUUUCCCGCCCGCAUUCUUCGACGUUAUGGUGCAUCUGCUGGUCCAUAUCGUGGAGGAUAUCAUCCAACUCGGGCCGACGUUCCUGCACAGCAUGAUGCCGUUCGAAAGGAUGAAUGGUGUCAUCAAAGGAUACGUUCGGAACAUGUCACGUCCAGAGGGAAGUAUAGCCAGGGGCUUUCUGACCAAAGAGUGCAUCUCCUACUGCAUGAAUUAUCUAGGCAUCGAGAACCCCGUUGGUCUGCCCGUCAACAGGCACCUCGGCAGGCUCGCUGGAUGGGGUCACCGUGAGGGUCGCUGCGAAAUGCAUGUCGACUUCGAGGGUCGACUCGCUGACUUUGAAAGAGCAAACCUAGUCGCGCUACAACACAUAGACGUGGUCGAUCCUUGGGUGGUAGAGCACAAAACCUUUAUUGAGAAGACGUACAAUGACCGAGGCCAACAGAGGACGGACGGAGAUAUACUCAAAGAGCACAACUCAUGUUUCACGCAUUGGUUCAAGCAGAAGCUUAUGUCGUACCCUUUACAUGAGGAUUCUUCUGCGGAAGAACAACUCAUAUUCGCCUUGUCACAGGGCGCCGAGCACAACCUGAUGACCUAUGAGGUGUACGAUAUCAACGGCUACACAUUCUACACCGAGGACAAAGACAUGAAGAGCGAUGGUUAUCAGAACUCCGGGGUAACGAUGGAAUCCUACACCGGUAAGGACAAGGACAGAUACUACGGAAGGAUCAAGGAGAUCUGGGAGCUGAGCUACGCUGGAGAGAAGGUGUCGAUGUUCCGUGUCAGAUGGGCCAAGAGCGUCCUAAAAGAAGACCGAUAUUUCACUACCAGGGUUAUACCCGAAGCCAAAUCCAAGACCGCGGGCGCAAACGUCACCGCGAAAAAUGAGCCAUGGGUACUGGCUUCCCAAGUGGACCAAUGCUUCUUCAUUACCGACCCGCCAAAGCCCAGUCGUGUUGUCGUGAGGAGAGGCAAAAGGAGAUCAUCGGAAUGGAUGGAGUAGCCAAUGAGCAAGACUUCGACAACUACGGCGACCCGAAGAUCAAACAUGACGACGAUGAUGAAGUAGCAGCACACACCACAAGAAGAAGCAGGACCACCCUACCUAAAGGACGUCCGUUUCACAGAAGAACUCCAUUUGUGAAAAAGAAGGGCAAGAAGAUUGUGAACAGAUAGCUAGCUAAGAUCGAUUGUAUUUAAAUCGUAGUCUUCAUUUCUCGAUUGUAUUUCAUGGGCACUUUUUGGUAUCAUGAAUAUUUUUAAAUUUCAUGGGCACUUUUUGAAAUCAUGAGGACACUUGAUCUCGAUUACCCUCCAUCUCGAUCUCGAUUCCCCCUCCAUCUCGAUCUCGAUCCCCCUCCAUCUCGAUCCCGCACCCUCCCCCGCUAGCUCCACUGCCGCCGCCGACCCACCGCAACCCUCCACCGCCGCCGAUGAUAUUUUCAAGUAACAAAUUUGAACAUAUUUUUAAAAAAAUUAUUACUGUUUUUAUAAAAAAAUAUUACUGUUAUGAUUUAAACAAGUUUGAACAUAUUUAAACACAAAUAAAUAUAAAAAACAGCAUUUAAAAUGCAUAAAAAAAUAUUGAGGAGCCUAGGAAUCGAACCCAGGACCUCCUGGUGUGUGUCCUGCAUGCUGACCAGUCGGGCUAGUGGGUGGGUUAUGUUGUAGAUAGGGCUAGGUUGUAGAUAGGGCUAGUGGGCUAGAUUAAAAGAAAAUUCUAAUGACGCACCGUGGGGUGGUGCACCAUUAGAAUAGUCGUACUUCUGGCGCACGAGGGGGUGGUGCGCCAUUAGAAAGCUUCCCCCCACACUAAAUCCCCAAUCUCUCUAAUCUCUCCACUGCCUCAUCGAUCUCACCCGCUGCCCCCCGUGUUCGCCGUCCCCCUCGUCGCCCCCCUCGCUUCCUUGGCCGUCCCCGAGCCCAGCGCCGCCUCCCUCGCCGCCUCCCUCGCCGUCCCCGAGCCAAGUGCGCCUCCCUCGACGUCCUCCCGCCCAAGCGCCCCCUCCCCCCGCGGCCCCGCCUGUGCCCUCGACGUGCUCGCCGUCCAACACCACGCGGCCUGCCCAGGAGGACCGCCGCCGUCUUCCUCUUCGACUACGAGGACCCGGACGAGCUCGGACGCCCAGGAGGACCGCCACCGCUCGACGCCCUCGACCGUGCGGCCUGCCCAGGAGGAGCGCCACCGCUCGACGCCGAAUUCGCGCCGCCUCGACUAGCUCCGGCUGCCCCGAGUCGCCCUCGACCUCCCAAGUGAGCACCCGAGCCGCUUCCCCCUCUCCCCCCUCUUUAUUUCCUUCUGAUGUGUUCUAGGGUUGGGGGUUGGAGAAAUUUGGACAAGGAAAGGGGGUUGGAGAAUUAAGUAGCUAGGGUUUUCCAAAUGUUCAAAUCUCUGAGCUUGCAUUUAGAUGCAUUUUAGAGGAUACUUGGUCCAUAUUCAUUUGGUCCAUAUUCAUUUGUAGUGAACAUACAUUUUCUCUGUUCUUAUAAUAUUUGCUUGAUGUCAGAUUAUGCUAUGAGGAUAUUAGUCUAAGCCCAGUCUUGGAUGCAUUGUUUUAUCAUGCGGUGGUUAAACCGGUUCUGAAAAUUAUCUAGUUUGACCUGUACUUGUCCAGCUAUCAUAAUCUAUUCUUUGACCAUGGCAGUAGCUGGCAUUUUGUUAUGAUAAUUUCAGUAUAUAUAUUACUAUCCUUUGUUGAUCUCGUUGUAUUUUCAAUGCACAGGCAACUCUCCGACGAAGUCUCCUCCAGGUAAUAUAUGUCUCAUGCUUUCUAAAGAGUACUAGUAUACUGACUAAACUAUCCACUUGCUAUGCUUAGCUGCUCUGUUGUCUGAAUCAUGACACUUUGCCAGUUGAAACUUGCCUAUCACACUGUCGCUGUAUUGCUCAACUAAAAACACAAAUAUUUGUAGUUUUUGUCUGUCAUAAUGCAACUAAGCAUACUAGUCUCAACUAAGCAUACUAGUUUUUUGUAGUGAGACAGUAAGAUAGUGAGACAGUAAGAAGGAAACUUCCCAGAUUAUGUAGAAAGAAAAUACUUGGUUUGACAGCAAGUACCAUGACAUGAAUCAAGAAACAUAUACGAUGGGAAAAAUAAAAUGGCAGAAACCUGAAAGGUUCUGGUUUGCUGUAUCUCCACCAGUUUGGGUUGGUGAAUGUGGAUGAUUUUUUUAUCCUGUGAACUCAUUGUACUGCUACAAGAAUUUGGUAUCAUCAUGGUGUAAUUUUGUUAACAUUCUGGUUUUGUUAGAUAGUGGCUACACUAAUCUAGAGUGAUACAAUUUUCCUUCCCAUUUGGUAUCAUCAUGUUCAGUGUAUACAGUUAUAACAUCAUGUGAGUUUUUUAAGUCUGUUUACAGCUCAUGUGGGUUUUAACAUCAUGUGGGUUGGUGAAUGUGGAUGAUUUUUUUAUCCUGUGAACUUGAAUGUUGCAAUGUUGUUUUCUUCAGAGGCUACUGUCAAAAACUUGAGCUACUAUCUUGGAAAGAUGAUGAUCAUCUUGCUAGUUUGCUGGGUUUUGUCUCCGACCAUCGUGUCGUGAUGAAUUUGCAGGUACCCCGAGAGGCCCUUGAGUUUGCCAGAAUGUUGAUUAACUUCCGUUCCGGCAAAUUCGGGUACUCCAUAUGUCCUAUUUUCAGCAAAGGUCAUGCUGAAAUUUUAGCAUGACUUUGCUAAAAAUAGGACAUAAGGGGUACUUGCGACUAAUGCAUGGACCGGGGUAUAUUAGUACUUAGUUAAGUAGGAUCAAAUGCCCCGCCAUUCUUGCUGCAUUAAACCAUAGGUGGCAAUAGAGCCAAGUGAUUAGUCCCAACCUAGGGUGCCUCGGCUUAGGCUUUUAGGGUGCCUCGGCGUCGACAAACCCUAAAUGAUGAAAGCUUAGGCUUUUAGGGUGCCUCGGUGUUGACAAACCCUAAAUGAUGAGACCAUGAUCUUGUUCCUUGACAAUAACCAACUUUUUGACCAAACUUUUUUCCUAUUUAGAGAGAAACAUGGCCCAACGAUGAGGCCGGUGGUUCGGGCGGCAAGCAAUUCUAGGAGCUGUCCCAGGAGAUGGAGGAACAACCUCACCGCUAUGAGGACGCCGCGGAAGACACCGAUCCUGAUUACACAACCCCUAGUGGCGUCGGGGAUGACACCACUGAUGAUGCCGCCGAGGAUGCCACCACUGAUGAUGGCGGCGCACACAGAGAUGGCAGCCAACCGAAGAAGCAAAGAAAGGACCGGCGCCCGAAUGCGCUCCGCACCCUCAAGGAGGAAUUCACUCAAGUGGACUCCGACGGGAAUCCAACGGAGCCCAAACAUAUAGUCAAGGGGUACUCGGUUCAGCUCGGGUGCAUUCUCCAGAGCACCGUCUCGAUCAACACCGAGAACCUUAGGCAUAAGGACCGAGGGAAUUUGCGCAACCUCCUCUUCACGAAGCUGCACGAACGAUACAAGUUCCCCACCGAAUUUGAAAACACACGCCUCUCAGGGAAUAAAGUGAACAGUGCCGCCCUCACGAAGAUGAGCAUGGCCCUGUCUACUUGGAGAAGCGCGACGAAGAGAAUGAUUGAUAAAGGUGAUAGUUAUGAGAAGAUCAAGGCGAAAUAUCCUUUGAUGAGCGAAGAUGACUACAAGGAGUUCAAGAUAAAGUGCGAGAGCAGUGCAACCACCGAAUCAAGUCAGUGGGGGAAAGAAAUGCGGGAGUUGAACUUAGGGGAACACAAACUCGGUCCCGGCGGUUACAGAGUGGCGGAGCCUAUAUGGGACAAGGAGGAUGCGGAGCGUGCCGAGCAAGGCCUACCGCCCCGCUUCGAGAAAUACAGCGGUAACAAGCAGACCAGGAACUAUGUCACGGCCCGGUACAAGGAGGACCCGAUAACAAAGGAGCUUACCACGGAUCCGAAGACCAGGGUGCUUGAGCUUGUUCUGGUAAGGAAUACACCCCCGCGUAAUUAGCUCCAUAUGGUUGCACUCUAACUAAACCCCAAUAUUUCUAAAUGGUUCACGUUCCUUUCGCAGGAAACUGAAAGCAGUAGCGCGGGGUCGUCUCAGAGCUCCCCAUUAGACAGCCCUUUAAAUAGGGCGUUGAACAUAAUGAAAAGCAAGGAUAAGCUCACUAAGCCGACGUUAGCUGGUCGUGUGGCCGGCAAAGGCUUGUCCACAAAAUGGGGGUCAUACUAUACCGCUGGUGUGCGAAAGGAGAAAAAGGCCAGCUCGGAAAGCCAGACGCGUGAGGUUGAAGCACUCAAGGCACACGUGGUGCGGAUUUCGGAGCUUGUCCAAGAGCAAGUGGAACAACAACUGGGAACGAAGCUCAACGCCAUGGUGCCUACGUUGAUUCAUGGGCUGACGACGUGGAUUGCGGGCGGCCAACAGGGGCCUCCCCCGGUUCCUAGCUUCACGUCCAGCAACUCGCACAACGCGCAGGCGGCGCCAUUGGUGUCUCCGGCGACACCAUUGGUGUCUCCGGCGGCGGCGCCAUUGGUGUCUCCGGCGGAGGCGGUAUUCGUGUCUCCGGCGCCGGCACGGGCAUUGGUGCUUAAUGCACCCGGGUGUACGCCGGCCGGCACCUCGCCAGCAAGCUCCCCCUCUGUCAGUUGCAUGCCCGCCGUUGGCGGUGCCUUGACAUUAGCCGAGCUCGACGGCAUCACGGUAACUAAGCCUCUCGGCCGAUGACUUCAUCUCCUUGCCUUUGACUGGGCAUCCCUAACGCCCUCUACAUGUUUUCGCAGGGCACCGCCGACGUUCCUUGCACUCUUCUGCACUUUUUGGGCGCCGAGUUGGUCGAUGUCGCCAAGGGCAGAAUCGUUCAACCGGGCAACCCCAUGUUCCACGGUAAUCCGAUGCCACCCACAGUGUAUAGGGUUGAAGUGGUUCGGGUGCUGCCAGGCUGCGACGAGCUGUUUGUUGGGGAACGUUGCAGAAAAUAAAAAAUUUCCUAUGGUUUCACCAAGAUCCAUCUAUGAGUUCAUCUAAGCAACGAGUGAAAGGAGAGAUGCAUCUACAUACCACUUUGUAGAUCGCGAGCGGAAGCGUUCAAAAGAACGGGGUUGAGGUAGUCGUUCACGUCGUGAUCCUAUCACCGAAGAUCCUAGCGCCGAACGGACGGCACCUCUGCGUUCAACACACGUAUGGUCAGCGUGACGUCUCCUCCGUCUUGAUCCAGCAAGGGGAAGGACAGGUUGAUGAUGAUCCAGCAGCACGACGGUGUGGUGGUGGAUGCAGCAGAACUCCGGCAGGGCUUCGCCAAGCUGUUGCGGGAGGAGGACGAGGUGUAGCAGGGGGAGGGAGGCGCCAAGACUUAGGGUGCGGCUGCCCUCCCCUUUGCCCUCCUUUAUCUAGGCCCCCAGGAGGGGCGCCGGCCCUAGGAGAUCAAUCUCCCAAGGGGGAGGGCGGCGGCCAAGGGGGGUGGAGUGCCCCCCAAGGCACGGGGGGGGGGGGGCAAGGGGGGCACACCAUCCCACUAGGGGUUGGUUCCCCUCCCACUCCAGCCCAUGGGUCCCUCCUGGAUAGGUGGCCCCACCCGGUGGACCCCCGGGACCCUUCCGGUGGUCCCGGUACAAUACCGGGUGACCCCGAAACUUUCCCGAUGGCUGAAACGGCACUUCCUAUAUAGUUUUCUUUACCUCCGGACCAUUCCGGAACUCCUCGUGACGUCCGGGAUCUCAUCCGGGACUCCGAACAACAUUCGGUUUGCUUCAUACUCAUAUUCAUACAACCCUAGCGUCACCGAACCUUAAGUGUGUAGACCCUACGGGUUCGGGAGACAAGCAGACAUGACCGAGACGGCUCUCCGGUCAAUAACCAACAGCGGGAUCUGGAUACCCAUGUUGGCUCCCACAUACUCCUCGAUGAUCUCAUCGGAUGAACCACGAUGUCGACGGUUCAAGCAACCCCGUAUACUAUUCCCUUUGUCAGACGGUAUGUUACUUGCCCGAGACUUGAUCGUCGUUAUCCCAAUACCUCGUUCAAUCUCGUUACCGGCAAGUCACUUUACUCGUACCAUAAUGCAUGAUCCCGUGACCAGACACUUGGUCACUUUGAGCUCAUUAUGAUGAUGCACUACCGAGUGGGCCCAGUGAUACCUCUCCGUAACACGGAGUGACAAAUCCCAGUCUCGAUCCGUGUCAACCCAACAGACACUUUCGGAGAUACUUGUAGUGCACCGUUAUAGUCACCCAGUUACGUUGUGACGUUUGGUACACCCAAAGCACUCCUACGGUAUCCGGGAGUUACAUGAUCUCAUGGUCUAAGGAAGAGAUACUUGACAUUGGAAAAGCUCUAGCAAAACGAACUACACGAUCUUGUGCUAUGCUUAGGAAUGGGUCUUGUCCAUCACAUCAUUUUCCUAAUGAUGUGAUCCCGUUGUCAACGACAUCUAAUGUCCAUAGUCAGGAAACCAUGACUAUCUGUUGACCAAUGAGCUAGUCAACUAGAGUCUUACUAGGGACGUAUUGUGGUCUAUGUAUUCACACGUGUAUUACGAUUUCCGGAUAAUACAAUUAUAGCAUGAAUAAAAGACAAUUAUCAUGAACAAGGAAAUAUAAUAAUAAUACUUUUAUUAUUGCCUCUAGGGCAUAUUUCCAACAGUCUCCCACUUGCACUAGAGUCAAUAAUCUAGUUACAUUAUGAUGAAUCGAACACCCAUAGAGUUCUGGUGUUGAUCAUGUUUUGCUCGCGAGAGAGGUUUAGUCAACGGAUCUGCGACAUUCAGAUCCGUAUGUACUUUGCAAAUAUCUAUAUCUCCAUCUUGAACAUUUUCACGGAUGGAGUUGAAGCGACGCUUGAUGUGCCUGGUCUUCUUGUGAAACCUGGGCUCCUUAGCAAGGGCAAUAGCUCCAGUGUUGUCACAGAAGAGUUUGAUCGGCCCCGACGCAUUGAGUAUGACUCCUAGGUCGGUGAUGAACUCCUUCACCCAAAUUGCUUCAUGUGCUGCCUCCGAGGCUGCCAUGUACUCCGCUUCACAUGUAGAUCCCGCCACGACGCUCUGCUUGCAGCUGCACCAGCUUACUGCUCCACCAUUCAACAUAUACACGUAUCCGGUUUGUGACUUAGAGUCAUCCAGAUCUGUGUCGAAGCUAGCGUUGACGUAACCCUUUACGACGAGCUCUUCGUCACCUCCAUAAACGAGAAACAUGUCCUUUGUCCUUUUCAGGUACUUUAGGAUAUUCUUGACCGUUGUCCAGUGUUCCUUGCCGGGAUUACUUUGGUACCUUCCUACCAAACUUACGGCAAGGUUUACAUCAGGUCUGGUACACAGCAUGGCAUACAUAAUAGAUCCUAUGGCUGAAGCAUAGGGGAUGACACUCAUAUCUUCUUUAUCUUUUGCCGUGGUCGGGCAUUGAACCGAGCUCAAUCUCACACCUUGCAGUACAGGCAAGAACCCUUUCUUGGACUGAUCCAUUUUGAACUUCUUCAAAAUCUUAUCAAGGUAUGUGCUUUGUGAAAGACCUAUGAGGUGUCUUGAUCUAUCGCUAUAGAUCUUGAUGCCUAAUAUGUAAGCAGCUUCUCCAAGGUCCUUCAUUGAAAAACACUUAUUCAAGUAGGCCUUAAUGUUGUCCUAGAAUUCUAUAUCAUUUCCCAUCAAAAGUAUGUCAUCUACAUAUAAUAUGAGAAAUGCUACAGAGCUCCCACUCACUUUCUUGUAAACGCAGGCUUCUCCAUAAGUCUGCAUAAACCCAAACGCUUUGAUCAUCUCAUCAAAGCGAAUGUUCCAACUCCAAGAUGCUUGCACCAGCCCAUAAAUGGAUCGCUGGAGCUUGCAUACUUUGUUAGCAUUCUUAGGAUCGACAAAACCCUCCGGCUGCAUCAUAUACAGUUCUUCCUUAAGAUGCCCAUUAAGGAAUGCCGUUUUGACGUCCAUCUACCAUAUCUCAUAAUCAUAAUAUGCGGCAAUUGCUAACAUGAUUCGGACGGACUUCAGCUUUGCUACGGGAGAGAAUGUCUCAUCGUAGUCAACCCCUUCAACUUGUCGAUAACCCUUAGCGACAAGUCGAGCUUUAUAAAUGGUAACAUUACCAUCCGCGUCCGUCUUCUUCUUAAAGAUCCAUUUGUUUUCUAUUGCUCGCCGAUCAUCGGGCAAGUCAGUCAAAGUCCACACUUUGUUUUCAUACAUGGAUUCUAUCUCGGAUUGCAUGGCUUCUAGUCAUUUGUUGGAAUCUGGGCCCGCCAUCGCUUCUUCAUAGUUCGAAGGUUCACCGUUGUCUAACAACAUGAUUUCCAGGACAGGGUUGCCAUACCACUCUGGUGUGGAACGUGUCCUUGUGGACCUACGAAGUUCAGUAGCAACUUGAUCAGAAGUACCUUGAUCAUCAUCAUUAAUUUCCUCUCCAGUUGGUGUAGGUACCACAGGAACAUUUUCCUGAGCUGCACUACUUUCCGGUUCAAGAGGUAGUACUUCAUCGAGUUCUACUUUCCUCCCACUUACUCCUUUCGAGAGAAACUCUUUUUCCAGAAAGGAUCCGUUCUUGGCAACAAAGAUCUUGCCCUCGGAUCUUAAGUAGAAGGUAUACCCAAUGGUUUCCUUAGGGUAUCCUAUGAAGACGCAUUUUUCCGACUUGGGUUCGAGCUUUUCAGGUUGAAGUUUCUUGACAUAAGCAUCGCAUCCCUAAACAUUUAGAAACGAUAGCUUAGGUUUCUUCCCAAACCAUAAUUCAUACGGUGUCGUUUCAACGGAUUUAGAUGGUGCCCUAUUUAAAGUGAAUGUAGCUGUCUCUAGAGUGUAUCCCCAAAAUGAUAGCGGUAAAUUGGUAAGAGACAUCAUAGAUCGCACCAUAUCCAAUAGAGUGCGCUUACGACGUUCGGACACACUGUUACGCUGAGGUGUUCCAGGCGGCGUGAGUUGUGAAACGAUUCCACAUUUUCUUAAGUGUGUACCAAAUUCGUGACUUAAAUAUUCUCCUCCACGAUCCGAUCGUAAGAAUUUUAUCUUUCGGUCACGUUGAUUCUCUACUUCAUUAUGAAAUUCCUUGAACUUUUCAAAGGUCUCAGACUUGUGUUUCACCAAGUAGACAUACCCAUAUCUACUCAAGUCAUCAGUGAGAGUGAGAACAUAACGAUAUCCUCCGCGAGCCUCAACGCUCAUUGGACCGCACACAUCGGUAUGUAUGAUUUCCAACAAGUUGGUUGCUCGCUCCAUUGUUCCGGAGAAUGGAGUCUUGGUCAUUUUGCCCAUGAGGCAUGGUUCGCAUGUGUCAAAUGAUUCAUAAUCGAGAGACUCUAAAAGUCCAUCAGCAUGGAGCUUCUUCAUGCGCUUGACACCAAUGUGACCAAGGCGGCAGUGCCACAAGUAUGUGGGACUAUCGUUAUCAACUUUACAUCUUUUGGUAUUCACGCUAUGAAUAUGUGUAACAUUACGUUCGAGAUUCAUUAAGAAAAAACCAUUGACCAUCGGGGCAUGACCAUAAAACAUAUCUCUCAUAUAAAUAGAACAACCAUUAUUCUCAGAUUUAAAUGAGUAGCCAUCUCGUAUCAAACGAGAUCCAGAUACAAUGUUCAUGCUCAAACUUGGCACUAAAUAACAAUUAUUGAGGUUUAAAACUAAUCCCGUAGGUAAAUGUAGAGGUAGCGUGCCGACGGCGUUCACAUCGACCUUGGAACCAUUCCCGGCGCGCAUCGUCACCUCGUCCUUCGCCAGUCUCCGCUUAUUCCGCAGCUCCUACUGUGAGUUACAAAUGUGAGCAACGGCACCGGUAUCAAAUACCCAGGAGUUACUACGAGUACUGGUAAGGUACACAUCAAUUACAUGUAUAUCAAAUAUACCUUUAGUGUUGCCGGCCUUCUUGUCCGCUAAGUAUUUGGGGCAGUUCCGCUUCCAGUGACCCUUCCCCUUGCAAUAAAAGCACUCAGUCUCAGGCUUGGGUCCAUUCUUUGACUUCUUCCCGGCAACUGGCUUACCGGGCGCGGCAACAUCUUUGCCGUCCUUCUUGAAGUUCUUCUUACCCUUGCCCUUCUUGAACUUAGUGGUCUUAUUGACCAUCAACACUUGAUGUUCUUUCUUGAUUUCAACCUCUGCUGACUUCAGCAUUGAGAAUACUUCAGGAAUGGUCUUCACCAUCCCCUGCAUAUUGUAGUUCAACACAAAGCUCUUGUAGCUCGGUGGGAGCGACUGAAGGAUUCUGUCAAUGACCGCCUCUUCCGGGAGGUUGAUCUCCAACUGGGAGAGGUGGUUAUGCAACCCAGACAUUUUGAGUAUGUGCUCACUGACAGAACUGUUUUCCUCCAUCUUACAACUAUAGAACUUGUCGGAGACUUCAUAUCUCUCGACCCGGGCAUGAGCUUGGAAAACCAUUUUCAGCUCCUCGAACAUCUCAUAUGCUCCAUGCUUCUCAAAACGCUUUUGGAGCCCCGGUUCUAAGCUGUAAAGCAUGCCGCACUGAAUGAGGGAGUAAUCAUCAGCACGUGAUUGCCAAGUGUUCAUAACGUCUUGGUUCUCUGGGAUGGGUGCUUCACCUAGCGGUGCAUCUAGGACAUAAUCUUUCUUGGCUGCUAUGAGGAUGAUCCUCAGGUUUUGGACCCAGUCCGAAUAGUUGCUGCCAUCAUCUUUCUGCUUGGUUUUCUCUAGGAACGCGUUGAAGUUCAUGUUGACAUGAGCGUUGGCCAUUUGAUCUACAAGACAUAUUUUGCAAAAGUUUUAGACUAAGUUCAUGAUAAUUAAGUUCAUCUAAUCAAAUUAUUUAAUGAACUCCUACUCAGAUUAGACAUCCCUCUAGUCAUCUAAGUGUUACACGAUCCGAGUCGACUAGGCCGUGUCCGAUCAUCACGUGAGACGGACUAGUCAUCAUCGGUGAACAUCUCCAUGUUGAAAGUAUCUUUCAUACGACUCAUGUUCGACCUUUCGGUCUCUGUGUUCCGAGGCCAUGUCUGUACAUGCUAGCCUCGUCAAGUUAACCCUAAGUGUUCUGCAUGUGUAAAUCUGUCUUACACCCGUUGUAUGUGAACGUAAGGAUCUAUCACACCCGAUCAUCACGUGGUGCUUUGAAACGACGAACUUUAGCAACGGUGCACAGUCAGGGGGAACACUUUCUUGAAAUUAUUAUAAGGGAUCAUCUUAUUUACUACCGUCGUUCUAAGUAAACAAGAUGCAUAAAACAUAAUAAACAUCACAUGCAAUUAUAUAGUAGUGACAUGAUAUGGCUAAUAUCAUAUAGCUCCUUCGAUCUCCAUCUUCGGGGCUCCAUGAUCAUCUUCGUCACCGGCAUGACACCAUGAUCUCCAUCAUCAUGAUCUCCAUCAUUGUGUCUUCAUGAAGUUGUCACGCCAACGACUACUUCUACUUCUAUGGCUAACGCGUUUAGCAAUAAAGUAAAGUAAUUUACAUGGCGUUCUUCAAUGACACGUAGGUCAUACAAAAAAUAAAGAAAACUCCUAUGGCUCCUGCCGGUUGUCAUACUCAUCGACAUGCAAGUCGUGAUUCCUAUUACAAGAACAUGAUCUCAUACAUCACAAUAUAUCAUUCAUCAUUCAUCACAACUUCUGGCCAUAUCACAUCACAUGACAAUUGCUGCAAAAACAAGUUAGACGUCCUCUAAUUGUUGUUGCAUCUUUUACGUGGCUGCAAUUGGGUUCUAGCAAGAAUGUUUUCUUACCUACGAAUAACCACAACGUGAUUUUGUCAACUUCUAUUUACCCUUCAUAAGGACCCUUUUCAUCUAAUCCGCUCCAACUAAAGUAGGAGAGACAGACACCCACUAGCCACCUUAUGCAACUAGUGCAUGUCAGUCGGUGGAACCUGUCUCACGUAAGCGUACGUGUAAGGUCGGUCCGGGCCGCUUCAUCCCACAGUACCGCUGAAGCAAGAAAAUACUAGUAGCGGCAAGCAAGUUGACAAGAUCUACGCCCACAACAAAAUUGUGUUCUACUCGUGCAAUAGAGAACUACGCAUAAACCUGGCUCUGAUACCACUGUUAGGGAACGUUGCAGAAAAUUAAAAUUUUCCUACGGUUUCACCAAGAUCCAUCUAUGAUUUCAUCUAAGCAACGGGUGAAAGGAGAGAUGCAUCUACAUACCACUUUGUAGAUCGCGAGCGGAAGCGUUCAAAAGAACGGGGUUGAGGUAGUCGUUCACGUCGUGAUCCUAUCACCGAAGAUCCUAGCGCCGAACGGACGGCACCUCCGCGUUCAACACAUGUACGGUCAGCGUGACAUAUCCUCCAUCUUGAUCCAGCAAGGGGAAGGAGAGGUUGAUGAUGAUCCAGCAGCACGACGGCGUGGUGGUGGAUGCAGCAGAACUCCGGCAGGGCUUCGCCAAGCUGUUGCGGGAGGAGGACGAGGUGUAGCAGGGGGAGGGAGGCGCCAAGACUUAGGGUGCGGCUGCCCUCCCCUUUGCCCUCCUUUAUCUAGGCCCCCAGGGGGGGCGCCGGCCCUGGGAGAUCAAUCUCCCAAGGGGGGCAGCGGCCAAGGGGGGGUGGAGUGCCCCCCAAGGCAAGUGGUGCGCCCCCCCCACCUAGGGUUUCCAACCCUAGGUGCAGGGGGGCCCCAAGGGGGGCGCACCAGCCCACUAGGGGCUGGUUCCCCUCCCACUUCAGCCCACGGGGCCCUCCGGGAUAGGUGACCCCACCCGGUGGACCCCCGGGACCCUUCCGGUGGUCCCGGUACAAUACCGGGUGACCCCAAAACUUUCCCGAUGGCCGAAACAACACUUCCUAUAUAGUUUUCUUUACCUCCGGACCAUUCCGGAACUCCUCGUGAUGUCCGGGAUCUCAUCCGAUACUCCGAACAACAUUCGGUUUGCUGCAUACUCAUAUUCUUACAACCCUAGCGUCACUGAACCUUAAGUGUGUAGACCCUACGGGUUCGGGAGAGAAGCAGAAAUGACCGAGACGACUCUCCGUUCAAUAACCAACAGCGGGAUCUGGAUACCCAUGUUGGCUCCCACAUACUCCUCGAUGAUCUCAUCGGAUGAACCACGAUGUCGAGGGUUCAAGCAACCCCGUAUAGUAUUCCCUUUGUCAGACGGUAUGUUACUUGCCCGAGACUCGAUCGUCGGUAUCCCAAUACCUCGUUCAGUCUUGUUACCGGCAAGUUACUUUACUCGUACCGUAAUGCAUGAUCCCAUGACCAGACACUUGGUCACUUUGAGCUCAUUAUGAUGAUGCACUACCGAGUGGGCCCAAUGAUACCUCUCUGUAACACGGAGUGACAAAUCCCAGUCUCGAUCCGUGUCAACCCAACAGACACUUUCGGAGAUACCUGUAGUGCACCUUUAUAGUCACCCAGUUACGUUGUGACGUUUGGUACACCCAAAGCACUCCUACGGUAUCCGGGAGUUACACAAUCUCAUGGUCUAAGGAAGAGAUACUUGACAUUGGAAAAGCUCUAGCAAAACGAACUACACGAUCUUGUGUUAUGCUUAGGAAUGGGUCUUGCCCAUCACAUCAUUUUCCUAAUGAUGUGAUCCCGUUGUCAACGACAUCUAAUGUCCAUAGUCAGGAAACCAUGACUAUCUGUUAACCAACGAGCUAGUCAACUAGAGGCUUACUAGGGACGUAUUGUGGUCUAUGUAUUCACACGUGUAUUACGAUUUCCGGAUAAUACAAUUAUAGCAUGAAUAAAAGACAAUUAUCAUGAACAAGGAAAUAUAAUAGUAAUACUUUUAUUAUUCCCUCUAGGGCAUAUUUCCAACACUGUUACCUCCGGUUCGACCCGCUGGGGCCGACGAAGAAGAUGAGAUGACCCUCAGCGCCUGCGUAAACUAGCCGCUGCUUUGGCCGAAGAGCCAGAUUCGUUUGGGGGCGGGGGACACCACCCCACAGACAAGACCGCCAGUCGUGCCGGCGCCAAACCAUGGCAAGAACGCCGCAACGCUACCGGACCUGCCGGACAUCCCUAUGGCACAGGAUCCGGACAGCCCUAUGGCACAGGAUCCGGACAACAACGACAACGACGACGGUACAUUUACCAAAGUCGAUAAGUACUUUGCCGAACAUGGGUACGCUGACGAGUUCUGCGGGCCUCUUUCUCAAGAACCCAACCAAGACGACCGCAAUCUAGCUGGUACGGCGGAGAAAUCCAAUUGCAAUAGGCGUCGUCUGCCGUUCAGUUCUCAGGAGACGCCUCCAGCUCCCGCCUUCACCGAGCCUCAGAUAGCUGAGGUGCGAAAUAUUAUCAGCCCCAUUACAGGAGAUCAAGAAGAAGGGACGGAAACGAAAGACUAACGAGGGCGCCGGUGUGAGCCAGCCGGCACCGAGUUCGAUCCGUGCUCAGGACGGGCCACCUUCACCUAAGGAUAUGUCGAGGAGGGUGCAUGUGGCGGGUAGGGCGAUGCUACCACCAAAUAUGCUGAAUGCUGCAACCGGUGCUAUGCGGAGUCUACACGACAGUGUUCUUUCUUUGGAGAAGCGGCGUCUGAGAGAGAAUGAUGUGGCAUACCCGGUUUUCGUGGCCAAGGUGCCAGAGGGCAAGGGCUUUGCGGAUGGCAACAUCGGGGGUAUGAUCGUCCUGCGGUUUGAUGACAUCUUUGCUAUGUUUAACCUUCAUCCGCUGCACUACACCUUCAUUCGGCUGUUUUCGCUGAGUAUGGAGAUGUGGAUCAUUAGAGACAAGACCCCGGACAUCGUGAUAGUCGACCCCUUCUACAUGCGUGCCAAGCACUUGAACAACGCUGGGGACCGCCAAGUUGCAAGUUCACACCUCGAAGGCGUCAUUCUGGCAAACCCAGAUAAGGAUAACUUCCUUGUGGCUUACUUUCCCGAGUAAGUCAUCCCUUAACAACCCCGUAACAUAUGAUUUCUUAGAUUUUGAUCGUUCUUUUUUUCUAACAUUCCGUGUUCUGUGCAGUGACACACAUUGCACACUCAUCCUCUUAAGCCCGAAAUAUUCCAUGGCCACGUAUUUCGACCCGAACCGUAACUCCAAGAUAGACUACACAAAUGUCAAGAAAGUUCUUGAUGAUGUUCUCCCUGGCUACGCCAAAUCUGGAGGCACCUUCACUAGGGCAGUUCGUAAGUACGGCAAGCACAUGUUCUCACACAAUACGAAGUUCUGCUGUGUCAAGCAGCUGCCUGGCGGUCAGAAGGAUGCCUACUACGCCCUCCAUCACAUGCGGGCGAUCGUAAGGGACCAUCAUCAACUUCUGCUACCAUAUAAUCUCAAAGAUUGGGCCGUGAGCUUGUCGGCAGUCCAGGACGCGGACCUCAGACAAAAAUUCUUUCGCAUCCAGUCGGAGUUUGCGGACAUCAUCCAUCAAGAUGUCCUUCAUACCUCGGGGCAGUUCUUCUUUAGAUAUCAACCGUCCAACAGUGAGAUAGAUGAAACGCUACAAAUGCAAGGUGACAACAACCGCGAUUUCAUGACCAUCACGACAGACGGCGGCUUCAUCCACGCUCCUGUUCGAUGAGUCGAGUCGAAAGUAGUGAUGUGUAGUUCUGAAACAUUGAUUAGCUCAUGUUGUAAUUAAACUUUAAUGAAUUCGUAUGUCUCUUUGGUUUGGAUAGUCGUUCAACUUAGAUGUAAUCGAUGCUAUUUAUUAGUAGGACCAUGAAUCAUGCUAUUAAUGUCUUGCUCUUCUCUUUCGAUCCUUUUGUUGCAUACUUACAUAUUGCUUAUGUAUUGUCUGUUGUUUGGCUUCUGCAUAGAGAUGCCGUCAUAUAUCGUGUACAAGGGUAAGGUUCUCGGAGUCUACGACGACUGGGAGGAGUGUCGGAGACAGGUUCACCGUUUCAGCGGUAACAGUUACAAAGGGUACACCACUAGGGCGGAGGACGAAUCUAGAUAUGCCCGCUAUCUAGCGGGAGAGAGGAGGGAGCGUUGGAGGAACCGGAUGAGGACCAGUUUGAUCGCGAUGAUGCUCAUCGUGAUGACCACAACUCUCUUUUAUGUGAUGGUAGUUUAGAUGAUCGAUAUCGACUUGUAAUGUGAAGACAAACUCGAUACUCGCGGUCUUGAGACUUGUAAUGUUUAUCUUUGUUCGGUCUUUUGAAUUCGGAGACUAAUAUGAUGACUUGUAUUCGGAGACUAAUCUUCUAUUGUAUUCGAUGAAUCUGAUGUUGCUGUGUGCUGCUGUCUAUAGUCUGUCCAAUAAUAUAUUUUGUAACCUGUGCAAAAAUCAGAAAAGCAAAAAAAACAAAUAUUCAUACUAAUGGCGCAUCAAGGCAGAGUGCGCUAUUAGUAUGCUAAAGGAUACUAAUGGCGCAUCGUGGCAGAGUGCGCCAUUAGUGUGACAAAGCACAUGGUUACAUAUGGCCCCCCGGGAGGCAUACUAAUGGCGCAUGGUGUUACAUACUAAUGGCGCACUGGCAGGUGCGCCAUUAGUAUACCAGAUACUAAUGGCUCACCAGUGGUGCGCCAUUAGUAAAAAAUUCUAAUGGCGUGCUACUAAUGGCACACCGGUAGUGCGCCAUUAGUAGGCAAAACCGGUGCGCCAUUAGUAGGCCUUUUCCUAGUAGUGUCGGCUGAGAUUCCAGGAUCGGAGUUGACUACGAUUGCUGAGGUAACUGGCAGGUCUGACUCUGAGCGGGCGGCUAAGUGGGCGCGUAAGAAAGAAAAUAUGUUGUGUUAUAGAUGUGGUGGAAAGGGUCACUUUAUUCCUGAAUGUGUUGCUGAGCUUUGUGGCACGUGUGGAAAAUCAGCUCGCGACUCGGGGGACUGUCCGUUUUUGAGAGAUCAGGCACCAGCACUCAGGAUGUAUGGAGUGUAUUGUGCCGAGCUUACUUUCUUUGAAUCUCCAACGGAGAUGGACGUUCCUGACGAGACUUUGAGCUUAACGACUGGGUUAGUCAAAGUUGCCAGAGGAGAUGUCUCAGAGGCACAGAUUGUUCAGAGGCUCAAAGAGUUAGCUCCUGGGGAGUUCUAGUGGGAGCUUGUUAACAUCGAGGACAAAGUGUUUCGGGUUGAGUUUCCGUCAAUGGAGGAUCUUCAGGGACUUCUGAGCUUCGGAAUGUGCAAGGUGCUGGGUACUGAUGGGGUGCUUGAGUUUCACGAGUGGAAGAGGAUUGAGCCUACGGGCAAGCCGCUGACUCAGGUUUGGUUGUGGUUCUUUGGGGCCCCCUCCAAGCCGAUGCAGGAUGCUCGGGUGGUGGCCAGUUUGGGUAUCAUGGUGGGCAAACCAGAGAGAGUGGAUAUGGACUUCACCAGAGCCCAUGGCAUUGCCCGUAUACUGGUUAGUGUGCUAAACAUCGAGUACGUGCCUGAGGUGGUUAAGUGGGCAUAUCGCGGCCACAUCUAUAACCUUGUCAUUGAGUUCGAGGAUGAGAGUCUGUUCGCUGAGGUGGCCAGCGGGACGGAUACUGAUAUGCACGAGGGUGAUGAUGGCUCGGCUCUAAAGGAAGCACUAGCAGCUGACAGUGGACGAGAGUUGUCCACUGCGCCGGGUGCUGACUCUCAGACGUCUGCCGAUUGUACGGCACCAUCUUCUACAGUGCCUACAGCUACUCUCAGAUUCGGGUCUUUCGAGCCGGCAUCUGCACCUCCGAGACUUUGGAGUGAUCGCGUGGAGUCUGAGGAGGCGUUUGAGCAUACGCUGCCGGUGCUGGAGUCUGAGGAGUCUGUGGUUCCUAUGAUUGGUGCUUCACCGAUUUCGGUCAGGGAUGAGGCGGCAGAGGCUGCACUCGCUGGCGGGGGUCCGGAGAUGGUGAUUUCGAACUCCUCCACUGUGGUCGUGGUCUCUCAGGUUCAGCAGGCGGUGCCUUCGGUUGAUGGGGGCGUGGGGCAGGAGGCCUCCGCGCUACCAUCGGGGCUUCCGCAGGACGGGCUCCACACGGUGCUGCUUCACUCAUCGGGAGGGGAUCCCUACUCCCCUUCUGCCAGGCCGGUUGCGCUGGCGCCGGUGUUGCUUUCCGGAGAGGGCUCGGGGCAGGUGGCCUCGGGGCUCUCUACUCCGGAGGCGCCUAGAGAGGCCUGCGGGCCUUCUAUGUCGGUGACGCUGGCUGGUCGUUGGGCCGUGAUGGAUGGGGAGCUCGGGCAGGAGGCCCUGGUUCCACCUUCCCUCAUUUUGGAGUUCUCCUCUACAGCAACUCGGGAGGAGGUGAUUGCAUUCGGGGGUAUUUCGGAUCCGGUCUCUGAGGGGCGACGGUUGAGUAGCCAUCUCCAGGACCAUCCGGAAGUGGACGACAUACAACAGUGGUGCGCUAUGAGGGCGGCCAAGCUUCGUGACGUGGAGGUCACUACUGGUAUGUCGGUCAAUACCUCUAAUUCAAUUUUGUAUUUUUCUAAUGAUGAGAUUAUUAAUAAUGAAAAUCAGCUAGGUAUUUCACUAGGUAGUAAUGAUAGUGAAAUCUCAACCUCGGUUAAUGAUAUGCUGGAUUUAGAGGCCGAACGGGCGCUUGAGAUGAUUCAUAACUUAGCUGCGGUCAAACCCAUGAAUGAUUCAGAUAUCGACACUUUAGGGGUCAGGGUGCUCGAUAAUCUUUGUGCGGAUCUGGCUCAACCGUCUCCUGAGCCUGAGGAGGAGGAUGAGCGAGUAGAUGUUGUGGACUUGCAUACCUCUGAGACUGGUUGUGAGGACCAGCUGGAGAGUUUCAUUGCUCCUAAACGCAGAUGGAAGCGGAAGAUUUACCCGGUUUCCGCAGUGCGGAGGAGUGCUCGGAUUCGGACGACGAAAAAAAUCCACGAUGAGAUAUGAAAGGAAUCUUUUGGAAUAGCAGAGGUCUGAAAGACUUGGCUAAAAGAAGGUUUCUUGCUGAGGCUUCUAUUGAGCAUAAGUUGGACUUUAUUGCUUUGUCGGAAACGGGUAGAGCCAACUUCUCGCCACAAUUUCUUAAUACUCUGUCGGGGGGUAUUGAUUUUGAUUGGCAUUGUCUACCUCCGCGAGGAAGAUCGGGUGGGAUUUUACUCGGAGUUAGAUGCGAUUCGUUAGAAAUCCGAAGUGUGGUCAUGGGAGAUUUUGCUGUUAAGUUUAGGGUGAGGUCGAAGGCAGAUGGGUUUAACUGGGCUUUGGUAGCGGUAUAUGGUGCCGCUCAGCCCGAGCUCAAAUCGGAUUUCUUGGCUGAUCUGGUUAGGAUUUGUGGGUCUGAACAAUUAUCUAUCCUAGUGGGGGUGAUUUUAAUAUCAUCAGGAGGAGUGAUGAGAAGAAUAAUGACAAUUUUGACGGCCGAUGGUCGUUCAUGUUUAAUACAAUCAUUGAAAGCCUUGACCUGCAUGAGAUGGAGCUUUCGGGCCGAAAGUUUACCUGGGCUAACGCCUUGCCAAAUCCGACGUUUGAGAAGCUGGAUCGAGUCCUGGCUAGCGUCGAGUGGGAGCAGAAAUUCCCUUAUGUUACAGUCCAGGCGCUUACUCGUGGUAUUUCUGACCACAUGCCUUUAUUUCUCGAUUCUGGGGAGGCCACCCACUUGGGAAAUAAGAAUAUUUUUUCGUUGGAGCUUGCUUGGUUUGAGAGAGAAGGUUUCUUGGAUCUCGUAGGCAGAGAAUGGGCUAAGGAUGCAGGAGGUCGGUCUGCGCUCGAACGCUGGCAGAAUAAAAUUAGGCAUUUGAGAAGCUUCCUACGUGGGUGGGCUAAGCAUCUCAGCGGGAUUUAUAAGGUUGAAAAGGAGCAGCUCCUUGCGCUUAUUCAAUCCCUUGAUGUAAAGGCCGAAACCAUGAUCCUGCCAGCCUCGGAGCUUCAUGCCAAGCUUGAGGCGGAAAUGAGGCUGAAAGAGCUCCUUCGCGAGGAAGAACUAAAGUGGGCGCUUCGGGCUAAGGUUAGUAGAGUCGUUCAGGGGGACGCGAACACUCAAUUUUUUCACUUGAUCGCCAAUGGUAAGCAUAGAAAGAAGAGGAUCUUUCAGCUUGAACAAGAUGAGAGAACGAUUCUUGGUCAGGAAAACUUAAAGCAAUAUAUUACUGAGUAUUACAAGCAGCUGUUUGGGCCUCCAGAGGACAACUAUGUGUCGAUGGAUGAGUCUAGGAUGGAGGAUGUGCCUCAACUUAUGGCUGUUGAGAAUGAUAUUUUAGUAGCUCCUUUCUCUGAGAAAGAGGUGUUUGAGGCCAUUUCCCAGAUGAAGAAUAAUAAGGCUCCUGGCCCGGAUGGUUUCCCGGCAGAGUUCUACAAGAAAUGUUGGCACAUUAUUAAAGGAGAUCUCUUGCCUUUGUUCAAUGAUUUAUUCUCCGGCCAGCUUCACCUUUUUCAGCUGAAUUUUGGAAUGAUAACCUUACUUCCCAAGAAGACAGAGGCAGUGCGGAUUGAGCAAUUCCGGCCUAUCUGUCUUCUCAAUGUUAGUUUCAAAAAUUUUACCAAGGUCGGGAUGAAUAGGCUCAUACAGAUUGCGCAUACUGUGGUGCAGCCUACUCAGUCCGCUUUCAUGCCGGACAGGAACAUCCUUGAAGGGGUUGUGGUCUUGCAUGAAACGCUCCAUGAGAUUCACACAAAAAAACUUGAUGGCGUUGUUUUCAAGGUGGAUUUCGAGAAAGCGUACGACAAAGUCAAAUGGUCUUUCCUUCAACAGGCACUACACAUGAAGGGUUUCGAUGAAGUUUGGAGACGACAAGUCGAAUCCUUCACGCAAAAAGGGAGUGUUGGAAUUAAAGUGAAUGACGAUAUCGGUCAUUAUUUCCAGACACAUAAGGGUCUGAGACAAGGUGAUCCAAUGUAUCCUAUCUUGUUCAACAUCGUCGUUGACAUGUUGGCAAUCCUAAUAGGUAGGGCAAAGGAGGCUGGCCAGGUAGGUGGCUUGGUGCCUCAUCUAGUUGAUGGUGGUGUGUCCAUCCUACAGUACGCGGAUGAUACGAUCAUCUUUAUGGAGCAUGACUUGGCCAAAGCGAGAAAUAUGAAGCUGGUGUUGUGCCUGUUUGAGCAAUUGACCGGUCUGAAGAUUAACUUCCAUAAAAGUGAGUUGUUCUGUUUUGGUAGAGCCAAAGAGGAACAAGAUGCAUAUAAGCAAUUGUUUGGGUGUGAAUUGGGAGCACUCCCGUUCAAUUACCUAGGUAUCCCCAUUCACCAUCGUAAGCUGACUAACGGUGAAUGGAAGUGUAUCAAGGAUCGGUUUGAGAAGAAACUGAGUUGCUGGAAGGGCAAACUCAUGUCGUAUGGAGGCCGGUUGAUUCUUAUUAAUUCGGUGCUCACGAGUUUGCCUAUGUUCCUUCUGUCCUUUUUUGAAGUACCAGUUGGAGUUAGGAAAAGGCUGGACUUCUUUUGGUCUCGUUUCUUCUGGCAAAGUGAUGAACUUAACAGAAAGUACCGUUUAGCCAAAUGGGACGUCAUCUGCCGACCGAAGGACCAAGGGGGUCUUGGUAUUAAAAAUCUUGAGGUCAAGAAUAGAUGUCUUCUCAGCAAGUGGCUAUAUAAGUCAGCAGCUGAGACUGAAGCUACUUGGGCACAUAUUCUGCAUAACAAGUACCUCCACUCUAAGACUUUGUCGCAGGUGACAGUCAGACCGACUGAUUCGCCAUUCUGGAAAGGGCUAAUGACAGUCACAUGCUCCUCUGUGUGCGCGCGCGCGGAUCAAUCGACACGUCGUGGUGGGCGCCCACGCUCCGUCGCUUUGCUUCGUCUCGGCCCUUAGACAGCUCCACACCAUAGCAUAGCCUCCAGGCUCCAAGUACAGGAGUAGGGAAGCAUCUCCCACAUCAUUCGACGAGCGGCGGUGAGUCCAUCCCCUCCUCCUCCGUCUCCCCCUCCUCCUCCUUCUCCCCGUUCCCGGAGAUGCUUCAUUUUCUUGCUAAUGCUUCAUCUUCUUCUUGUCCACUUGUCCUAAGUCCUAACUAGCUAGCUGCUUGGAGCCUUGGAUCCAUGGAGUCCCCGCAAAAGAAGGCUGCAUCCAUGGACGGAAGCAAGACGCCUCAUCUGCCGCCGGUGACCGUGGCCAAGAAGACGCCUCGUCCGGAUGUUGUCCGAGAGGUCAACGAGUGGGUGCUCGUGACCGCCGGCAUCUUCGUGUUCUCCUUCGGCUUGGCCUACGCACUCGUGCUCUUCCACGUCCCCUGCAGCCAGGUAAAGACAAGUCGGCUAGCUCUUCCACGUCACUAUUCAUGUUCUUUCUUCGGUGCGCCCUGCUGACGGACGUGGAGGAAGCUGUGAUGAACGCCCUUGGCAUCGGGAUGCUGUGCUGCGUCGCGCUCCAGGCGGCCGCAGCGGUGCUGGCGCUGCGUCUCCAGUGCCGCCGUCGCUGGGUCCGCCGUGCCCUCCCCUACCUCGCGCUCGCGCUCACCAUUGGCGGCCACUGCUUCUACGCCGCGCUAGCCCGCCUCUUCCUCAUCGCCGACCCAGGAGACCUCUUCUUCAGGAUCUGCUCAACCGUGGGCAUCUUCGUCUACGCGGCGGGAGACAUCAUCAGCUUCCUGGCCCUCCUGCUCAGCCGCGAGGAGUAGGACUGGGAAGCAGGGCAAGCACCAAGCAGCGGAUCAUGUCUAUGGAUCAGCUCGUGACACGUGAGUUACUGAUGAUGAGUGACUGAUGAAUAUUGAGUGCGAUAACGUAGAGUGUGCAUUAUGCUAGCUGCGACGAUUGAUCGAGUCCCCUGCCCUAUGUGUGUGUGAAUUUACUAGUGUACUACCCUGUGUGUGAAUUACUGAAUUGUGGUCGUCUUUGAUACAGUAGUAUUUGACCUUUUCUCUGUAUGACCAGACAUCAUUUAUAUGCUUAUUUAUCUAGCUUCGGUAUAUUUAAUUAUGAUAACCAUUGUUUUUC
rnacentral:lncRNA from 1 species